CUGGUGGCUUCUCUCCCUUAGGUGGUUUGCCAACUGGGGUUGGUGGCUUGUAUGAGUCUUCAGCAUUCUCUGCAGGAGGGUGACCAGGGUUGUGACCAUAAUGUGGUGGCUUCUCUCCCUUAGGUGGUUUGCCAACUGGGGUUGGUGGCUUGUGUUCUGGGAGUGGCUUCUCCCCCUUGGGAGGUUUUUCCAAUGGGGUUGGUUUGUGUUCAGGAGGUGGCUUCUCCACUGGAGGCUUGUGUUCAGGAGGUGGCUUCUCCACCGGAGGCUUGUGUUCAGGAGGUGGCUUCUCCACCGGAGGCUUAUGCUCUGGUGGUGGCUUCUCCACCGGAGGCUUAUGCUCUGGUGGUGGCUUCUCGAAUGGGGGAUGCUUAGGGUAAUCAGCAAGUGAGGGGGCGGUGAGAACCACCAGGCCAAGCAAGACCACUAGCAAGUAUGUAGGAGACAUCUUUGGGUUUAGACUCAGAUGGUGCAAAACUAGGAGAAUUGUCUUUUAUAGCGGAUCGCACCCAAUAAUGAAAUGACACGUGUCUUUAUGACCCAUGUGUAAUGGGGUCGAUUUGGGUCCUACAGUGUUGAAAACUUCGACAUCCACUUUUGGCCUUUUGCUUUCUCUACAGCCGCCUUGCUUUUUCCCUCUUUCCUUUUGUUUUCCUCCUGCCCCAUUCUAUCAACUAAACACAAUUAUGUAGUUGUUUAAUUCUUAAAUGAGAUAUUAUCCGUCAAUCGUAUCAUAUUUUAUCAACAGAGAACGGAGUGCAAUGUGGCAAUCCAAAGAAAGAAGAUCCAUAAUGCAGCUGUAAUUUUAUCGUUUACUUUUAUCUCUUGGACCACUGCAUUUUUGUUAAGAGGUGCAAUAAUACACGUCUUUAUCUGCCAUUCAAUGUUUACAGUAAAGAGAGGGCACAAAACUCUUCACUGCUCUGCAUGUGUCCCAAAAAUGCAAUUGGACAAAUUAUGAUUUGCAUGCUAAAAAGAGGCAAAUGAGGUUAAUUCGCACCAUAAUUAUUUUGUUUUCUGGACCCCGGGGCCCUUUGGUUGGUUUGGGGGUCAGAAAAUGAACAUCAUAGGGGGUUUUUCCCUUAUGUGCAUUUGUAUCUGAUGGCUUUAACUCGCCUUGUUACUACAAAGAAAUUGUCACAUAUAGGAACUUAUUCCAGGCUGAGUAUCUCCGCAUAGACCCUAUAAAAGAAGACAAGUCAUAAUGAACAUCUAACCUUUGUUCAAUUUGAUUCAAUGCCCCAUUGUGUCCACCUCACAAAUCUGAAUUAUUAUAUCCAUUGAAUACAUAAAUUAAUGAAGAAAAUAUGAAACCCAAGAUACAUCUCUGCACAACCUCAACCCUGGUUGCUAUGUUUCCCUUCUAUUCACAUGAGGAUAUUGAUUACGGAAUAGGGAAACCUAGCAAGGGUUUACUCGGCUCUGGUUUGAUGCUAAUUGCCAAACUUGCAACAAGCCCUGAGUUUGAAGCUCACAGAAGAUGUUAUACAGGCAGGGAAAAACCUUCAGAGUUCGCUGCCAAAGAUAAUUAUUAAGGAGAUAUCACCAAGAGAAUUCCAAGGAGUCUGAAUCAAAGACAAAUUGGUCGUUCGUGGAGGUUCUUACUUUCUUUUGGGUAUAACUCACUGAGGGCACUGUCUUUUUUAUUUUCAUUUCACAUUUAGAGUUCUGUUCUGGAAACAUAUAAAAGGAGCAUCAGUUUGUUCUUGGGUAACCCAUAGUCGUGAGUGGGUCCAUUUGCAUGCUACUUAGUUGAAAAGUUGGACCAUUUGCUCCGACGCCUACCUCCUGGAUUCCAUGCUCGGAUAAAACAAGAAUAAAAAAAUAUUUAUAAUUUACAAAUGGGGGAAAGAAAAAAAUGUCAACAACAAACUAGGAAAAAAGAGUAGUAAAAUUCAUGUCACAUGCUAGUGAGAGAAGGGGUUGUUACACUCACUCGAAGUUCUUUUCAAAAUAUCGCAUGGUAUUUUAUUUUAUGUGUGAGCGCAGUUGUGAAUGGAACGUGCAAAAGUCCAAAUUGGUGACCUUUAAUAAAUAUUUAAAACAAAAAACGAAAAAAAGGAGGGAAAAGGGAUCAGAAAAGAUAAAACAAUGUGUACAAAAGCUCAAUUAGUUUGCAAAUUACUGUUUGGAUUUUGAUAGUAUUUUAUUUGAUGUAAAAGAGAAUUUAAGAUAUUUCCGAAACAAAAGCAUUAGUUUGCUCCAUGUCAAUUUCGGCAUUUCUCAUAUGUUUCACACAUACACAGAAGAGCAUCGUUUUUUAAAGCAUGCAUUUAUGUUGGAUUAAUUUGGAUUUUGUGGGAACUGGGGCAAGGAUCACAUGGAAGAGAGGUUGACUUUUUUCAGUACUUCAAUGGUUGAGACAGGUGAAGGCCUGAUUGAUACUGAAGCCUGAAAUUGCGACUCCGUCAUUUGUCAAAACAUAUGACAGCUUCCAUGCUCUCGUUUGGUUGCAUUGUUCUGUGGUCAUGCAUACAUGCCACUUAGUGAUCAGUCUGUAACUGUCAAUCAUUGGGCUUUGACUGAACAACAUCAGCCAUGUAUAAAUACUUGCAAAUCAAACGGUCUUCUUCCUCCCAUAAGGAAUUUCGGUUUAAUUAUGAAGCAUGCAUUUGGCUGACCAUCAUAAACCACUUCUUUAAAUUGAUGAAUGAUAGUUUUUCAUUCAUUCUUUCAUUCGUUCAUAUACAGAGUAUAUAUAGAGGGUAAUCAUCAUUCUAAGAAUGGGAAAGAAUGAUACAAGGAAAUAAUGAUAUAAAGAAAUAACAACUAAUAUUCUAAUAUCUCAACUUUCCUAAUAUCUAAACAUUCCUAAUAUCUCAACACUAAAUGAUAUAAAGAAAGAAUGAUAUAAGGAAAGCAUUCCUAAUAUCUCAACACUCCUCCUCAAGUUGGUGCAUAGAUGUCAAACAUGUCCAACUUGUCUAAAAAUUUUGAGAACAGUUGACUUGAGACAUCUUUGGUGAGGAUAUCGGUCAAUUGAUCUUCUGAUCGAAUCUUAGGCAAUUCCACAAUCUUAUCAUCCAACUUUUCCUUAAUGAAAAAUCUAUCCAUCUCGACAUGCUUUGUACGAUCAUGUUGUACUAGAUUAUGAGCAAUGUCACAUGCUGCUUUAUUGUCACAAAACAAUCGGAUUGGUUGCCUAGAUAGGUAACCUAAAUCCUAUAAGAGGAGUCUUAGCCAUAAUGCCUCACAAAGUCCUAAAGUCAUACCUCUAAAUUCCGCUUCUGCACUUGAACGAGCGACGACAUUUUGCUUCUUACUUUUCCAUGUCACAAGAUUACCACCUACAAAGGUAAAGUAACCAGAUGUAGAUCGCCUAUCAUCCACUGCACCGACCCAAACAGCAUUAUACUUCUAUACUCUGAUGAUCAACAUUUUUAGCGAACAAAAUUCCCUUCCUAGGAGCAUUCUUCAAAUACCUCAAAAUACGCAUGACUACAUUCAUAUGUUGCUCUCCAGGAUUAUGCAUGUAUUGACUCACUACACUCAAUGUAUAAGCAAGAUCUAGUCUUGUAUGAGCUAAGUACAUUAAUCUCCCCACAAGUCUCUGGUAUCUUCCCUUAUCGAUUGAUACUUGAUUAGGCUCAACACACAAUUUCAGACCUUCUUCUAUUGGUGUAUUAAUAGGUUGACAUCCCGACAUUCCAGUUUCCUGUAGAAGAUCUAAGGCAUACUUUCUUUGAGACAGAAAAAUUCCUUCACUUGAUCGAGAAACUUCAAUCCCAAGAAAGUAUUUCAGACGACCAAGAUCUUUCAUUUCAAAUUCUCUAGAUAGAUACUUUUGCAAAGCUUUUCUUUCUUCAGGAUCAUUUCCUGUAACUACAUGUCAUCCACAUAUAUCAUAAGUGUCGUAAUCUUACCAUGUUGCUUUUUCAAGAACAAAGUGUGAUUUGAAUUACUUUGAUGAUAGCCAAAAGCUCUCAUUGAUUUUGUGAACCUUCCAAACCAUGCUCUCGGGGAUUGCUUCAACCCAUACAAUGACUUCUUCAAUUCGCACACCUUCUGACAUUGCUUUUCUGACACCAUGCAUCCUGGUGGAAGAUCCAUAUAUACUUCUUCAGAUAAAUCGCCAUGCAGAAAGACAUUUUUUACAUCGAACUAUUGUAAUGGCCAAUCUAGGUUUGCAGCUAAAGACAAUAAUACUCGAACUGUGUUGAUCUUAGCUACAGGUGCAAAUGUCUCUGUGUAGUCAAUUCCAUAAGUUUGAAUGUACCCACUAGUCUUGCUUUAAAUCGUUCAAUACUACCAUCUGCCUUGUACUUCACAGUAUAGAUCCAACGACACCCAACUAGCUUCUUUCCUGGUGGACAUUCUACGAGUUCCCAUGUUUCAUUUUUCUGCAAUGAUUUCAUCUCUUCAUUCAUGGUUGCUUUCCACUUUGGAUCAGCUAAAGCUUCCUGCACACUAUUAGGAAUAGCUACAGUAGAUAAUUGAUUUACAAAUGACUUAUUUGAUUCAGACAAACCAUGGUGUGGACCCGCAUUUUUCACGUGCGCCUCUACUCGAUCGGCGAGACUCGCUUUCUAUUUGUGAAAAAUUAAUUUUAGAAAAGUUGGAGUCGCCACCUAUUUUAUUUUUAUUUUGAAGGGAAAAUAAAACAAGAAAGAAAAACCCUAAAAAGUGACUCCAUAGUUUUGGAAAAAGCAUGUCUUUGGGAAACCUGAGUCUAGGUCCGGGGAUCAUGUUACUUAUUGGGAAGGUACCUCUAGGAGGUAGCACCCCUCUAAGCCUUAUGAAGGUCUCUACUAACUAAAUUAAGGGAAGUGUGGCAAUAAAUCGAUUGAUCAUAGAUACCUAAGUAGACUAGGUGAUUUUAAAGUGUGGCAUGUCAAACACAAUCAAAUUGCAAUAAAGGAGAGUUAGGGCGCGUACCUGAACCGCUUCUCAAGCGCUAUCAUAAAACAUCAAUGGUUAAUUUAAAUAAUAUAUCAUCCAGCAUGUAUUUUAUUAGAAAUAAUCAAACAAUGAAACAUGUAUAUCAGAACACUCAAGCAUUAUUAGACAUAAGCAUUAUUUCACUAUUCACAGAAUUCAGAAAGUAGGUGAUAGAGGACAUACCUGGAUAGCAUAGAUAAUUUGUAAUGUGCUUCCUCAAGUUGUAAGGGGUUAGAUAACAAAUAAUAAAAUAUAGAAAUCCUAGCAUGCUCGUUAUCUAAUUAGCAUAGCAAAAGUGAUCACAGUAUACAGAAUCAUCAAUUAUCACAUACAUCUUGUAUAUAAUUCCUAAAAAAAAUAGAUAGACAUGAUUUCAACAAGUGUCAAAUGUGGCAACAAAAAUAAAUUUUGAAAAGAUUUUCUUAUGUAGGGGUUUCACCAAUUCCCCAAAUUAAUAUACACGAAUUUAGCUUAGAAUUAUCCCAUUUAUUUGGGACUACAAGCUUUGAUUCGUGUUUUUGUUCAAAACCAAAAAUUUUUGUUGAAAAUCAAGAAGGAUGCGAACCGAACAAGAUAUGGUUGCAUAUUAUUUUUAAAUAAAUAAAUAAAUAAAUAAAGGAGAUUUUGAUCCUGAGGACUUUAAUGAGUUUUUUUUUUUAAAAUAGAUUUUUAAAAUGAUUUUUUUGAGAAAAGUAUUUUAUUUUAAAAUAAAAGGGAUUAAUUUGGGAAAAAAAUAAAAUAUAAGAAAUAAAAUACCAAACAAAACAAAAAUGAAACCUCAAAGUAAAAUUUUUUUAGUAAUUAACAAAAAUGAUAAUGGUGAUGGUAGAGGGCAAUCUUCAUGAUUUUCCAAUGGCCUCAGAAAGAAAAUCAAAUUAAAUGAAGGAUCACUAACAGGCAAGACAUUCUAAAUUAGACAAACUAACAAAGUAUCAAUUCAUGAACUAACCGCUAGGAUUUUGAAAGCAUAUAAGCUAAGAUAAGGGUGAUCAGGAACUAAUAUUAAUGAUUUUGAAAUAAAAACUAAAAAAAAGGAUCAAUUCGGGUAAGGAACUAAAAUUAUAAAAGUACCUAAACUAAUUAUGACGAGUUUGACUAAAUUAAACUAAAAACAUGAACUUUCAAACAUAGAAUUAAUUUUACUAAUGAACCAAAGCAAACUAAAAAUAUGUACUUUCAAGCAUAGAAUUAAUUUUAUUGAUGAACUAAACUAUAACAAAUAUCUAAACUAAAUAUAAUGAAUCAAAUUAAAUUAAAGCAACUUAAAAACGCAAACUUUCAAACAUAGAAUCAAUUUUAUCAAUGAAUUAAAACUAUAAAUGUAUUUGAACUAAAUAGAUGAAUCAAACUAAAUCAGAGCAAAAUUAAAAAAAAAAAAGAACUUUCUAACAUGAAAUCAAUUUUAUCAACAAAUAAAUGAAUGAAUAACAAGUAAUUAAAAGAAUAGCUACUACAUGAAUAACUGAAUGAAUAAAAUUCAAAUGUUUUCAAUCUGAAGCAAUCAAUCAAAAUUAAAUAGGGAUCAAAUCAAAAUAAUCGAAAUCGGAAAAACAAUAUGCAAUCUUUCUAAAGGUUUAACCAGACAAUUGAAUUAAAAUUAUGAAUAGAAUAAAUUAAUAAACCAAAUCGAAACCUAAAUUGUACCUAAAAAGAUUAAUUAAUUAAACUAAGAAAUCAAAAUCAAUAACAAAACUAAACUAAGGAGUAAAUUAAGACAAGACUAAUUAAAUUAAACUCACAAACACGUUUUAACUAUCAUAUGGAUUAAAACAAAAUUAGCAUGGACUUAUGAAUUACGAACAAAAAUAAUCAAAACUAUUUUAAAAAACUCACCUCUAUUAUAAGAAAAAAUCUGCCUUUGAUGCGUUGAGGUGGCUCCCCUCUCUGUGUGGAUCUCUCUGCUCCCCAGAAAAAAAAUGUCUCUUCCUCCGUUCUCUUUUGUUUCAGCAAAAUAAUAUAUCCCCUGCUGUGGAUCUCUCUACUCCCAGAAAAUAAUAUAUUCUCUCCGUGUCCUAAAGUGGACCUAGGGUGCCUAAGUGGACCUAGGGUGCCUAAAUGGGCCUAGGGUGCCUAAAUGGGCCAAGUGUAUCUAAAUAGGCUUAGGGUGCCUAAGUGGGCCUAAGUCUAAGUGAGCCUAAGUCUAAAUCAAGACUACCAAGGAUCAUAAUAAGGGGUUAGGCAAUCCCUUAACCAAAGUCUCCAAGGUGGCUAAAAAAAAGUAAGUAGUAUGAGUAGCUAUGGGUCACCAAGGAACUACUGUGGAGCAUUGAAAACGAAUUUAAAGACAUGUGCCAAAGGGACAAAAUUGAGGGUCUACAGAUGGUUAGACACAUAGUUGCUCAUGGGAUAUUUGACUUUGGUAAACAAUUCAGAUUCAUAUGUGGGUUUAGGAAUACCUUUAUUAUGACGGUGUGGUAAUCGUUUCAUGAAUGGAUCAGGUUGCAAAUUAAGAACACCCUCAGCAAACAACGAUUGGUUUGGUAUUUCAGUGAAGACAUCUUCGAACCCAAAUUGUUGACCACUCAUAUCCAACUCACCCGCUUCCUGGUUCACUAGUUCAGAUUGUCCAAAUUCAUCAUUCUCAUAGAUAUGAUAAUCAUAAUCGAGAGUCUGAAUUUCCUUAUGGUACUCCCCCUGAAGUUCAGACUUAGAUGAAAAAUACAUCGAAUAUUCAUGAAACAGCNNNNNNNNNNNNNNNNNNNNNNNNNNNNNNNNNNNNNNNNNNNNNNNNNNNNNNNNNNNNNNNNNNNNNNNNNNNNNNNNNNNNNNNNNNNNNNNNNNNNNNNNNNNNNNNNNNNNNNNNNNNNNNNNNNNNNNNNNNNNNNNNNNNNNNNNNNNNNNNNNNNNNNNNNNNNNNNNNNNNNNNNNNNNNNNNNNNNNNNNNNNNNNNNNNNNNNNNNNNNNNNNNNNNNNNNNNNNNNNNNNNNNNNNNNNNNNNNNNNNNNNNNNNNNNNNNNNNNNNNNNNNNNNNNNNNNNNNNNNNNNNNNNNNNNNNNNNNNNNNNNNNNNNNNNNNNNNNNNNNNNNNNNNNNNNNNNNNNNNNNNNNNNNNNNNNNNNNNNNNNNNNNNNNNNNNNNNNNNNNNNNNNNNNNNNNNNNNNNNNNNNNNNNNNNNNNNNNNNNNNNNNNNNNNNNNNNNNNNNNNNNNNNNNNNNNNNNNNNNNNNNNNNNNNNNNNNNNNNNNNNNNNNNNNNNNNNNNNNNNNNNNNNNNNNNNNNNNNNNNNNNNNNNNNNNNNNNNNNNNNNNNNNNNNNNNNNNNNNNNNNNNNNNNNNNNNNNNNNNNNNNNNNNNNNNNNNNNNNNNNNNNNNNNNNNNNNNNNNNNNNNNNNNNNNNNNNNNNNNNNNNNNNNNNNNNNNNNNNNNNNNNNNNNNNNNNNNNNNNNNNNNNNNNNNNNNNNNNNNNNNNNNNNNNNNNNNNNNNNNNNNNNNNNNNNNNNNNNNNNNNNNNNNNNNNNNNNNNNNNNNNNNNNNNNNNNNNNNNNNNNNNNNNNNNNNNNNNNNNNNNNNNNNNNNNNNNNNNNNNNNNNNNNNNNNNNNNNNNNNNNNNNNNNNNNNNNNNNNNNNNNNNNNNNNNNNNNNNNNNNNNNNNNNNNNNNNNNNNNNNNNNNNNNNNNNNNNNNNNNNNNNNNNNNNNNNNNNNNNNNNNNNNNNNNNNNNNNNNNNNNNNNNNNNNNNNNNNNNNNNNNNNNNNNNNNNNNNNNNNNNNNNNNNNNNNNNNNNNNNNNNNNNNNNNNNNNNNNNNNNNNNNNNNNNNNNNNNNNNNNNNNNNNNNNNNNNNNNNNNNNNNNNNNNNNNNNNNNNNNNNNNNNNNNNNNNNNNNNNNNNNNNNNNNNNNNNNNNNNNNNNNNNNNNNNNNNNNNNNNNNNNNNNNNNNNNNNNNNNNNNNNNNNNNNNNNNNNNNNNNNNNNNNNNNNNNNNNNNNNNNNNNNNNNNNNNNNNNNNNNNNNNNNNNNNNNNNNNNNNNNNNNNNNNNNNNNNNNNNNNNNNNNNNNNNNNNNNNNNNNNNNNNNNNNNNNNNNNNNNNNNNNNNNNNNNNNNNNNNNNNNNNNNNNNNNNNNNNNNNNNNNNNNNNNNNNNNNNNNNNNNNNNNNNNNNNNNNNNNNNNNNNNNNNNNNNNNNNNNNNNNNNNNNNNNNNNNNNNNNNNNNNNNNNNNNNNNNNNNNNNNNNNNNNNNNNNNNNNNNNNNNNNNNNNNNNNNNNAACCAAAGGAAGCAUGUUCCAGACGUCGAUGCCACAACCAAAUUUCAGACUUUUUCUUCUCCUCCUUAGAUCCAUCUGCCAUCAAGGCUUGUUGCAACUUAUUUGAAUCCUUUGAUUGCAAGUCCAAGUAUAGAGUUUCCCCCGCUUAAUACGACAACCAAUCGUCUGUCUUGUUUGAAUGUCCUUAAUCACACAAAAUUCAGGCCAAAAAAUGACAAUACAAGAUAAGGCUGCAGUGAUUUGAGAAACUAACAAAAGAUUGUAAUCUAAAGAUGGAACAACUAAAACAGAAUCCAAAUUCAAAGUAUCAGUAAGAGUUAAGGAUCCUUCCCCAAUGACUGGGGUUGUGUUACCAUUGGCUGUGGAAACAAUUUUUUGUGAGGAAGGUCUAAGGGGUGAAACCUGUCUAGAAUCAAAAGUCAUAUGAUCUGUAGCACCAGAAUCAAUUAUCCAUGCACUAUUAAUAACAGGUGUAAAAGUAUUUAAAAACUUACCACAAUGAUCUGUAGCGGCUACUAAUGCAGAGACUUUCUCAACAACAUUAGUCUUUGUUUUUAUUUCGGUAACAGUUGCAAUCAAGGUUUUCUUGGAAUUCUUCUUCCGUUGAUCACGAUUAUUAUCAUUAAUAACAAAGUGUUGAUAGCCUAAACAUGAUCUAAAGGUCCAUGGUGCAAACCCUCGGUUCCUCAUUGUUUUCCUGGUCAUACCAAGAGUUGUUGCUUUGAAAUUGUGGGAUAUCCAGACUGGUGGGAUCAGUUUUAUUGCAGUGAGUGCAUUUGAAUGUUGACUUAUCAAUAUUAGGGCUUGUCUUCGGAUGGUUGAUUGCUGUUGGACUACCAUAGCGACAAAAUAUCCAGGAUUUCAAUUCCAGGGCUCUGAUACCAUCUUCAAAUUGAUGAAUGAUAGUUUUUCAUUCAUUCUUUCAUGUACAGAGUAUAUAUAGAGGGUAAUCACCAUUCUAAGAAUGGGAAAGAAUGAUACGAGGAAAUAAUGAUAUAAGGAAAUAAUAACUAAUAUCCUAAUAUCUCAACUUUCCUAAUAUCUCAAUAUUCCUAAUAUCUCAACUUUCCUAAUAUCUAAACAUUCAUAAUAUCUCAACACUAAAUGAUACAAGGAAAGAAUGAUAUAAGGAAAACAUUCCUAAUAUCUCAACACCACUUCAUGAUAUAUAUAGUUUCUUACCCUUAAUCAAUGGUUUCUAAGUGAAUUUAUAUAGAAAGAAAUCCAAACUGUAGACAGCAGUAUUGGUAACACUCAAUAUUCUGUAUAUAAUAGAAUAAAUAGCGUCACAGUGAUCGUCGCCUACAAGCAAGGUACAAAUACCACAAAGAGUGACCCACAUAGACAUUCCCCAACAAGAUGUAGUAGUGACUGACACAUAGCCACAAUUAACACGUAGAAAAGGAUAAGACCGGUGCACAGUAGCUCUUAUUUUACAUACUACUUAUGCCAACCAAAGUCACUCAGUUGGGAUGGGAGGGAGAUGGAGGUUUGUGCGGUGGCUUGUGGGGCGGAGUUGAUGGCUUCUUUCCAGGAGCUUCUGGCUUUUUCAUCGGAGCUGAAGGAGGCUCAAUCUUAUGAGGCGGCUUGUACGAGUCUUCUUUGCUCUCGAAAGGAGGGUGGCCAGGGUUGUGACCAUAAUGUGGUGGUUUCUCUCCCUUGGGAGGUUUACCAAUUGGGGUUGGUGGCUUGUGUUCUGGGAGUGGUUUCUCUCCCUUGGGAGGUUUAGUGGGUGACUUGUGUUCUGGAGGUGGCUUCUCCACCGAAGGCUUGUGCUCCGGUGGUGGCUUUUUGGUUGGAGGGGGCUUGGGGUAAUCAGCAAGAGAUGGGGUGGUGAGAACCACCAGUCCAAGGAACAACACUAGCAAGUAUGUGGGAGACAUUUUUGAGUUUGGGCUGAUCAGAUGAUGCAAAACUAAAGCAUUACGUGACCUUUUAUAGCAAGUAGCUCCCAAUACCUACUUGACACGUGUUACUGUGACCCAUAAAUAUUAUGGGGUCUAUUUGUGCCCUACCGGGUUGAAAACUUGGACAAUUGGGCAAGGACCCGCCUGACUAUGGAGGACUACUGAGGUGUGAUCACAGCUUUAGGAUUUUUCUUCCUCUGCAGCCGUCUUGCCGUUGGCAUGAUUUUCUUAAUCUCAAAUAAAGGCAUAGUUAUAGAGUUGUUUAAUCUCUAAAUGGGAUUUUAUAUAUCUUCAGAUAGCCAUUAAUACAUUUGAUGAAGAAAGAAAGACAAGUGCAUACAACAUGUAUACGACUAGCUUUCAUGGAGUUCAUUUAUGAUCAGUUUUCCUGUACAUGUAAACCAAGAUCAUAUAUGUUUUUGUUCCACAACAAUUUUGGAAUCUUGUUUAUCCGUUUUUAUCAUUAUAAUGUCACAUAGGCUGCCAACUUGGGCGCUAAAUUAAAGAUCCAGUUGGGCAAGUUCGUUUCAGAAUUUCAAUGGUGGAUUCAGGAAUUGUUUUAUAAGAUAUGCAAAAUAGUAGAGGGAUGAAUAGUGUUUCAUUAAGAAAAGAGCCCUGUAAAAAUAUUGUUUAAAGGUGCCAUAGAAACUAUAAUCAAUAAAUAACUUUUUUUCCCCAUGGGUGGUGUUUCUUGUGGGGAUCAGUGACUGGUUUGAGUCAACGCCGUGUCUCUUUAGUCCAGAAAUCAACUAUUUUAUGCAUUGAAUACAUCAACAAAGAAAAUAUGAAAGCCAAAUGACACCUCCCCCGCAAAAACUAAACCCUGGUUGCUAACUUUCUAUGUUUCAGUUCCAUUCACACAAGAAUAUUAGUUCAAGUUUGAGAAAAAUGGCGACUUACCUAGUGAUAACUCGGUCUUGGUUUGCGAUUUGACUUUAACGUCAUGGGUUGAAGCCUCCUACAAUCAUCGUGUAUGCUAGUUCAAAGCUCGUGGAAGAAGUUAUACAGGGAGGGAGAAACCUCCACAGCAAGCUCCAAAAGAGAAUUAUCACAUUGAAAGCUCCAGUUGAACACUGGGUGAAAGCCAUAACAAGAUUGGUUUUCUAUCGCUCUUUUAAGUAAUGGAAGAUUAUUAUCUCUGCUUGUCACUACAACCGUGCAUGCUGCUAGAUCUUUCUAGACACUUCAAACAGUGAAACCAAGUAUGAUUCUUUUUCUCUUGAGUGGGUCCACUUGCAUGCCAAUGAACGAGUUGAAAAGUUGGACAAUUGGCCACAGCGCGCACUUACCUUCUGGAACCGAAGGUCAGUGAAGUGGGGUUCCUUUUGGCCCCUUGUGUUUCUGUUCCAACCUACUCCAGGAACCGAAGUUCAGUGAAGUGGGGCUACUUUUGGCCUCUUGUGUUUCUGUUCCAACCAAACAAAAAUGGGAGGGAAAAAUAGCAUUAUGCUUGUGCUAAAGAUCAACGCAUGAUAGCUGAAUAAGGGAGAAAAAGGCAUUGCUAUCUCAAUUUCAUAAACUUGAUAAGUAGUGACAUUAAUAGUCUUCCUCAUAGAUGGAUACAUGGUUUUAUUUUAUUUAUUUAUUUUUAUUUUUUUGUUUUAUGUCAAUGCUAAUGAAUGAAGUGCAUUAGCUUGUUUUGUGACUAGAACUACAAAUGUCCAAAUUGGAGCUUCUCCAAUAUAUUUCUCAGUGAGUUAUUGAUUAGAACUCUUGGAUUGAGUUCCAAGAUUUGAAUCAGACCCCUCUAGCAGCUUCAGGGGUACGUAGCAACCUAUAGCAUAUUAAUGAAGACUUAGGAUUUAGACUUAGGAAUACAAAUUAAUAUGUACCUCAUGCUCUGACUAGCUUCCCUGCGUAUGCACAAAAUGGAGAUGACUCCCAAAAAAAUAGCAGAAUCGCCUUAGUAUGUUUUUGUGGUUAAGAUGAUUCUCCACUUUAUAUAUCCACAUUGGUUCAUUAUGCAAAUUAAUCAACUAAGCUAUUUUUAUUUUUUCUUAAAUGUGAAAUAGGAGCUCCAAAUUAACCUAACCAUUGGCCUGAUUGAAUUGAUUUCACUUGCAUAAUGUUAUAGUAGAAGUCCGUAAUUUGAAUUUUAUUUUUGCAAAAGGUAACGUAAAUGAAGCAUUGUAAUUAAAUUUAUUUGUAAUUACAAACUAAUUUUAUUUUAUUAAGAAUUAAUUUAAUUACUCAUUUAAAAUAAAAAUCAGUUAUACUUUUACCAAGAUGAUAAUAUUCAUAUUUUUCUAGUUAACAUAUAUAAAAUAGUACACUUUUUCAUAUAAAAAAAUAAUUUAUGAUUUAUUAUAAUGUUACUAUUCACAUUUUACUAAAUUGAUGGUACAUGAUAGUGAGAGAAGGGGGUGUCACACUCAGCUAAAGUUCUUUUCAAAAUAUUGCAUGGUGUUUAAUUUUAUGUGUCGGCGCGCGUGUGAAUGGAACCUGCAAAAGUCCAAAUUGGCGUUUCUCCAUUUUCCACAUAGGAUGGUGACGUUAAUAGACAAAGAUACAAUAUCUGUAGACAUUGCUUAAAAAUCGAUGUGAAGUAUUAGAAAUUACAGGGCACUGUACUGGGGGAGCGGCUGCCCCGCCAAAGGAGGAAGAAUGUAGCAAUUUCUUCUGUUAGCCAGGCCUUAGGAUUUAUGCAUGGGAUGCCUAAUAACAAACAGAGAAAAUAUACUUUUGGGGAAGGUAUCCAACAACAGACACCAUCAUUCAGAUGGUGGGAAGGUAUCCAACAGAUGCCAUCAUUCAGAUGGUAACAUAUAUAUACAUUUAUUAGUGAGUUUUUUUAAUACCUAUAAAAAAAAAUAUACACUUUGAUAUUGUGGCUGAAUCCAUUACAUACUCAACUAACCUUGCUCAUUAGGGAUUUGACUUAACAAGGGCAACGUUGCAGUACAAGCUCAAAACUUUAUGCAGGUGACAUUACAUUUGGUAAAGAAGAGGAAAAUAACGAAAGCCAUCCAUAAAAGCAAAAUUCCACAUGGGAUGAAAUUCACAAGCUUCAUUUACGAUAGAGUCGCAUCCAGGCAAUUAAUUCCACAUUAGACCGCCUGUUGACAUGUGUACCAAUCUUUUUUCAAAAAAUAUUUAUAAAUAAUUGAUACUCACAAAAAUAAUUUAAUAUUUAUAAAGGAUAAAAAAAUAUUUUCAAAUCUAUAACAAUUUAUAAAAUAUUAAUAAAAAAUUAUCUCUUAAACUUAGUAUAGUUUUAUCAGAUUAAACUUUUAUUUUGAACAAAUAAUUUUAAUCUAAGUUUUAAAUUCUAAAAUUAUUUCCUUAAAAUAAAAUUUUAAAAUUCAACACUUCAAUUGAAAUUGUCUUUUUAAAAAAUAUCUUCUUAUUUUAAUCCUUAUAAACUAUAGUUGAUUGAAAAUACUAUUGAAGUUCUCUCUUAAAAAAAAGUCUUAUUUUAAUCUUCAUAAAUUGCCCUUGAUUUGAAAAUAAAUUUUCAGUUAUCAUAUUUUAAAUAAUAUCUAUAUUUAAAAUACUCUAUUUAAAAAAAAAUGAACUAAUUUUAAUUAUAUUAUAUUUUAUUUUUUUAUAUAUUUUUAAUGAUAAACCAAACAUAGAAAAUCAUUUUUCUAAAUAUUUUAAAAUUUCUAAGCAACCAAACAUAAUCUUCAAAAUAAAAGGAAAAUAAGGAGGGACAUUUGAGAAAUGGCGAUUAAAAAAAAGUGUACAAAAGCUCAAUUAAUUUUCUUCUAGUCUUUUAUAUAAAAAAGUAAAGGAAUUGAAAAGUAUUGAUAUGUAAAUUAAUAUUUGGAUUUUAAUAGUAUUUUAUUUGUCUUUCUCUAUCUCAUGUAAAAGAGAAUUUAAGAUAUUUCCUAAAGCAAAGCAUUAGUUAUCUGCAAUCAGUGGUGAUCAUGCCCCAUGUCAAUUUCGGACCCAUAUCUUAAAACUGUAUAAUUUGCAUUCAAACAUUACUGAUUUCUCAGAUGUUUCAUACUCCACAGAAGAGCAUUGUUUGUGAAAGCAUGCAUUUAUGUUGGAUUUUGGAUGAUGUGGGAACUGGGGCAAGGAUCAUAUGGAAGAGUGGUCGAUUUUGUUCUGUACUUUAACAUUUGAAAUAGGAGAAGCUCGGGCAUUUGUGGGGCUUAAUUGAUUUUGAAGCCUGAAAUUGCGUUUCUGUCAUUUUGUAAAAAAUAUGGCAGAUUCCAUGCUCUCAUAUGUUUGGUCUGUGGCCAUGUAUAGAUGCCCCUUAGUGACCAGUUUGUAACUGUCAAUCAUAGUGUUUUGACUCUGGCUCAACAACAUCAGCCAUUGACGGAUUUUCAUACUUGCAAAUCAAAUAGUCUUCUUCCUCCCUUAGGAAUUUCGGUUUAAAUGUUAUUAAGCAUACAUUUGGCUGACAAUUAUUAACCACUUCAUGAUAUGGUUUCUUACCCUUAAUCAAUGGUUUCUAAGUGAAUAUAUGCAGAAGGAAAUCUGAACUGUAGACAGCAGUAUUGAUAACUCUCAAUAUUCUUUAUAUAAGAGAAUAAACAACGUCAUAGUGAUCGUCGCCUACAAGAAAGGUACAUUUCCCAACAAGAUGUAGUUGUGACUGGUACAUGGACGCAAUUAACUCGUACAAAAGAAUAAGACCAGUGCACGGCAGCUCUUAUUUUACAUGCUAAUUAUGCUAACCAAAGUCACUCAGUUGGGAUGGGAGGGAGAUGGAGGUUUGUGCGGUGGCUUGUGGGGCGGAGUUGGUGGCUUCUUUUCAGGAGCUUGUGGCUUUUUCGGAGCUGAAGGAGGCUCAAUCUUAUGAGGCGGCUUGUACGAGUCUUCUUUACUCUCGACAGGAGGGUGGCCAGGGUUGUGACCAUAAUGUGGUGGCUUCUCUCCCUUAGGUGGCUUGCCAACUGGGGUUGGUGGCUUGUGUUCAGGAAGUGGUUUCUCUCCCUUGGGAGGUUUACCAAUUGGGGUUGGUGGCUUGUGUUCUGGGAGUGGUUUCUCUCCCUUGGGAGGUUUAGUGGGUGACUUGUGUUCUGGAGGUGGCUUCUCCACCGGAGGCUUGUGCUCCGGUGGUGGCUUCUCCACCGGAGGCUUGUGCUCCGGUGGUGGCUUCUUGAUUGGAGGGGGCUUGGGGUAAUCAGCAAGAGAUGGGAUGGUGAGAACCACCACUCCAAGGAACAACACUAGCAAGUAUGUGGGAGACAUUUCUGAGUUUGAGCUGAUCAGAUGAUGCAAAACUAGAAGAAUUACGGGACCUUUUAUAGCAAGUAUCUCCCAAUACCCACAUGACACGUGUUACUAUGACCAUAAAUAUUAUAGGGUCCAUUUGUGCCCUACCGGGUUGAAAACUUGGACGCUUGGCCGAGGACACACCUGACUAUGGAGGACUAUUGACGUGUGAUCACAGCUUUUGGAUUUUUCUUCCUGUGCAGCUGUCUAGCGGUUGGCAUUAUUUUCUUAAUCUUAAAUAAAGGCAUAGUUAUAGAGUUGUUUAAUCUCUAAAUGGGAUUUUAUAUAUCUUCAGAUAGCCAUUAAUAUAUUUGAUGAAGAAAGACAAGUGCAUACAACAUGUAUACGGCUUGCUUCAAUCGAGUACAUUUAUGAUCAGUUUUCCUGUGCAAGUAAACCAGUUUUUUGUUCCACAACUAUUUUGGAAUCUUGUUUAUCAGUUUCUAUCAUUAUAAUGUCACAUAGGCUGCAAACUUGGGCACCCAAAGAUCUAGGUGGGCAAAUUUGUUUCAGACUUUCAAUGGUGGAUUCAGUAAUUGUUAAAAGGUGUUUCUUCAUUAAGGAAAGAGUCCGGUAAAAAUAUUGUUAAAAGGUGUCAUAGAAACUAUAAUAAAUAAAUAACUUCUUUUCCCCAUGGGUGGUGUUUCUUCUGGGGAUCAGUGACUGGUUAGGGUCACCCAAAAUGAGUCCAGAUUAAAAUUGGUUCGAGUCAAAGCAGUCUCUUUUGUCCAGAAAUCAACUAUUUUGCGCAUUGAAUGAAUCGAUAAAGAAAAAAUGAAAGCCAAAUCACACCUCCCCUGCAAAACCUAAACCCCGGUUGCUAACUUUCUAUGUUUCAGUCCUAUUCAUAUAGGAAUAUUGGUUCAAGUUUGAGAAAAAUGGCAACUUACCUAGGGUUUACUUGGUUUUGGUUUGCGACUAUUUACGCAACCAACCAUGAGUUUGACUUUAACGUCAUGGGUUGAAGCCUCCUACAAUCAUGUAUGAUAGUUCAAAGCUCGUGGAAGAAAUUAUACAGGAAGGAAGAAACCUCCAAAGCUAGCUCCAAAAGAGAAUUAUCACAUCGAUAGCUCCAGAGAUUCCCAAGGGAACUGAAUCAAAGACAAGUUCCUCACUUUUUCUUCUUUUGAGGCCAAAUAUGAACCAAGGAUCACACGACCUCAUUCAACUUCAUAAGUUUGAUUUCAUGCAGUUGAACACUGGGUGAAGGCCAUGACAAGAAUUGAUUAAAAAAUUCUACCACUCUUUUAAGUAAUGGAAGAUUAUUAUCUCUGAUUGGCACCACAACAGCACAUGCUGCUAGAUCUUUCUAGACACUCCAUGCAAUGAAAGCACAAUGGAUCUUGUAAUGAUAGAAACUAAGCCAUGCUACAGUACUAGAUGAGGGGGUAAAACUAGUAGACAUCUUUCUAGACACUCCAUGCAAUGAAAGCACAAUGGAUCUUGUAAUGAUAGAAACUAAGCCAUGCUACAGUACUAGAUGAGGUGGUAAAACUAGUAGACAUGGCUGGCAGUUGAUUACUACUCAAAAAGUACUCUUUUAUAGCUUGAAACUAACUGUUUUAAACACUUUUGAGUAGUAGUUAAUACCUUUUAACUUAAUUGGCACAUUAAGGAACCUAGCAAGGGUUACUAAUCAACAUUUGGCAAGUUUUGAUGUUUUUGGUAGCUAUUUGAUCAUUGAAACAAGCCAAGAAUGAGGGGGAAUUUUGUGAAGUCCAUGGCAAUGCAAGUUAAAGCUCAAAUACAUGAAGAAUCCAAGCUUUGGAGCACUUCAUAGCCCUUUGCCAAGCCAAUCAAAGAUGCAAGGAAGAAAACCAAAGGAAGAAAUCCAACAAUCAGCAUUUUGGCAUGGCUAUGUGAAAUUUCGCACACCAUGCGAAACCACAAGAGGCAGCCAAAGAAUUUCGCAUGGUAUGCGAAAUCUUCUUGUGCACUGACUCUGUUAGAUUUUUAUCUUCAGAUAUUUUGUGUAAUUUCCUAGUUUCUCCUUGUAACCAACUUAGAUAUUUUCUUUUAUAUCUUUUUUUAUAUUUUUUAGGUAACAUCAUAUAUAAGAGGAGAGACAUAAGGAGGAUAUGGAUGUUUUUCAUAGAACACUUGUAAAUUUUUGGUAGUAAGAAAUAUACAAAGCUUUUUGCUCUGCCUUACCUUCUCAAGGGAUGAGUGGCUAGGUUUUCUUGGAGUGAGGGAAGCUAGGUGAAGGACCUGAAUGCAAAGGUGGGAGUUUUCCUUACUUUAAAUGAAAGUAGUUGUUAAACAUUAAUGGUUUUUAUUUUAAGGUUUAGCUUUAAAUCCCUGAAAAACACCUUGAAUGGCCAAUACUUGGUAAGCUUUUUAGAUUCUAUGGAUGCUUAUUGCUAGAUCCAUGGAUGUCUAUUAGUUAUCAUUUACGAGCCAUUGGAAGGUGAUUCAAGGUGAGGGUCUUUAGUGUUUGAAGCCAUUAAUGGGAAGCAAUUACCAUUUUUUCAUGAAUCCUUUGGAUCAAAUCUUAAUUGCUAAAUAUAAAACCGGUUUCGAGAGAUAACCACCAUCCUUUAUGUUAUUAUCCCCAACGCGAGGAGAAGAUCCGAAAUCUUCCUUUUUAUCUAAGGAACCCGAUCCUAGUGACCUAAAGCUCCAAGAUACCUUUUCUUUGUAGUUAACUUCAUUUAUUGUUUUUGCUUAACUUAAAAUCAAUCUUUGCAACCACAAUUCCAUUUUCUUUAAAAGCUAAUUUUUAUAAGGAAAAACACCAUUUUAUUUCCUUCACUAAGUCAACUGUACGAUGAAAACCCAUCCCUGUGGACGAUCCUAGAGCCACUAUACUAUGUUAGCUAUGCUACCCUAGUGUGAGGUGAUUUAGGUUUUAUAAAUUUUUUUGAUAACACCCAUCUGAGCCAGAAUCAAAUGGCACGACUGAACCAGGGACGAAUCAAAUGACGCCGCUACCAAGGAUGGUGCCAAAGUACAUUGACAUGACUUUUGGUGAACACUUGUGAUCUUCACCACAAGUUUGGUGAUUUUUCUUUUACUAAUUUUUUUUAUUUUAGCUUAUCUUUUAUUUAGUUUUUAGUUAACCUUAAAUUUUUCCUAGAAUUGUAUUUCUUUUGUUUUCUUUGUUUUUGUUUCAGUGAUCUUUAGUUGUGCAUGCCCUAUUGGAUAAGAGAUAUUGAGGGAAUACUUGUGAAGAUUGAAACUCCUCGAGAAACUGAGUUAGAAGUGUGCUUGAACAUCAUGGAUGUUCCACCUGAAGACCAGAAUAGCCAACAUGGUUAAGAGGAUAAUUUCAACACAUACCGAUCCAUGAGGAACCGCAUACAUCCACCUUGUAUGAGUGCACCGUCAGGCAUAAUGCCUCCCACUGAGCAGCUAGUAAUCUGACCUCACAUUGUGCCACUCCUACCUACUUUCCAUGGGAUGGAGAGUGAGAAUCCCUACUCGCAUAUUAAGGAAUUCGAGGAGGUUUGUAAUACAUUCCAAGAAGGAGGAGCUUCAAUUGACUUGAUGAGGCUCAAGCUAUUUCCUUUCACUUUGAAGGAUAAGGCCAAGAUUUGGCUUAAUUCUUUAAGGCCAAGAAGUAUCCAAACUUGGAUUGAUUUGUAAGCCGAGUUUCUUAAGAAGUUCUUCCCUACCCAUAGGACCAAUGGUUUGAAAAGGCAAAAUUUGAACUUCUCAGUUAAAGAGAAUGAGAAAUUCUAUGAGUGUUGGGAGAGCUACAUGGAAGCUAUUAACGUUUGUCCUCACCAUGGCUUUGACACAUGGCUCUUAGUGAGCUAUUUUUACAAUGGUAUGUCUUCUUCAAUGAAGCAACUCCUAGAAACUAUGUGUGGAGGAGACUUCAUGAGUAAGAAUCCGGAGGAAGCCAUGGACUUUUUGAGUUAUGUGGCUGAAGUUUCAAGAGGAUGGGAUGAACCAAAUGCUAGAGAGGUGGGAAGAAUGAAGUCUCAACCUAAUGCUAAGGGUGAGAUGUAUGUUUUGAAUGAAGACAUUGACAUGAAAGCAAAGGUUGCAGCUAUGGCAAGGAGAUUGGAAGAGCUAGAAAUGAAGAACAUACAAAAAGUGCAAGCCAUUUCUGAGACAUCAAUGAAAGCUAUGCCUUGUUCCAUUUGUCAAUCUUAUAAGCACCUAGUGGAGGAGUGUCCUACAAUUCCAGCAGUGAGAGAGAUGUUUGGUGAUCAAGCAAAUGUUAUUGAUCAAUUCAAGCCUAAUAACAAUGCUUCAUAUGGCAACACCUACAAUUCAAAUUGGAGGAACCAUUCAAAUUUCUCUUGGAAACGAAAGCCACCUCAAUACACACAACCUACUCAAGCACCUUAGCAAUCCUCGAAUCUUGAACAAGCUAUUGUGAACCUUAGCAAGGUUGUGGGAGACUUUGUGGGAGAUCAGAAGUCCAUCAAUGCUCAACUGAAUCGGAGAAUUGACAGUGUGGAGAGUACAUUGAACAAAAGGAUGGAUGAGAUGUAAAAUGAUCUGUCUCAAAAGAUAGACAAUGUCCAAUACGUAAUCUCAAGGCUUACCAACCUCAACACAGUGUAAGAGAAAGGAAAGUUUCCUUCUCAACCUCAUCAAAAUCCUAAGGGUAUCCAUGAAGUAGAGGCUCAAGAGGGAGAAUCUUCAAAGGUGAGGGAAGUCAAAGUAGUUAUCACCUUGAAGAGUGGUAAAGAGGUUGAUCAACCCACAUCCAAGCCAAAGCAUAAUGAAGAGAGUGUAGCAGAAAAAGAAAAGAGAGGAAAAUAAAGGAAUUAGAAUAGAGAAAAAUACAAAGAAAGAUGACCAUGAGUCUAGUGUGGAUGAAGAGCCCGAGAGGAUGGUGAUCAAGGAAGAUAUGAUGAAGAAACACAUGCCUCCACCUUUCCCCUAAGCUUUGCAUGACAAAAAAAGAACCAAUAAUACAUCAGAAAAUUUUGAAGUAUUGAGGCAAGUGAAGGUCAAUAUCCCUUUGCUAGACAUGAUCAAACAAGUGUCGACAUAUGAAAAAUUCUUGAAGGACUUGUGCACUGUAAAGAGAGGGUUGAAUGUGAACAAGAAAGCUUUAUUGACCGAGCAAGUGAGUUCCAUCAUACAGUGCAAGUCCUAGUGAAGUACAAAGAUCCGGGUUGCCGUACCAUCUCAGUGAGUAUUGGAAGGACUUGUGUGGAGAAAGCUUUGUUGGACUUGGGAGCAAGUGUGAAUUUGCUAUCCUACUCUGUCUAUAAGCAGUUGGGAUUUGGAGAGUUGAAGCCAAUAUCCAUCACUCUAUCUCUAGCGGAUAGAUCAAUGAAGAUUCCAAGAGGGAUGAUCGAAGAUGUCCUGGUUCAAGUUAACAAAUUCUACUAUCCAGUAGAUUUUGUUGUUCUUGAUAUGGAUCCGGUUGUCAAAUGAACUAAUUAUGUUCCUAUCAUACUUGGAAGACCCUUCCUAGCUACAUCAAAUGCAAUCAUCAAUUGUAGGAAUGGAGUCAUGCAACUCACAUUUGUCAACAUGACAUUAGAGCUCAACAUCUUCCAUUUGUACAAGAAGCAUAUCCAUCAGGAGGAAAAAGAAGGUCUAGAGGAAGUGUGAAUGAUUGACACUUUAGUGGAAGAGCAUUGUGAUCGAGAAUGCAAAAAGAUUUAGUUGAGAAUUUUGGGGAUCUUGAUGAAAGGUUACUUGAACCCUCAGAUUUGCUUGCUACCCUACUCCAUUGGAAGAGAAGAGAAGAAAUUCUACCCUUAUUCAAUGAGGAGGAGACGCAAAGAGCUGCAAAGGAGAAACCCCCAAAACUUAUUCUUAAGCCACUACCCACAGAGUUGAAGUAUGUAUACUUGGAAGAAGACAAGAAGUGCCCUAUUGUUAUAUCUUCAACUCUUACCAUUCAUCAGGAGGAUUGUCUACUUGAAGUCCUUAGAAGAUGUAAGAAGACAAUAAGGUGGCUAAUUUCUUAUUUGAAAGGGAUCAGCCCUUUAGUCUGCACCCAUCAUAUUUACAUGGAGGAUGAAGCUAAGCUAAUUCAUCAACCUCAGAGAAGGUUGAACCCUCACAUGCAAGAGGUGGUUCGAGCUGAAGUUCUGAAGCUACUUCAGACCAGUAUUAUUUACCCCAUAUCAAAUAGCCCAUGGGUGAGUCCUACUCAAGUUGCGCCAAAGAAGUCUGGGAUCAUGGUGGUGCAAAAUGAUAAGGGAGAAGAUGUCUCUACACGCCUCACUACAGGUUGGAGGGUGUGUAUCAAUUACAGGAGGUUGAAUGCAGUGAUAAGAAAGGACCAUUUCUCAUUGCCCUUUAUUGAUCAGGUGCUUGAGAGGGUCUCUGGGCUUUUUUUUUUAUUGUUUCUUGGAUGGCUACUCCGGGUACUUUCAGAUAGAAAUUGAUGUUGAAAACCAAGAUAAGACCAUUUUCACAUGCCCAUUUGGAACCUAUGCAUAAAGGAGAAUGCCUUUCGGCUUAUGCAAUGCACCCGCAACUUUCCAAAGAUGCAUGUUAAGCAUUUUCAGUGAUAUGGUGGAGCGUAUUAUGGAAGUCUUUAUGGAUGAUAUCACCAUUUAUGGAAGUGCAUUUGAUGAAUGCUUGGUCAACUUAGAAGCUGUUCUGAACCGAUACAUUGAGAAAGACUUAGUGCUUAACUGGGAGAAGUGCCAUUUCAUGGUACACCAAGGGAUUGUCCUUGGGCACAUUAUCUCCAAGCAAGGCAUUGAAGUUGACAAAGCAAAGGUUGAACUCAUUGUUAAGUUGCCAUCCUCAACAAAUGUCAAAGGAGUAAGGCAAUUCUUUGGCCAUGUCGGGUUCUAUAGGAGGUUUAUCAAGGAUUUCUCUAAGCUUGCAAGGCCUCUUUGUGAAAUAUUGGUGAAUGAUGUUAAAUUCAUAUGGGAUGAUGGAUUUGAAAGGAGUUUUGAAGAAUUGAAGCUAUUUUUGACAACCGUACCAAUAGUGAGGGCUCCCAACUGGCAACUGCCCUUUGAAGUAAUGUGUGAUGUCAAUGAUUUUGCUAUAGGAUUUUUUCUUGGGCAAAGAGAAAAUGGAAAACCUUAUGUGAUCUACUAUGCGAGGAAGGCAUUGAAUGAGGCACAAAGAAACUACACAACCACCGAGAAAGAAUUGUUAGCUGUAGUUUUUGCCUUGGAUAAGUUUCGCGCUUACUUGGUGGGGUCCUUCAUCAUGGUUUUUACUGAUCACUUUGCUUUGAAGUAUCUGUUGACUAAGCAAGAUGCUAAAGCAAGGCUGAUUAGAUGGAUUCUCUUACUUCAAGAGUUCAAUCUCCAUAUCAAAGAUAAGAAAGGAGUGGAGAAUGUGGUAGCAGACCACAUUUCAAGGCUAGCUAUCGCACAUAAUUCCCAUGCUUUGCCCAUUAAUGACGAUUUUCUAGAGGGGUCUCUCAUGUUGGUGGAAGUUGUCCCUUGGUACGCUCACAUUGCUAACUACCUGGUCACGGGAAAAGUUCCAAGUGAGUGGAAAGCACAAGAUAAGAAGCACUUCUUUGCAAAAAUUCAUGCCUACUAUUGGGAAGAGCCAUUUCUAUUCAAGUAUUGUAUGGAUCAGAUAAUAAGGAAGUGCGUUCCUGAAGAAGAGCAACAGGGGAUCCUUAGUCAUUACCAUGAAAAUGCAUGUGGAGGCCACUUUGCUUAUCAAAAGACAGCCAUGAGGGUGUUGCAAUCGGGUUUCUGUUGGCCAUCACUUUUCAAAGAUGCCCACACCAUGUGCAAGAGUUGUGAUCGAUGCCAGAGGCUUGGGAAGUUGACACGCAGGAACAUGAUGCCUUUGAACCCCACUUUAAUAGUUGAUAUUUUUUAUGUUUGGGGCACUAACUUCAUGGGACCUUUCCCUAUGUCUUUUGGCUACUCUUACAUCUUGGUAGGAGUAGAUUAUGUUUCUAAGUGGGUUGAGGCAGUCCCAUGCAAACACAAUGACCAUAGAGUGGUUCUCAAGUUUCUUAAAGAGAAUAUCUUCUCAAGAUUUGGGGUGCCCAAAGCCAUAAUUAGUGAUGGGGGUACUCAUUUUUGCAACAAGCCUUUUGAAACUCUCCUAGCCAAGUAUGGGGUGAAGCAUAAGGUAGCUACACCUUACCACCCUCAAACUCAUGGACAAGUUGAGUUAGCAAACAGGGAGAUUAAAAACAUAUUGAUGAAGGUGGUGAACACAAACAGAAAAGAUUGGUCAGUCAAGCUUCUUAAUUCACUAUGGGCAUAUAGAACAACUUACAAGACCAUUCUCGGGAUGUCUCCUUAUCGCCUAGUUUAUGGCAAAGCAUGCCAUCUCCCUGUGGAAUUGGAAUACAAAGCUUGGUGGGCAAUCAAGAAGCUCAACAUGGAUUUGAGCAGAGCUGGGUUGAAGAGGUUCUUAGACCUUAAUGAGAUGGAGAAAUUGAGAAAUGAUGCCUACAUCAAUUCAAAAAUUGCAAAAGAAAAAUUGAAGAGGUGGCAUGAUCAGUUGAUUUCCCGCAAGGAUUUUCAAAAUGGACAAAGAGUCUUACUUUAUGACUCUAAACUCCACAUCUUUCCGGGCAAGCUGAAAUCAAGGUGGAUAGGUCAUUUUACCAUUCACCAAGUGCAUUCAAAUGGAGUAGUGGAACUACUCAACUCCAACAAUAUCGAGAACUUCAAAGUGAAUGGCCACCGUCUCAAGCCCUUUGUGGAGUCUUUUUCUCACAACAAGGAGAAAUUCAUCCUCCUUGAUCCACAUCAAGCUUAACAAGACCAAUUUUCUUGAUGGACUUAGUCUUUCUAAAGACUAUCGAGUCCAUAACUUUUUGUUUUAUUUUUUAUUUGAGAUUUUUUCGGUAUUGUUACUUGUUUUGUUUUUUAUUUUUCGUUUUAAUUUUAUUUGGUUUGAUUUAACUUAGGUUUUUGAUGAUCAAUUACAGGGGGGAUUUCAAAUAGAGGAAAAACCAAGAUAAUUCGCACACCCUACGAAAAUUUCGCAAGGCAUGCGAAAUUUAUGGCUUAUUUUGCAUGGGGUGAAAAUUUUCGUACAUCUUACGAACCAAUUUCGAACACUUUGCGAAAAUAAACCAACCCUGCGAAAUCAUUUCGAUUACUCUACGAAAUUUUCGUAGAGCAUGCGAAAAAUUUAGCACACCAAACACCAUUUCGCAUACUAUGCAAAAACCUAAGGGGUCUGCGAAACCAUUUCGCACCUCCAAAUCCAUUUCGCACAUUGUGCGAAAACCAAGAGGCGCUGUGCGAAAAUGAAAAGUCGCCCUGUCAUCCCUUUUUAAACCCCUCGAGCCCUAAAAUCUCCAUUUCGCAAGCACCCCUGUCCUUGCGAAUCCCUCAUUUUCCUCUACUACCUUGCAACCUCGUCCCUUUCCAUUUGAUAUUGUGCCCCGCGCACAUCUCAUUUCAGAGACUCGCACUCCGCGCCCCCUCAAAGCAUGGACUCGAGACCCACCUUCCAUUUCCGACGUGGCACGGACCCAAGGAGCCCUUUCUGCCCCUUCACUAAGACACACACCAAGGCAGAAAGCCUCCUUUGCUCAAGUGCCUAGUGAUUCUCCAUCUUAGGCCUCAGAGGCCUCGGAGGCCCCGUGGAUUCCACCUUCCGAGGGUAGAGCAGCCAUUGGUCCUUCCUCUUCUACUCCUUAGCGUAGAUACGAGACGAGGAGACCACCUACUACACAAGGGGCGACUACUUCGAGCCUUGAGAAUUCAGUACGAUGCCUUCCUGCCAAGAGGGUCAAGACUUCAGGUCCAAGUGAGUCAUCCAGAGCUUCAUAGCCUAAGCCUCCUGUAGAUUCCAAGGUUCCUACUGACAUAUCACCGGAGUCUAUUAUCAGAAGCCCGAUGCUCAUAGCACCGCCCAUUGAGGGCAACUCAGAUUAUAGAGCGAGAUCUUUCCACUUGGAGCUAUAUUUUGAUCAGGAGGCCAUACGACAGCAGCCUGAGCUCCGAGACUCUUAUGGCUUACUGCAGAGGUACCAUCUUGAGGAACUUAUGACUCCUCGUGAGUUUUUUUAUCCCAGAGUAGCACUAAACUUUUACCAGUCCAUGACUACUCGUGGCGUCCCGAGUCCUACCACGAUUCACUUCACCAUUGAUAGACGUCAUGGUAUCCUCAAGGCCAGACAUAUUACAGAGGCUCUACAAAUUCCUUUCGAGCUAGAGGAUCCAUCUGUUUUUCGCUAAUGGUCCCCAGUAUCUCAGAGGGACAUGGUCCGUAUUUUAUCUAGGGGAACAUCUACAGAUUCGAUCUUUCUACGGAAGGAGCUUCGACCUGGGAUGCUCCUCUUAGAUGUGGUGCUAUGCUCCAACCUCUUUCCCUUACAACAUUCGGUACAUAGGUGAUGAGCUAUUUUGGACGCUUUAUUCCGUAUAUCAGAGGGCUUCUACUUUGGCCCGCACCACUUGAUCAUGGUCUCCCUCAUCCACUUUGAGGAGAAGGUUCAUAGGAAGAAGCUUCAGAGGGUGGACACCAUUCCAUUACUAUUCCUGAGGUUACUUUGCCAGGUCUUGGAGUACAUGGGCUUUCCUACUGAGCCUCGGCUCGAGCUUUGCCGCCUUUGUCGAGAGUGAUCCACUCUCGACAAAUGGAAUUAGUUGGCGGGCUAUUCUGCACCUCCAGGAGCCCCUCCCAUGGUAGCACCUCCAAUGUCCCCACAGGCAAAGUAGGGCGAGCUCCCGGCAAAGACUGUACCACCAAUGCCCACACUUGAGGCUAUUUCUGCUGCUCUGCCUAUGACUCCUACUGUUCCACCAGUUGGUCCUUUUACAUCCGAGCCUUCCAUCACCAUCUCGGCUUCGGAGUUUCGCGCCCUUGUGCAUACCUUUCAGACACUCACCACCACACAUACUCCUCUCUUCUAGCAAAUGGUUGAGAUGUGUGCCCAUCAGGACCGGAAGACUACUAUACUCUGCCAAAUUCAGCAGCACCUAAGACUUUUGCCUCAACCUCAACCUAACCAUCCCAUAUCAUCAGAGCCUCUAGCUCCAACUGAGGAUACUAUUCCACCUGAGAACACUACCACAGUAGAGGUCCGGUUUCCACCACCUUAAGAGGCCACCACAGCUACAUCAGAGGAUGUGUCAUCUCCACUUGAGGCUCCCACUACUUGAUCAUAGGACAUAUCUUUAUCUUAUUGUAUUUACAUAUUAUAUUACUAGAGAUUUGUCCUUGUUUUGAUACUUUAUAUUCUGGGAUUGGAUGUAUUGCCUGAUGAUAUCUCAAUUGUACUUUCUCAUAUUAAUAUAUAGACAUCAAUUUUUUUUAGUAUACUUAGCAUUUUUCUAUUUCCUCUACUCAUUACUCUUUUGUUUUUUUUUACUCAUGUGGUUUCUCUUAUACAACUCAGACUCCAUUUCACUCAGGAGGUACCACUUCCUCCCUUUAUUUUCAAUUGCUCUUGAAAUAUUGAGUGCAAUGUUGAUCUUGGUUGGGGGGAGAGUUGAGGAAGGAAGUUUUGUUAAUAAUGCUAGGUUAAUUUGUUAAUUUAGUUACUUUCUGCUUAAUUUUAAAAGUUUUCACUCUACUUUCCAUGGUUAUUAAGGAAAAAUUCUCAAAAUGAAAUGGGAGAAAUCGAAUUCUUGCAUUUUUACUUGAAUCUUAGAAUUUGUAUCAUGCUUAUUAAAGUUGAUGAAUUAUUGAAACUCCUAUUGAAUUCAACCUUAUUUUUUCCACUUUAAUCUUACCACACACGGUGCACAUUAGGUUCCAGUUAUAAGAUAAAAAACUAUCUCACCCCCUAAACUUAGAAAAAUUUACACUUGGUACCUUUGACAUCGUUUUAAUAGUGUUGGGACACCUUAUAAAAGGCCAAUGAGCCUUUAAAAAAAAAAAAAAAAAAAAAAAGAGAAAGAACAAAGUAUUGCACUUGCCUUGAAACCUGAGCAAGAUCCGAGGGGUAUACAGUGAAAGUCUUUAAAACCUGGUGCCCUAAGCCUUGAUUGGUUGGGAGUCACCGACCUCAAUGCUCGUUAUAAGGGUGAAUAGGUGGAGUUUAACAUAUUGUAGGUGCUUGGGUAUUGAAUUUCAAUCUCAAAAGUCCGGGAAAAAAUCUAAGGAGUUAGUGGUCAAAAGAUCCUUAAAGCUUGAUGCCCUAAACCUUGAUUGGUUGAGAGUCAUUGAUGGAUCCCCGCUACAUGGACAUUUUAGAAAACAAUACCUUUAGCAUUGCACGCCUACAAUGAAAAAAAAAUGUGAAAUAAAAGAGGUGCGUUCUUAGCCUAUUGGAGGUUGGUCAGUUUGCUAAAGUUUGAGAAAUCUAGGUUGGGGGGAGAGAAUAGUCCGACAUACUAUAAUAAAAAACUAAUAACCUUAACACUUAGAUUUUUGUGGAAGAGUAAGGAUUGGACCUUUAGGGGUGGAAAUUCUUUUGAUGCUUAAAUUUGCAUAAUGCCUACUCUUUAUAAAUUAUGAUUAGGCAAGAGAUUUGAUGACUCUUGUUCAAAGUUGGGUUUUUCCUCUUUGAUGUUCCAUGAGAGAGUAUAAUCCUCAUCAUGCCACUUGAAAUCUUUUUGGAGUGAUUAACAUGAUUUUGUAAAUUAUUUUACUGUCUAUUUUUCUUUAUCUCUCUUUUAUUGCUAAUGGACUAGCAAUAUGUCAGUUGGGGGGAGUGAUUACUACUCAAAAAGUACUCUUUUAUAGCUUGAAACUAACUGUUUUAAACACUUUUGAGUAGGUGUUAAUACAUUUUAACUCAAUUGGCACAUUAAGGAACCUAACAAGGGUUACUAAUAAGUUUUUGGCAAGUUUUGGUGUUUUUGGUAGCUAUUUGAUCAUUGAAACAAGCCAAGAAUGAGGGAGAAUUUUGUGAAGUCCAUAGCAAUGCAAGUUAAAGCUCAAAUACAUGAAGAAUCCAAGCUUUGAAGCACUUCAUAGCCCUUUGCGAAGCCAAUCAGAGAUGCAAGGAAGAAAACCAGAGGAAAAAAUCCAACAACCAGCAUUUUCGCAUGGCUGUGCGAAAUUUUGCACACCAUGCGAAACCACAAGAAGUAGCCAAAGAAUUUUGCACACCAUGCGAAAUUUCGCAUGGUAUACGAAAUCUUCCUAUGCACCAACUCCGUUAUAUUUUUAUCUUCAGAUAUUUUGUGUAAUUUCCUAGUUUCUCCUUGUAACCAACCUAGAUAUUUUCUUUUAUAUCUUUUUUUUAUAUUUUUUAGGUAACAUCAUAUAUAGGGGGAGAGACAUAAGGAGGAUAUGGAUGUUUUUCAUAAAACACUUUUAAUUUUCUGGUAGUAAGAAAUAUACAAAGUUUUUUGCUCUGCCUUACCUUCUCAUUUUGUUUUCACCUAUCUUUCUAGCCAAACAACCUCUGAGAAUGAUUUCUCAGGGGAUGAGUAGUUAGGUUUUACGUUUCUUGGAGUGAGAGAAGCUAGGUGAAAGACCCAAAUGCUAAGGUGGGAGUUGUCCUUGCUUUAAAUGAAAGUAGUUGUUAAAUAUUAAUGGUUUUUAUUUUAAGGUUUAGCUUUAAAUCCCUUAAAAACACCUUGAAUGGCCAAUACUUGGUAAGCUUUUCGGAUUCUAUGGAUGCUUAUUGCUAGAUCCAUGGAUGUCAUUAGUUAUCAUUUAUGAGCCAUUGGAAGGUGGUUCAAGAUGAGAGUCUUUAGUGUUUGAAGCCAUUAAUGGGAAACAAUUACCAUUUUUUCAUGAAUCCUUUGGAUAAAAUCUUAAUUGCUAAAUAUAAAACUGGUUCGGGAGAUAACCAUCCUUUAUGUUAUUAUGCCCAAUGCAAGGAGAAGAUUUCGAAUCUUCUCAUUUGUCUAAGGAACCCGAUCCUAGUGACCUAAAGCUCCUAGAGACCUUUUCUUUGUAGUUAACUUCAUUUAUUGUUUUUGCUUAACUUAAAAUCAAUCUUUGCAACCACAAUUCCAUUUUCUUUAAAAGCUAAUUUUUAUAAGGAAAAGCACCAUUUUAUUUCCUUCACUAAGUCAACUGUAUGAUGAAAACCCAUCCCUGUGGACGAUCUUAGAGCCACUAUACUAUGUUAUCUAUGCUAUCCUAGUGUGAGGUGAUUUAGGUUUUAUAAAUUUUGUUGAUAACACCCGUCUGAGCCAGAAUCAAAUGGAACCACUGAACCAGGGACAAAUCAACAGCCUAUAUGGGAGGGACACAAGUUUAAUUGAUUUGCAUUUCAGCGUUAUAGAUAAGUAUGUUUUGGAAGAUUUGUUCUGGAAAUACUGCACCAAGUACGAUUCUUUUUCUCUUGAGUGAGUCCAUUUGCAUGCCAAUUAACGAGUUGAAAAGUAGGAGCACCUACCUCGUGCUCAUGGAACCGAAUGUCAGUGAAGUGGGGCUCCUUUUAGCCUCUUGUGUUUCUGUUCCAACCAAGGCGGCGUAGGGAAAAACAACAAUAUGUCUGUGCUAAAUAUCAACGCAUGAUAGAUGUUUUUUUUUUUUUUUUUGGUAUGUCAAGGCUAACGAAUGAAAUGCAUUAGCUUGUUUUGUGACUAUAACUGCAAAUGUCCAAAUUGGAGUAUCUCCAUUUCUCACUUCGGAUGGUUAACUUUAUAAACAAGAUAUAGGAAACAUGUGAACAUCUUGAGGAACAAUUCAAAUUAUUCAUUAGAAGUCCUGGGUUAAGUUCCAAGAUUUAAAUCAGACCCUUCUAGCAGCUUCAAGGGUACUUAGCAACCUAUAACAUAUUAAUGAAGAUUUAGGAUUUAGACUCCGGAAUACAAAUAAAUAUGUAUCUCAUGCUUUGACUAGCUUCCCUACAUAUGCAUAAAAUGGAGAUGACCCAAAAAAAAUAGCAGAAUCUAGCUUCCCUACAUAUGCACAAAAUGGAGAUGACCCAAAAAAUAGCAUAAUCGCCUUAGUUUCUGUGGUUAAGGUGAUUCUCCGCUUAAUAUCCACAUUGACUCAUUAUGCAAAAUCAACUGAGCUAAUUUUAUUUAUUUAUUUAAUGUCAAAUAGGAACUCCUAAUUAACUGAUUACUGUCGAAAAGUGCUAUUUUGUAGACCUAAUUAUAAGGGUUUUAAGCACCUUUGAGUAGUAAUCAUAUUCAUUUAACCUAAUUAAUUCAUUAAGCUCCUUAGUAAUUAGUUCUAACCAUUUUUAGUGGCAAGUUUACAUGUUUUUCAUCAGCUUAUGAACCAAUUCAAGCAUGCCAAUUGAUGGAGGAGCUACUUGGGCGAGUUAAGCAAGGAUUUUGGACGUUUACAGGCUUGAAUUUCAAGUGGAAACACGAGCACAAGCAAUGGGAACACCAUUUCGCAAGGGGAGGCAAUUCACCUUGCCAAAUGACCAAUUUCGCAAGGGGAUUUUCCUCAUGGUGCAAAAUUUGGUCAUUUCGCACCAUGAAGAAACCACCUUGCAAAAUUUCGCAAGGUGGAUUUAGGCACCUUGCGAAAUGCCAAAUUUCACAAGGUGGCUUUUCACCUUGCGAAAUUUGGACCUUUCAUCUUCCCCCCUUGCGAAAUGCCUUUGAAAUCCCCUGUUUUGAGACGCUGUUGAUGAUAUUCCACUGCCGGUUCUCCAAGAUAUUUUGCUUGACUUUUAGCUUUAUAAAUACCUAUUUUACCCUUGUAAUCAACCAAUGAAAAGGUUGCUUUUGUAAUAGCUCUUGUAAUUUAGCUUUUUAUUGUCUUUAAAUAGAGGUGAAGAGCCUCAGACACGAUCAUCUUGUAACCUGUAACUUUAUAAGUUAUAAGAGCACUUUUGUUCAUACGCUUCUUUUCUCUUUUCUUUCUCAUUUUCUUAGUAGCCAAACAUCCUUGGAGGAUGAAAUCCCCAAGGAUGAGAGGCUAAAACCUUUUAGUUUCUUGAAGUAAUGGAUGCCAUGUGAAGCUCCCGUGUCAGGAUGGAGAUUUCCAAGCCAUAAAUGUAAGUAGCUGAGCGUCAUAAAUGUUUUCAUUCAAAGUAAAGCUUUUAAUCCCUCUGACUUGCUUUGAAUGGCCAAUACUUGAUAACCUUUUGGUCUCAAUGGAUUCUUAUUGUUAGAUCCACUGACGUUCAUUAGUUAUCUCCUACGAGCCAUUGUAUUGCAAGUCGAGGAGAUGACCUAUACCAAUAAAAGAGCAUUUAUGAGGUUCAACUACCCUUUUUGUAAGUUUUCAAGGACUAAAACUCAGUUGUUAAACUCAUACCGGUUCGAGAAGUAAGCAUCACCUUAGUUGCUUCCCCAACUCGAGGUGAAAAGUCCCAAAAUCUCCAUUUUUACACAGUGAGUUAAGCAUGGCUAUCCAAAGCUUUAAGAAACUUCUUUUUCCAUCUUUUAACCUAUUUUCAUGUUAGUUUAGUUUACAACACCUUCAUCUUUUUAUGUUUUCAUCUUAACCUAAUUUUUAUUAAGAAAAGUUCACUCCAUCCUCCGAACUUCACCAGUUAAAGUAAAAACCCUUCCCAGUGUUCGAUCCUAGAGCCACUAUGCUAUAGUAGCUUUGCUACUUUAGUGUAAGGACCUUAGGUAUAAAUUUUGUUGAUACCCUUACAUGCCAAGCUACCAAGAGUCGGGUUAUCAUUAACCUAACCAUUGGCCUGUGUAAAUUGAUUUCACAUGCACAAUGUUGUAGUAGAAGUCCAUAUUUUGAAUUUUAUUUUUGUAAAGGUAAGGAAAAUGAAGCAUUGUGUAAUUAUAAAAAUAACUUCAUUGGAAUUCACAAGGUUCACCCAAAAUGGAGCUACAUCUGUAUUCUAUCCUACAGUAGACUAUAUAGAUUGUACAAUAGUAAAUUGCAAAUACAAUUAAUAAGUCUUGUGCUUCCUUACUAAUAAUCCUUUGACAUGAACAUUGCAGCACUAAGGUCCUCUUGGGAAGACACCUUGCACCCAUGAGAGCACUAAGAGGAAGCAAGGCAGAGUCAUGGGUGCAAUGUCAUGACUUGUUGUUGCACCAAGAGAGGCUUGGUGAUGCCAUGGUGUUGCAGUAGCAAGAAUGUUGCCUUGGCAGGGACACGAUCUAGGGAUAGAUGCCAAGAAAGGCUUAGCACUCACAUGAGUUGCACAAAGAUGAAUGUAAUAGAGCAUCAGAGAGACGUCUUGGCAAGUAAAUGAAUGGAUCCAAGAGACAACAACAUGAGGAGUUUCAAAUGGAUAAGGAAUGACUCAAAGACAUUUGAAAGCUACAAGUUGGAUUCUAAUUACGAUUGCAAUUUGAGUUUGAGUAGGAGUUUAGAUUUUGAUUGUAAUUGUAGUAUGAGUUGGACUAGGAUUGCUUAUCCUUAGUCAAUAUAGGAGCGGUUCGUGUCACCCUAUGAAAAGAGUUUGAGUAGGGACUAGGAUUGCUUACUCCUAGUCAAAUAUGGAGUAGGUGGUGCCACACCUAUAAAAAAAAGGGACAACAUGAGAGAGAGAGAGAGAGAGAAAGAGAGAGUGAAUUCACUAAAGAUAUUGUGGGAGUUUUGCUUUGUUACGUCUUGUAUUAUUACUUAGAAUAGGAAUAAAAUACAAGUUGGGGCUAGAGCCCCAUAAUUAAUCUCGUGUGCCUUUGUGGUUAUUCUUUAUUUGUCAUCUCGUGUGGAUUGGAUUAGGUUGACUUAGAGGGCUUCUAAGCACCACCUUUGUGGGUUAUUAUUUAUUUUCCAUCUCUUGUGGAUUAGAUUAGGUUGACUUAGAGGGCUUCUGAGCACCACCUUUGUGGGUUAUUAUUUAUUUUCCAUCUAUUGUGGAUUAGAUUAGGUUGACUUAGAGGGCUUUUAAGCACCACAUUUGUGGGUUAUUCUUUAUUUUCCAUAUCGUGUGGGUUGGAUUAGGUUGACAAGGAGAAAAAUUAUGUGGGAAAUUUGUGUUGGGACACUUACCAUAACCAAGUAAAAUCUACCAAGUCCUUUGUAAUAUCUUCAACAAAUAUUUUAGACUAGUUCUUUCAGUUAGUGUAAAGGAGGAAGAAGUGGUAUUGAUUCUAGAAAUAGGGUGUGUGUAUUUGAACUACAAUCCUUAUGAUCCUUAGGUCUCUAAACCUUCGUGAUGGGCUCCCUGACAUUUCAUAGGUUGUGCUACACAUGCGUUUGAAAUUUAGAGUGCGUUUGACAGUGAUUCCGGGAAGUGUUUUUGGCCUUUCUUACACUUGAAAAUUUUUAUUUUUCAAGUAUUAGAAAUGCUACAAACACUUUUGAAAAUUACUGUCAAACACACUCUUAGGAGCGCACAUAUAUAGUAGAAAACUAGAAAUUGUGGUUUUUUUAGGAUUUACUGUAAUGUCAUUAGGAGGGUAGUAAGUUGAAAUUGAGUAUGAACAAAUAUUUCUUUCUUUGGGAUGUUCUUCUAGUAGGUGCUGAUGAAACUGUUCUUUCUACUGCCAAUGUCACAUAUCAGCCAGAAAUUGAAAAUUUCAGUCAAGGUGUCCUCUGUUUUAGUGGUGAGGAAAGCUAGAAAUUUUAAGGUGAAGUUUUGUUAAAAACCUUAAGUAGCUGGGAUAUCAGGCCUGUUUUGCUUGAAAAAAAAAGUUGCAAGAUAACUCAUAUGCCAAACAGGUUCUGAUAUUGUGAAUCUAUCGGCAGACAUCAGUAAUCUCAUCUUCUGAGAUGGAUGUUGGGGGUGCAUGUGGUGGUGGAGGGGCAAGGUUUCAUUUGGUUUAUUUUGUUGAUGGAUAUUGUCUAGCCACCUGCGCCAAGUUUGAGGGGUGGUGGGUUGUGAUGACCCUACAAUUACUAUUAAUUUCUUCAUCUUUUACCGAUUAAAGUGUCCGAACAGUCGAAGUUACCCUUAUGCAUGUCAACUUGAUCACUUACCUCUUCAAUGGAGUUUAUGCUGGUUCAUUUAGGAACUGAUUUUUAUUGUUAUGUAUUAUAUGCUGAUGUUUAGGUCUCUCCAUCAUCACUAUAUACAAAAAUUCUAGGUUGAUACUAUAGGUUGAGAUUUAUUUUUUAAAUAAAAAAUAAUAAAAAUAAAAAUUAUGGUGAUGUUUAGUUGUUUUAUGGAAAAUUUUAACAAGUAAAAGUUAUUUUUGGGCAAGUUUUCAAACAAAAAGAAAAGUAAAAGUUGUUUUGACAAAAACAUAUAGAAAAAAAAAUCAUAGAAAAUAAAUAAUUUCCCCAUAUUCUAACUUUUUUGAAUUUUUCUCAAUGGGCAAAGGAAUAUCAAAUCAAGUUUGAGUAGGAUUUCUUAAUUUUUAAAAUAACUUACAAUUAAAAAAUUUUGGUGUUUUCAUUUUUGGACAAUUUUUUAUUAAGCAAAUGGACUCUGAGUCAUGCAAGAGAUAUGGUUCAUUAACCGGUCGAACAAUUUUUUUAAAUUAAUUUAAAAGUCAAAUACAUAAUCAAUUUCACAAAAUUUAUAAACAAAAAUAGGUUUAGAGAAGAUCUACACAUAAUUUUACUUUUCUAAUUUUAUUUUAUUUUAUUUUUUGUUGGAAAAUAGUCUUCAAAUCAUGUAAGAUUUAAUAGGUUAAAUUUGUUAACAAUAAAUUUUAAAUUAUAAAAUAUAAUCUGGAACUCAAAAAUCAAUUCAAGUAAUGCUAAAAAAAAAUCAAAUUUGGUAUAGAAUGACUUUGUAAAUUUUUUUACAAAACAAAUGAAUUUUAAAUCAAGUGAGAUUUAAUGCAUUAGAUUUUUAUCAAAUAUAGUAAUUUUAAAAAUAAAUUUGGAACUCAACAAUAGACACAAUAAAUACCAAAAAAUAAUGAACCAAAAUUGGUUUGGAAUAACUCCACAACCUUUUUUUUUUUUUUUUGGUGCACACGAAUUUUCUUACUAGGUAUAUUGCUUUCAAAUUGAGAAAGAUUUACCAUUUAGAUUUUUUUUUAAUGAGUUUAAUGGUAUUUUAAAAUAAUUCAAAAUUUAAAAAAUUGACUAAUUAAUAUUAUAAAUUGAUAAACCAAGACUAUUUCAAAAUGCAUUGGGGGCUAAGGGGGUUGAAAAUAGGGACAAUGGGAUGGGUUUGGGACAUGACACUCAUAUCUCAUUUCCAUUCCAAUUACACAGUUAUCUCCCAUCCUUAUCCCAAACUUGUGUUGGAGCAAGUUGAUUUGUUCCCAUCUUUGUUGACGAAAUGACUAAUAACCUCAUCCCCUCCUUAUCUUAGAUGUACAUUUUGUCAAAUUUGAUCAGGUAUGAUUGAUCCAAGCCCUAACCCUAAUUGGUAAUGAGUGAAUACUACACCUAAUUGCAUUCUUCUUUCAUUGCAAAAUAAUGAGAUUAUAAUAAUCUAGCAAAUAAGAAAAAAUAGUAUGGAAGUUCAAAUUAACACCAUAACUAUCAAUAAUUUUAAGCUUAUAGAUGACUUAAAUGAUUAAAAACUAAUGCAAAAUCCUAAAAAAAAUAAAAAUCAUAUAAAGAAUUCACAAGAGAACAGAAUGAACAAAAACCAAAUAUGAACAUGGGUCAACAUUAGUUAUGGAUUUGGAUUCCUUUCAAGGCCAAUCUUUGAACCAAGACUUCAUCAAAUCAACUACUUCAAAGGCUUUUGUGUUCUUCUUGGGUUGUGCUCUCAAACAAAGACUUCGAGGUGAUGUUCUAGAUGAUUGAAUUACACAUAUUUAGGGUGGAGAGAUUGGAGAAGCUUGAAGAUGCCAACGAUGGGUACAAUUGAGUGGUCAAUAAGAACAAUGUAGCCUAUGACUAGUUUGAUGUCAUGGUACAAGAGUUUUAGGCAUUGAGGUUAAAGCAAGAGCAACAUGGAAUUGAUUUCGGAGUCUUUCAGUUAGUGUAAAGGAGGAAGAAGUGGUGUUGAUUCUAGAAAUAGGGUUUUAAGUGGUGCGUGAUUACUACUCAAAAAGUGCUAUUUGAUAGCCUUUAAUUAAUCCUUUUUAACACUUUUGAGUAGUAGUUUAGGCCUUUUAACUCAAUUGGCAUGUUAAGGAUCCUUUAAAGCAAUUUUGAUCACUUUGUGCAAGUUUUGGUGUUUUUGUUAGUAUUUUGAUCACCAAAGCAAGUCAAGAAUGAGGAGAACUAUGAGGAAUCAUGGGCAAAGCUUAGAAUUCAAUUGCCAAGAGUGAAUCCGGAUUGCAAGGAGAAAAAGCAAAGAGAAUCUGUCAUGAAGCCUAUUCUUGAUGACAGUCGUAGCAGCCACUUUUGGAGCACUUUCUGAAGUCCAAAUGAUGCAAGCUAUAUACCAUUUCAAAGAUCAGGAAGUCAACAAUCCAAUGCUUCAAACGGUGCGCGAUUCGGAGUUGAAACGAAGAAGUUGCAGCCAUUACAAGCCAGUCACUCUAAAGUGUUGCGGAAUCAGCCUUUUGUUGCGAGAAUUUCGCAGCACUUUUGUACAGUAAGGUGUUUCUCCUUCUGACGAUGCACGAACCAUGCCGCGAGAGGGAAGCUAGGAACUUCAAGAUGGAAGCCAACUUUGCAGCCUGGUGAAGAUAGCUUGGUCUUGCGAAAUAAUUUCGCAGCCCUCUUGGGUGUCUGCGAAAUUUCGCAGGCACCACUUUUUUCCUGCGAAAUGGCUCCGGAAGCCUCCCGAAGCUUGCUACCGACAUUGGGAGAUAUUUUCCAUUAGAUUUUUGUUGUCUAAAUUCCAAAAUACUCCUUGUAAACCACCAAUUACAUGAUUCCUUAGUUUUUAAGUUAGUAAAAAGACCAAAUAUCUAUGUAAUAAUUAGUUUUAUAUUAGUUUGCUAUAAAUACCUCUCGGGAGCAUGUUCUCAGAGAGGAGUUCCUUCUGUAACCAUUUUGGUAAGCAAGUAAAGUCUUUUCUUUCUACUGCCUUACCUUCUCACUUUGUAUUUUCAUUUUAUUUCUAAGUUAUGAAUUCUCUGAGGAGCUUUCCCCAGAGAAUGAGUAACUAAACCUCCAAUUCCUUGGAGCUAAGGUUGCCGGGGAAGGUUCCAAGUGCAAGAAUGCAAAGCUCUGUGGUUUUAGCUAGUAAUGAAGAGGAAGUGAAAUCCUUUAGUGAUUUCAAUGUUUUUAGUUAACUUAAAACACCUUGGAGUCACCUGGGCCAACACUUGGUAAGGCAAGUGAUUUCCAACCGUGGAAAUGCACUAGUUUACCCCUUGCGAGCCUCUGGUAGGUGACUUCAAGGUAGGAUUUUCUGGAAUUACCAACACUUGGUAAGCUUUUGGACUCCUAGGAGACAUCCAUUAGUUAUCUCUUGCGAGUUUGUGAAGGGGAAUCCAAGGUUAAAGAUCACCUUGAAUGGUAAGUGCUCGUGAGAGGCAUGAACCAUUGCAAGUUGUAUCAGUGAGAGAAUUAAAGUGAAAUCUAAUUGAAGGAGUCUCUGUACAUCACCGGUUAGAGAAUUGACUAUAAGUUGAAUCUCUAAUGCGAGGAAAUGAACCAUCUGACCGGAGCUAUGUCUUUUGCAUGAGGAACCACCCCAGUGAACCUAAAUCUCCAAGGAAUGCUUUUCUUCCUAAAUUAUUCCAAACUUCUGUUAAGUUAGUUAGUUUAAGUCUAAACCUUUACCAAUCAAACUUUGUGUUUUAUUUCUUAAGCUAACCGUGAAAUGAAACAAAACCAAUUCACUUGGAAUUGGUAUCCUUGAUUGCUUGCAAAUCAUUCCCAGUGAACGAUCCUUAGAGCCACUAUACUAUAGUAGCUUUGUAUUUGCUACCCUAGUGUAUGGUGUUAUAGGUAUAAAUUUUGUUGAUCACUUCCUCAAUCAAGGAACACCAGCUGAACACAAAUCAGCUGAGACACCAAUUGGGCAUGAGUCAAAUGGCGCCGUUGCCGGGGAAUGAGUGUCAAGAUCAUUGUGAUACCAUUUUUGAGCACUUGUGAUUUUCAUCACAAGUUGGUAAAGUUUCUUUCACUUUACUAAUUUUCAUUCUCUCUUUGUUUAUUUACAAUCUAAGUUUAUCUUUUUAAAAUUUAGUCUAGUUUAAUUUUGCUAUUGUAGCCUUGUUUCUCUUGUUGUCCUCUGUUCUUGUUGUCCUCUGUUUUCAUUUUAGUUGCAGCUGAAUACUAGUUGUGUAUGCCAAAGUGGAUACGAGACAUUGGAGGUAGGCUUAUUAAGUGUGAUACACCUCAGAGAGGAGAAUUGGAAGUAAUCUUGAAUAUCAUGGAGGCUGCACCUGAAGAUCAGCAUAGUCACCAAGGUCGUCAAGACAAUCUCAAUGAAUUCAGAUCAAUGAGGGACCGUAUGCAUCCACCUCGUAUGAGUGCACCAUCAUGUAUAGUGCCCCCUACAGAGCAACUAGUGAUCAGACCAUAUCUUGUUCCACUUCUACCAACUUUCCAUGGGAUGGAAAGUGAGAAUCCGUAUGCACACAUCAAGGAAUUUGAAGAUGUUUGUAAUACAUUCCAAGAGGGAGGAGCUUCAAUUGAUUUGAUGAGGCUUAAGUUAUUUCCUUUUAAUUUAAAGGAUAAGGCCAAAAUUUGGCUUAAUUCUUUAAGGCCAAGGAGUAUCCGCUCUUGGACUGAUUUACAAGCUGAAUUCCUCAAGAAAUUUUUUCCUACUCAUAGAACAAAUGGCUUGAAAAGGCAAAUUUCAAACUUCUCAGCUAAAGAGAAUGAGAAAUUCUAUGAGUGUUGGGAAAGAUACAUGGAAGCUAUAAAUGCUUGUCCUCACCAUGGCUUUGAUACUUGGCUACUGGUGAGUUAUUUUUAUGAUGGUAUGUCCUCCUCAAUGAAGCAACUCCUCGAGAAAAUGUGUGGAGAAGAUUUCAUGAGCAAAAAUCCAGAGGAAGCUAUGGAUUUCUUGAGCUAUGUAGCUGAUGUUUCAAGGGGAUGGGAUGAACCAACUAAAGGAGAAGUGGGAAAGAUGAAGUCUCAGUUGAAUGCUUACAAUGCAAAGGCUGGGAUGUAUACUUUAAAAGAGGAUGAUGACAUGAAAGCAAAGUUGGCAGCUAUGACAAGAAGAUUGGAGGAGCUGGAGCUGAAAAGAAUGCAUGAAGUGCAAGCUGUUGCUGAAGCACCAGUGCAAGUGAAGUUGUGUCCCAAUUGUCAAUCGUUUGAACAUUUGGUAGAGGAAUGCCCUGCAAUUUCAGCUGAAAGGGAAAUGUAUAGAGAUCAAGCAAAUGUUGUUGGACAAUUCAGGCCCAAUAACAAUGCUCCUUAUGGAAAUACCUACAAUUCAAGUUGGAGGAAUCAUCCAAAUUUUUCAUGGAAGGCCAGAGCAACUCAAUACCAACAGCCGGAUCCACCAUCUCAACAAUCUUCAAGUAUUGAACAAAUAAUAGCUAAUCUCAGCAAGGUAGUGGGAGAUUUUGUGGGAAAGCAAGAAGCCACCAAUGCUCGAGUGGAUCAAAGAAUGGACAGAGUGGAUCAAAGAAUGGACAGAAUGGAGAGUAUGUUGAACAAAAGAAUGGAUGGAAUGCAAAAUGAUAUGAAUCAAAAAUUUGAUAACAUCCAAUAUUCAAUUUCAAGGCUUACAAAUUUGAAUACACUGCAAGAAAAGGGAAGAUUUCCUUCUCAACCUAACCAAAAUCCCAAAGGUGUCCAUGAAGUGGAAAGCCAUGAGGGAGAAUCAUCACAGGUGAAAGAUGUGAAAGCUUUGAUCACUCUAAGGAGUGGUAAGAAAAUUGAGCAGCCAACACCCAAGCCACAUGUUGAGAAAGAAGAAGAGAUGAAGAAAGGGAAGGAAAUGGAAGAUAAAGGCAGUGAGAUCAGUGAAGAAAAGAAGGACUCUGAUGCAACAAUGAAAGUAAUUCCAGAGAAGGAGCUUCUGAAGGAAGAAAUGCUGAAGAAAUCAACUUUUCCACCUUUUCCUCAAGCAUUACAGGGGAAAAAGGGGGUUAGAAAUGCAGCUGAAAUCCUAGAAGUAUUGAGGCAAGUGAAAGUUAAUAUUCCACUGCUGGAUAUGAUCAAACAAGUUCCAACGUAUGCAAAAUUCCUAAAGGACUUGUGUACUAUCAAAAGAGGGUUGACUGUAAACAAGAAAGCCUUCUUGACUGAGCAAGUAAGUGCAAUCUUACAGUGUAAGUCUCCUUUGAAGUACAAAGACCCUGGAAGUCCUACCAUUUCAGUCAUGAUUGGAGGAAAGGUAGUGGAGAAAGCCUUGCUAGACUUGGGAGCAAGUGUGAAUUUGCUUCCAUAUUCUGUCUACAAGCAACUGGGACUUGGAGAGUUGAAGCCAACAGCAAUCACUUUGUCUCUGGCAGAUAGAUCAGUGAAAAUUCCAAGAGGGGUAAUUGAGGAUGUAUUGGUUCAAGUAGAUAAUUUCUACUAUCCUGUAGAUUUUGUUGUUCUUGAUACAGAUCCUACUGUAAAGGAAGCUAAUUUAGUUCCUAUCAUCCUUGGAAGGCCAUUUCUUGCAACUUCAAAUGCAAUCAUCAACUGUAGAAAUGGGCUUAUGCAACUCACUUUUGGUAACAUGACACUGGAUCUAAAUAUUUUCUAUAUGUCUAAAAAGCAAAUCACUCCAGAAGAAGAAGAGGGUCCAGAAGAGCUAUGUAUUAUUGAUACUUUGGUGGAGGAGCACUGCAAUCAACAUAUGCAAGAUAAGUUGAAUGAAAGUUUUGUGGAUAUUGAGGAAGGUUUUUCUGAAUCUCCUAAUGGGCUUGCUACUCUACAAAGUUGGAGAAAGAUAGAAGGAAUUCUACCUUUGUUCAAUGAAGAAGAGGAGGCAGCUGUUGAAAAAGAAAUUCCAAAACUCAAUCUGAAGCCUUUACCUAUGGAGCUGAAAUAUACAUAUCUUGAAGAAAAUAAUCAAUGUCCUGUCGUAAUAUCUUCAUCUCAAACCAAGUCUCAAGUGAAGGAUGCAAGCUUCAAAUGGGAUCCGGGCAAACUGAAUCAGGAAGGGCAAAAAGUUUUGAUGUAUGACACAAGACUCCAUAUCUUUCCUGGGAAGCUCAAGUCAAGGUGGAUUGGUCCAUUUGUUAUUCACCGAGUAUAUUCCAAUGGAGUGGUGGACUUAUUGAAUUCCAAUGGCAAGGACAGCUUUAGAGUCAAUGGAUAUCGUCUUAAGCCGUUCAUGGAGUCAUUCAAAUCAGAAAAGGAGGCAAUCAACCUCCUUGAACCUCAAAAAGCCUAAGUGAAAUGGGUUUGCUGGACGUGGUUUUACCACAGUCCAAAAAUUUUUGUAAAUUUUGUAAAUUUUCAAGUUGUUUCCAUGCUUUUAAUCUUAGUUUUUGAUUUUAAAUCAUGUUUUUAGGUGUGUUUUAAUCGUUUUAUAUGAUCCCAGGCGGAAGAAAUUUCAAGGGGAUUGAAAAGAAAAAAAUCGGGUCGAAAUUGGAGCCGAAACAGAGCAAAAACAGGGGAAAAACAGAGCUCUGCGAAAUUUCGCAGGGUGAAGGAAACUUCUGCGAAAUUGGCAUUUUGCUGCCAAACCAUUCCGCAGCACUGUAGAAGCCUCUGCGAGUGUAUUUCGCAAUUGCGAAAGUGGAUUUGGCACACGAGUGCCACUUCGCAGCACAGUGACAUCAAUUUCGCAGCUGCGAAACUCACUGCGAAGUUGCUGCGAAAAUGGCAAGUUGCUGCGAAAUUGGCGUUUUGUUGCGAAACGUAAUCUGACCCCUGGGCUUCCGUUUUUCCUAUUUAUACCUGUCAAAAGUGCUGCGAAAAAGGUUUCAAAAAUUAGAGCACCAUUCUCGCAGCCCUUUCAUCUUCUUCGCCAAGCCACGCCGUCCGUUUCUCCGGUCGUCUUCUCCGUUUAGCAGCGCCGGCCAAAGAUCGAUAGCCCAAAAAUGGCACGAACGCGAGGGGCAAAGUCUUCAUCCCCUUCGAACCGCAAAAGGAGUCUGCGAAAGGAGCCAAGUUCAGGCUCUGUUCCAGAACCUGCUCCAAAGCCUUCGCCGUCGAGACCACAACCUUCUCCAGUGAAGCCGGCGCCACCAAAGCCGCCGGCAAGGCGAUAUUUAACCAGGUCAGGUGGUCAGCCAUUGAAGAAGAAAGCCAGAGUUGAGAGCUCUGAACCAAUCGAUUUGACUGAGCAAUCCCCUGAGAAAUCACCAAAUCCUUCACCGGUACAAAUUCCAGUGCCAUCACCGGUUCCCUCGCCAAUUCCCUCACCAGAAGCAACUCCAAUUCCAUCGCCGGUACCAUCUCCGGCACCCCAAGAAAAAGCUCAGGAGCCUCAAGCGCCAAUUCCAGAGCCCCAAAUUGCAGCUGAAGCACCUCUGGAAGAAGUGAUCCGAAGGCCAAUGCUGCCUCAGCCCCCAAUCGAAGGAAACCUGGAUUGCCGAACUCGGGCAUUCCAUUCUGAGCUUUGCUUCGAUUUAACAGCAUUCAGAGUGAGGCCAGAGCUUGCCCAAUCCUUCCAACUGCUGAGGAGAUAUCAUAUGGAGCAUCUGCUAGCUCCAAGGGAUUUUUUCUAUCCCCGGGUAGUCACGGAUUUCUACCAAACCAUGACAACCAAAGAAGUAAGAAAUCCAACUCUGAUUCAUUUCAUAAUUGAUGGAAGGCAUGGUAUUUUGGGAGCAAGACAUAUUGCUGAAGCCCUGCAAAUUCCUUUUGAGCCAACUCAAUUCGACAAUUUUAAAGCUUGGACAAAUCCUACUGAGUUAGAGAUGGUUAGCACACUAACCAGAGGAGCUGCAAAUCGAUCGCAUUUGUUGAGGGGGGAGCUACCUCCAGUUAUGUUUUUGAUUGAUGCCUUUUUGAGGCAUAAUAUCUAUCCCCUGCAGCAUUGGACCCAAAGAAGGGGAAUUCUCCUAGAAGCCUUGUACAAAAUGUCUGAAGGAUUCUUCUUUGGGCCUCAUCAUCUGAUCAUGGCAGCCCUUCUAUACUUUGAGGAGAAGGUUCACAAGAAGAAGCUUCAAAGAGCAGAUUGCAUUCCACUCCUCUUCCCAAGGCUGCUAUGCCAAGUUUUGGAGCAUCUCGGAUACCCCUCUGAGCCUCAGCAGGAAAGAAAGAGAAUAUGCCGUGAGCCUUUUACCCUUGAUAAAUGGAAUAAUAUGACGGCCUACAAAAUUGAUCAGCCUGGGCAGCCUCAGCCAGCAGCAAGGAGAGUCUCCCCAAGACAUAUACCUGAAGGUAUAACACUUGCUACUCCUGCCAUCCCUCGAGCUCCACCAGCUGCACCUGCUCCAUCACAGCCAUCCACAUCAGCUGAGCCGAGGAUGGCCAUCCCUAUAUCCGAAUAUCGAGAGCUGUGCCGUGCAUUGGAGACUCUUACAGCUUCUCAGAGCAAUCUUGCUCAGGAGUUGGCAGCCAUUAAAGCAUGCCAGGAGCAGAUGUUAGCCUCUCAGACUCAACAAGCUGCCAUCCUAAGGCAGCUUCAAGUCCAUUUCGAUCUGCCACAAGCUGUAGAGCCCUCUAUUCCUACUCCACCAGAGCCACACUCUCAGCCUUCAGAGUCUCAUCCUCCAGAACCCGAAGCACCAGCUGAUCCACCUACUGAGGAGGCAGAUCCUUCUGCCUAGCACCAUCACCCCCCUCAUCAGACAUUAUAUAUAUAUUUGCUGUUUAUGUUUUUAUGCAUGUUUGUUUUGUUUUAGUUGAAAAGAAAUCCCAGUAUUUUGGUACUAUAUAUGGGAUUCCUUGUGUUACUUGUCUUUAGUAUUGUAAUCACAUGAACUCAAAGUAAUACAAGUUGACUAUUUCUUGUUAAAAGUUAGCAUUAAAGUUUCCUUAUUUCCUUUUCUCACAUAUUCUAUUCUUUUUGAAACAUGUGGUUUUCCCCAAUCAAUAUUCGAAUUUGAUAUCAGCAUGGAGGUACCACUUCCUCCCUUUUAUUACAGUCACUCAAAUCACAUUGAGGACAAUGCUCAGUUCGGUUGGGGGGUAUGAGGAAGGAAGUAUUCUAAACCUUUUUGGUAUUGCAAUUAUAUUGGUUAAUUAGUUGUAGAUUUUACUUUUUACUAGUGUUACUCUAUUCUCCAUGAAUUUUGAGGAAAAAUUUUCAAAUUAAACCAAGAGAAAUUGAACUGUUGUUUUUCACUUGACUUAGAGUAUGGAUUAUGCUUACUAAAGUGGUUCAAUUGUUGAAACUUCUACUGAAAUUGAAUUGAGUUCUUCCACUUUAAGCUAUCCACACACUGUGCACAUUAGUUUCCGAUUAUAAGAUGAAAAGCUAUUUCCCUCUUGACUUAGUAUAUUUUUGGGACUUGGUAUAUUUGACCUCAUUUGAUAAAAAUUGAAACACCCUGCAAAAGGCCAAUGAGCCUUUGAAAUAAAGAAAGUUGUUUGCUUGCCUUGAAACCCGAGCAAGGUCUGAGGGGUAUAUGGUGAAAAUCUUUAAAGCCUGGUGCCCUAAGCCUUAAUUGGUUGGGAGUCACCGACCUCAAUGCUCGUUACAAGGGUGAAUAGGUAGAGUUAGCAUAUGGUAGAUGCUUGGGUAUUAGAAAUUCAUUCUUAAAAGUCCGGGGAAAAAUCCGAGGAGUUAGUGGUUGAAAGAUCCUUAAAACUUGGUGCCCUAAACCUUAAUUGGUUGGGAGUCAUCGAUGGACCCCCAUUACAUGGACAAGUCAGAAAGAGUACCCCAUAAAGCUACCUUAAAAAAAAAAAAAAAAAAAAAAAAAAAAAAAAAGAUGAAAGUGUGUUCUUUUCUUAUUGAUUUUGGUCAGUUUGCUAAAGUGUUGAAAAGAGAUAGGUUGGGGGGUGAGAUUAGUAGCAUAUUAUUCUCGGAACCUAAGGAACCAAUACACAUAGAUUUUUGUGGAAGAUUGAAGUUUAGUUCUUAGAAAAUGAAAUGAUUUUAAAACUUCAGUUUGCAUAAUGCACUCCCUUGAUUGACAGUGUUUAGCAUAGGUGUUAUGACUCUUGUUGAGAUUUGGGUUUGUAUUUCUUUAAUGAUUCAUGUGAGAAAUAGAUCAUCAUGCCACUUGAGAAUUAUUUUCCUUUUAGCAUGAUGUUGUAAAUUUUAGAUUAGUUUGCUAUUUAUUUUUUAUUUUCUCUCCUAUAUUGCUAAGGGACUAGCAAUAUGUCGGUUGGGGGGAGUGAUUACUACUCAAAAAGUGCUAUUUGAUAGCCUUUAAUUAAUCCUUUUUAACACUUUUGAGUAGUAGUUUAGGCCUUUUAACUCAAUUGGCAUGUUAAGGAUCCUUUAAAGCAAUUUUGAUCACUUUGUGCAAGUUUUGGUGUUUUUGUUAGUAUUUUGAUCACCAAAGCAAGUCAAGAAUGAGGAGAACUAUGAGGAAUCAUGGGCAAAGCUUAGAAUUCAAUUGCCAAGAGUGAAUCCGGAUUGCAAGGAGAAAAAGCAAAGAGAAUCUGUCAUGAAGCCUAUUCUUGAUGACAGUCGUAGCAGCCACUUUUGGAGCACUUUCUGAAGUCCAAAUGAUGCAAGCUAUAUACCAUUUCAAAGCUCAGGAAGUCAACAAUCCAAUGCUUCAAACGGUGCGCGAUUCGGAGUUGAAACGAAGAAGUUGCAGCCAUUACAAGCCAGUCACUCUAAAGUGUUGCGGAAUCAGCCUUUUGUUGCGAGAAUUUCGCAGCACUUUUGUACAGUAAGGUGUUUCUCCUUCUGACGAUGCACGAACCAUGCCGCGAGAGGGAAGCUAGGAACUUCAAGAUGGAAGCCAACUUUGCAGCCUGGUGAAGAUAGCUUGGUCUUGCGAAAUAAUUUCGCAGCCCUCUUGGGUGUCUGCGAAAUUUCGCAGGCACCACUUUUUUCCUGCGAAAUGGCUCCGGAAGCCUCCCGAAGCUUGCUACCGACAUUGGGAGAUAUUUUCCAUUAGAUUUUUGUUGUCUAAAUUCCAAAAUACUCCUUGUAAACCACCAAUUACAUGAUUCCUUAGUUUUUAAGUUAGUAAAAAGACCAAAUAUCUAUGUAAUAAUUAGUUUUAUAUUAGUUUGCUAUAAAUACCUCUCGGGAGCAUGUUCUCAGAGAGGAGUUCCUUCUGUAACCAUUUUGGUAAGCAAGUAAAGUCUUUUCUUUCUACUGCCUUACCUUCUCACUUUGUAUUUUCAUUUUAUUUCUAAGUUAUGAAUUCUCUGAGGAGCUUUCCCCAGAGAAUGAGUAACUAAACCUCCAAUUCCUUGGAGCUAAGGUUGCCGGGGAAGGUUCCAAGUGCAAGAAUGCAAAGCUCUGUGGUUUUAGCUAGUAAUGAAGAGGAAGUGAAAUCCUUUAGUGAUUUCAAUGUUUUUAGUUAACUUAAAACACCUUGGAGUCACCUGGGCCAACACUUGGUAAGGCAAGUGAUUUCCAACCGUGGAAAUGCACUAGUUUACCCCUUGCGAGCCUCUGGUAGGUGACUUCAAGGUAGGAUUUUCUGGAAUUACCAACACUUGGUAAGCUUUUGGACUCCUAGGAGACAUCCAUUAGUUAUCUCUUGCGAGUUUGUGAAGGGGAAUCCAAGGUUAAAGAUCACCUUGAAUGGUAAGUGCUCGUGAGAGGCAUGAACCAUUGCAAGUUGUAUCAGUGAGAGAAUUAAAGUGAAAUCUAAUUGAAGGAGUCUCUGUACAUCACCGGUUAGAGAAUUGACUAUAAGUUGAAUCUCUAAUGCGAGGAAAUGAACCAUCUGACCGGAGCUAUGUCUUUUGCAUGAGGAACCACCCCAGUGAACCUAAAUCUCCAAGGAAUGCUUUUCUUCCUAAAUUAUUCCAAACUUCUGUUAAGUUAGUUAGUUUAAGUCUAAACCUUUACCAAUCAAACUUUGUGUUUUAUUCCUUAAGCUAACCGUGAAAUGAAACAAAACCAAUUCACUUGGAAUUGGUAUCCUUGAUUGCUUGCAAAUCAUUCCCAGUGAACGAUCCUUAGAGCCACUAUACUAUAGUAGCUUUGUAUUUGCUACCCUAGUGUAUGGUGUUAUAGGUAUAAAUUUUGUUGAUCACUUCCUCAAUCAAGGAACACCAGCUGAACACAAAUCAGCUGAGACACCAAUUGGGCAUGAGUCAGUGCGUUAGAGGAUCAAGAAGAAGAAAAAGAAGGAACUGUUGGAAUUAGUAUGAGUGUGAAGAGAAAAGUAUAUAAAUAAGGGGAAGUAAAAGCAAAGUUCAAAAAGCUAUAUUUUUUUAUUGUUGGUGUAUGGUUGCAUGAUUAUCCCUAUAAAUAAUAGGAGUUUUUUGGUAUUCUACUAGUAGUUGAAGCAUAAUUUCAUAAAUUAAUAUUUAGAGCGGGGUGGGGUGAGUUGUGACAAAAUUCAUACCCGUCCCAAACCUUGGUUCAGAUUUUUAAAAUAUUCUCAAACUUAUCAUAUACCCAACUUUUAUAUUUCAUACUUGUCCUAAUAGAGGCACGUUAGGCCGGGUUACUUGAGUAACCUACAUAAUUGUCAUCCCUAGUUGAAAUACACUUUUUGGCAGUGGCCACCAACUGAGCUAGAAGCUUGAUUGAUUGACCUACAAGAUUAGUUCUCAUCAUUUUAAAAAAAGUUCUGGCUUUGGUUGUGAGUGCAAUUGAAUCUAAACUGGCAUUUGCUUAAUGCAUCUACUUCAAUCCUAAACUUCUUACUUCUUAAGCCUCAAUUGUUGUUAGGAUUUUGGAAAACCCAUUUCCUUAAAUUGUAAAUUUAAGAUAAAAUAAAAUAAAAGUGAGACAUUUCUUGAUUGAAUAUUGUUAAAGGUCCCUUGGCAUUAAGACUUGGUUGAAGCCUUGGAAGAUUAGUGGAACUCUCAACAUGUGUUUGAAUCUUGAGGAGAGUGGAUGUAAGCCAAAAUUUUGUCAAACCAUUAUACAAAUUGAGUUUGAAUCCUCAUUUCUUGAUUUCUUAUUUAUUUGCUUUUUCUUAUUAUUACUUGAAUUGUCAUUUGCAUUCAUUAAUGUUAAAAUUGGUUAUAAUUAACCAACACUAAUUCUCUUUCCCCUUCCCUUUCUUGGGUGUAAACCUAGGUUGGAUUAACUAGAUAAAUCUAUUAAGAUGGUAAAAGAAUAAUUAUUCUUAACAUACAUAAGAUCAUCUUCAAUCAAAUGACUCAUUGGCUAAUAUGUUGAAUUUGCUUAUUACUUGCAACUCAAAAUUGUGUUCUAGUUGUGUCAAGUCCCCAGUGUAUGGACAUUAAAUUUGUAGUACGUGAUGAGUAAUUAGAUGGUCCAACUCCAAGAAAGUGAUUGAAAAGUAGUUCAAGAAAGGUGCAAAAGGGAAUUGUUUUGGUAUUUUCGUUUUUAUUCUUGAAGGUGGCAGAGCUAAAAUUUGAGAAAUCAAGCAAAACAUACUGAAAUUACAUUGAAAGAAAGAAGAUGGGAGUUAAUGUCUUGCAGUACAUGAUAAGGACUUCAUGCAUGUAGUGUGACCCAUGUCUUGGACUGAUGCCAACUCACGGUUACACUUAUACCCUUGGUUCUCUCUUUACUACCUUGGCUAACCUAGAUCAGGCUAUGAGAUAGGCUCCUCACCACACCAUUACUUGCCCAUUAAUUAGAGACAUUUUCAAGCAAUGAGGUAACAUGGUGACACCAAGAGGGUCUAUUCCUCGCCCGGAACAAGUCUAGACUUGGUCUCAAAAAAAUGGAGAAAAAUGAGGUGUCGUUAUGUAGAAAUACAACAACCAUGCCUUCCUCAUUACUUAGAUUCAGAAUGUGAAGGUGAAAUUGAGAAACAGAAACUCUUGAAACCAAAAUGAAAAUUGAUACUUUUACGAAGAAUUACAACAACAUUAGAGGAAGACUACAUUCUUCCUCUUUAUUCCUACAUUUCUACACUACUUCUACUCCACUCCAUAUUUCUACAUACAUCUUUAAUCAGUCUUCCCUCCUUUAUAUAGAGCCAUCUUCACACAAAUUUCGCAAGGUAGAAAAGAGGAAUGAAACUUGGAGCAAGGUUCGACUACUGGUUGUAGCUUGUCAAGGCUGGAAGUGAACUUUUCUUGGCUUUCUGGGCAUGGGUAGUAACUUGUGGGUUCCUGUUUGGCAUAAAAAUGGCUAGAACAUGUGGCACUAUCUUGUUGGAUGAUGUGUCAAGCAUGUGGCAGCCAUCUAGUGGCGAUUAUGUCAAUUUUGGGAUGGAGAGUUGGCAUCCAAUUGCAAAGAAAUAUGACGUCUACCAACAUGCAAUGUAAACCUAUGUAGAUCAUAUGAAGAUAGAGAGGAAAAAUAUAGAAAUGGAUAUAUACCUAGAACUAGCUUUUUAUUAAAUGAAACGGAGAGACAACAAUGAAGGAAAAUAAAAUUUUUUGGCUUAUAUCAAAGAGUUCACAUUGUGUUACCCUAGGUUUUCUUAAAACUUACUUUUAUGAUAACAAAAAAGAAAAAACCAUUAUUGUUUAAUCCUUUGUUUUAAACGCAUGUAAGGUGUAAUUAAGUUAGUUCAAUGCAUUAAUUUAAGAAACUUGACCUAUCAAAAGUACAAAAUUAGAUGAAAUCCAUUUCAAUGGUUAAAAUGAUCAAAAUCAAACUUUUUCUAAGUAUUUUUUAAAAGCAUCAAUAGUGAAAGACAAUUUUAUAUUUAGUCGGAGUUUGGACAAAACUGAAAAACACACAAAAUCCAAGCGACCAUCUCUAGCUUGGAUGGUCGCUUGAUCCCACCUAGAGAUGUGCAUGAGUAAAAGGAUUUGAAAAUGGAAAUUGACUAUGUAGUCGAUCAAUUAACUUUGCAACAUCAUAUGCAAUCCUAAUUGCUAGUCAUCUAAUCAAUUAGGUAGUCAAUCAACAGGCCAAAAAUAUGUUUAUAAUGACUAUUUUGUACAAAAACCACCUGUAUAGUUAAAUAUAAUGCAUUUCAUUUAUAAAUCUUCUAAUUCUUGAAUAACGAUCCUAUCAUCCUUUGAAAGUUUUUAUUACACUUUUUUUACUUUUGUUCUAAAACUUACACAUCACCCUUAAUUGUACCAUGAGAACCUAGCUAUUUUUUAUUUUUUUUUUUGUAAUUCAUCAAAGUUAGCUUUUGUAUUCAUUGUUGUAUUAUUUUUAGUAUAACUUAGAAAGCUAGUGUUUUCAAGUGAGUAAAAUUAACUUGUAAAUAUUGUAAAGAUUCAUCGACAUGUAUCUUAAACUAAGUGUACAAGUUAAAACAUUUGCUAGUAGAUUUUCUCAAAAUUUAGAAUAGAGCUUGAGACUAUUGAAAUAGGUGGGGUUGCACCAAACCACAUCACAUCGUUGUUUGCACCUUUUUUCACUCUCUUUUACUUAGUUGCUCUAUAUUUGUUGUCUAGUAAUAUCCUAUAGGCUUGAUGGGUUAGGGAGCAUCCCUUUGUGAAAAAAUUUUAUUCAAUCCUUAGUUGUAUCACGCAUAUAUAAAAUGCCUCAUUGUUUUAAUGGUAUUCAGUCGUGGCAUCACAGAUAUGGGCAUCUAAAUUUUAAAAGUUUGAAACUUUUAUCUAAAGAAAAUAUGGUGCUUUGCCUUUUUGUAAAGCAUGUUGAUGAAAUCCAUGAGAAUUGUGUACUUGGGAAGCAACACCGAGAUGACUUUUUUUUUUUUUUUAUAAUAUUGUUUGUCCAAAUUCCCUACAAAUUAGGCCACCAGAUGUUCAUAAUUCUCCCUUCUUGAAUUUGAAAACUCGGACAAUUGGACAAUGCGACACCUAAGUCCGGUUUCUAAAUGCUAAAGUGAAAGGGUAGGUAUGGACCAUUGAAAUGUGAUCACAACUUUUCUCUGUAGCCAUGUUGUCUCUUUUUUCUUUUGCAUGAUUUUCUUACCUUAACAGAAUCAUAGACUUGUUUAGUCUCUAAAUGGGAUUAAUUUCAUCCAGCUUUAAGCUACUAUAUUAUAUCUAGGUGGAGGACUUUUAAGAGUGCAACCGACAUAGAGCACAUGGAAGUGGGUAUAUGGGACAUGAAAUUUCUUCUUAUAAAGAUUGCAUGAUUUUUAUAUUAGAGUUGUUGAGGCGCUAUGUAUUUAGCUUGUUUUGCAGUUAAAUUAAUUGGAUAAGUAGACAUUGGCGUUUCUAAAUCUACUGUGAAGUGCUUCAUGUACGUGUGAAGUAUUAGAAAUUUCUUUCUUGGCAACUUGUUUUUCUUUGCGGUCUACUGAUAGGUUUGACUAAAAUUAUAUUCCCUGUCAUGCUAAUUAAUUUUCACGUGCAUGCUCAAAAGAAAAGUAUGACCUUAGUGCACCAAAAUCACUUUGAUUAAUUUGUGAUAGGUUUUUGUGCAUCAUGACAUUAGCCUUAUUCAUUUAGAUAAUGUUUAGUUUUUAGAAAGUAUUAAGAAAAGGAAAAUAAAUAUUAAGAAAAAUAUUCUUAUAUUUGAUUGUAUUAUGAAAAAUAUCAUAAAAAAAUCAAAUAUAAUUUAAAUUAAUUAAUAAUUUAUACAUUUUCAAAUUAUUUAAUCUUUAUAUUGAAGAUAUAAUAUAAAUGAAAUGAGUUUUAAGUAUUAUAUAAAAGUGAUUUAUUGAUCUUACAUAUAUAUAUUUCUUUUUUUUUUCCUUCUAUUUUUUCUCUUUAUUUUAUUUUCCUUAUGUUUUCCUCAACAUUUUCCGGAACCAAACAUAGCCUUAGGAAAUCCACAAUUACCUUCAACUGAGUAGAUUCUGUUGUUUUAGCAAUGUUAGGCUGCUAACUUGUGUUGGUACGAACCUAUUAAGCCUAAAGAUGUAAUUAGUUAGGAUAUUCUUUUCCCUCUAGUCUUGUAGCUCCACGUGUACAGUUGGUUAGGACCUCAUUGUAUAUAAUGCUUGCCCUGUUAUUGUAGAAGACAACAAAGAUAAAUAAUAUUAACAUUUUUCCUCUCAUCUCUCUCUGUUUCCCUCUGUUUUCAUCUCCUCUCUCAUCUUGGUAUCAGAGCCUCCAUGGCUUCUUUCAAAGAAACCUCCGAAUCACCUUCUGCUAGCAUUGUUAAUGUGCAAAACCCAUUAUCUCAAUCAAACAACCUUCCUUCACCAGUAGCCACACCCUCUUUUUCUUUCUCGUCUAUGAAUCAACCUCUCACAGUGAAGCUGGAUAAUGGGAACUACCUCAUAUGGAAGAAUUAGCUUCUAAAUGUCAUCAUUGCUAACGGACUCGAUGAUUUCAUUGACGGAUCUCGACCCUGCCCUCCUCGAUUUCUCGAUCUGCAACAACAAACCCUCAAUCCAGAGUACUCAGCUUGGCAGAGAUACAAUCGACUUCUGAUGAGUUGGCUGUACGCAUCCUUGUCCAAAGAUAUAAUGGCUCAGAUUGUUGGGUAUUCAACAGCUAUGGAGAUUUGGAAUGCCCUUAAUCAGAUUUACUCUGCCUCUUCUAUGGCGCGGUUUACUGAGCUUCGCACCAAGCUUCAAACGCUCAAGAAAGAUGGACUCUCAGUUGGUGAAUAUAUUCAAAGGCUCAAAUCCAUUUGCAAUAGUCUUGCAGCAAUAGGAGAACCAGUUUCUGAGAAAGACCAUCUUAUCUAUUUGUUCAAUGGAUUAGAUUGUGAGUAUUAUUCUUUUGUUACCUCCAUUCAAAAUCGAUCUGACCAACCAACUAUUGACAAAAUCCAUAGCCUAUUGCUUAGCUAUGACUUCCGGCUUGAACAACAAAACUCUGUUUCUCUCCAUUCUGCCCAAGUCCAUAUGGCUCAUCUGAACAAGAAACCUUAUAAAUCAACUCCUCAACCUACAUUCAAUCAUAUUCACAUUCAACCUAGAUACUCUUCUCCACCUUUUAAGCCAACCACUAGUCAAUAUCAACCCAACAUUUUGGGCAAACCACAACCACAACCAUGACAGCCUCAACCUCAAUGGAAACCACAUUUUUCAAUCUAAAAUCAAAAGCCUCAGCGCCAAAUUUGUGGUAAAUUUGGACACACUGCUCUUAUUUGCUUCCAUCACACAAAUUUGAACUAUUCACCCCAACCUUCUCCUAAAUCUUUCAAUACUGUUCUCACCACAAAUUCCCAGCUCCCUAAUCCUCCAAAAUUUUCUUACCCUACAAUGGCUCAUCCUGCUGCUACGCAUAACACGGUUCCCGAUACAAAUUGGUACAUGGACUCAGGUGCUACACAUCACUUUACUCUGGACAUCAACGUGCUUGACACUGUGACACCAUUUAGUGGUUCAGAACAGGUGACAGUUGGGAAUGGUAAGCAACUCUGUAUCUCACAUCUUGGUACUGCAAAACUACCAUCUUCGUAUUCUCCUCCUGUUCUACAUCAGGUAUAUCACACUCCAAAAAUUUCAAAUAAUCUUAUUAGUGUUAAAAAAUUGUGUUCUGAUAAUAAAGUUUUUGUUGAAUUUUAUGCCACUCAUUUUCUUGUCAAGGAUCAGGUUUCGAAGAGAGUUCUCCUUUAGGGUCAACUUGAUAAUGGCUUAUACAAAGUUCAGUCGUCAUGCUCUCCUUCUGCUGUUUCCUUUCCUCCUCAAGUUUUCAUAGCCAACAUCAAGUAUCCAAAUCUGUGGCACAAGAGACUAGGCCACCCAGCUUUAUCUGUUGUUAAUCAAAUCUUGGAUUCUUGUAACAUUGCUCGAACACAGAAAAUUUGUUUUAAUUUUUUAAAUUCUUGUCAAUUAGCAAAGAGCCACAGGCUUCCUUUUUCUCUGUCUCCAUCCAUUGCAGAAAAACCUUUUGAGUUAAUUCAUACAGACCUAUGGGGUCUUUCGCUCGUUCGCUCUAUUUCUGGUGCUCUUUAUUUUUUACUUUUCAUUGAUGAUCAUACUCGUUUUACUUGGUUUUAUUUGCUCAAAACAAAAGAUGAAGCAUAUCCUACUUUUCUCAAGUUUCAAGCUCUCAUUGAAAAUCAAUUUAAUACCAAGAUUAAGGCUGUCCAAUCUGAUUGGGGAGGUGAGUUUCGAUCUCUCUCCAUACCGUUUUCAAAUAUGGGCAUUGUCUAUUGUUUAUCGUGUCCAUACACCUCACAACAGAAUGGGCGAGUUGAGCGAAAAAAUCGCCAUGCGAUUGUCCUUUCUUGCUUGCUCUAUGCCCUUAUCUUAUUGGCCUUAUGCCUUUCAAACUGCCACUUACCUUAUUAAUCGUCUCUCUACCCCUGUGCUGCAUCAUCAAUCCUCUUACUUCGCACUCUAUCACAAACUCCCAACUUAUACUCAUCUUAAGGUCUUUGGUUCCUCUUGUUUUCCGUAUUUGCACCCUUAUAAUACCCAUAAACUCCAAUACAGGUCACUAGAGUGUGCUUUUCUUGGUUACAGUUCACACCACAAAGGUUAUCUAUGUCUUGACAUUCAUUCUAGCAGGGUGUAUAUUUCUCGCCAUGUGAUUUUUAAUGAAGAUUCUUUUCCAUUCAAGAAUUUGAAAUCUUCUCUCUCUCAGUCUAUUUCUUCUUCCUCUUCUUUAUAAGUUCCUCUGUUCAUUCUCUUGCCUCCCCUUUCCCCAUCUCCUCUUAUUUCUUCAUCUAUACCUCAUUCUUUUCCCUCUUCUUCUUCUACCUCUAGUACUUGUUCCCCUCUCGUUGCUCCUACCUCUCUUCCUUCCUCUUCACACUCUGUGUCUCCAUCUAUUCCACCUCCUUCUCCACCUUCUCCGAGUGUGGACCUGCUUGCACCUUGUGUGAAUACAAAUUUACAUACUUCUUCUCGCACUCACAAUAUUCAUCCUAUGGUGACUAGAUCUAAGGUUUGUAUCUAUAAACCUAAGUUGUUGUUGAGUGUCUCCAUAGGUUCUCUCACUAAGCCUACUUCCUUUCUUCAAGCUAUUAAAGAUCCUUCAUGGAAGCAAUCCAUGGAAUUCGAGUUUGCUACCCUUCAACACAACAAGACCUGGCAUUUGGUUCCUUCACCUUCCUCAGGCGAAGUAAUCGGUUGUAAAUGGGUCUAUAAGCUAAAGCUUCAGCCUGAUGGCUAAAUUGAGAGAUACAGCCUGCUUAGUAGCUAAGGGUAUCAUCAAAUUGAAGUAUGGACUACUUCGAAACAUUCAGCCUGAUNNNNNNNNNNNNNNNNNNNNNNNNNNNNNNNNNNNNNNNNNNNNNNNNNNNNNNNNNNNNNNNNNNNNNNNNNNNNNNNNNNNNNNNNNNNNNNNNNNNNAGCUUCAGCCUGAUGGCUAAAUUGAGAGAUACAAGGCCUGCUUAGUAGCUAAGGGUUAUCAUCAAAUUGAAGGUAUUGACUACUUCGAAACAUUCAGCCUGAUUGUCAAGCUUUCUACUAUCUGUAUUGUGCUCAGUCUUACUUUUUCCCAGAAUUGGUGUAUUAGACAGCUGGAUGUUCAUAAUGCCUUCUUACAUGGUGACUUAGCUAAAGACGUUUUCAUGGAACAACUGCCUGGAUUUGUUGAUCCUCUCUAUCCUACUCAUGUCUGCAAGUUGGAUAAGUCUCUCUACUGUCUUAAAUAGUCACCUCGGGCUUGGUAUACUAAGCUGAGUACUUCUCGCUACACUUGGGAUUUGUUACUUCUAAGAAUGACUCUUCCUUAUUUAUUUGUCAUUCGUCUCAUGGGUUACUUCUUGUUCUUGUCUAUGUGGAUGAUAUAAUCGUCAUUGGGAGCCACUCUCCUCAGGUUACUCACCUUAUCCAACAGUUGCAUCAUUAGCUUUCUUUAAAGGAUCUUGGUCCUUUACAUUAUUUUCUGGGCUUGGAGGUUCAUCACACCCCUACUGGUAUUCACCUCAGCCAAGCAAAGUAUAUCACUGAUCUCCUUACCCGGGCGGCUAUGUUGGAUGCCAAGCCAUGUCCCACUCCUAUGUCCUCCAACACAUAUCUCUCUUUUCAUGAUGGAGUGGCUCUUGAAAAUGGUUCAGAUUAUCGAAGUUUUGUUGGUGCCCUUUAGUAUUGUACCAUGACACGCCCAGAUAUAGCUUUUGCAAUAAAUAAAGUGUGUCAAUUCAUGCACCAUCCCUCUAAUGUUCACUGGCAGGCUAUAAAACGUAUUCUCCGGUACUUAAAGGGCACAUCUCAUUUUGGUCUCUUCCUACAGCCUUCCUAUGACUUCAACAUCACUUGCUAUACAAAUGCCGACUGGGCUUCCUGUCCUGAUGACAAGUGUAGCACCAGUGGCUACUGCCUCUUUCUUGCCUCUAAUCUGGUUUCUUGGUCAUCUUCCAAACAAAAAGUGGUCUCCCGCUCCAGCGCCGAAUCAGAGUACCGAGGGGUAGCAAAUGGGGCUGCUGAAAUUGCUUGGACUGAAUCUCUUCUUUGUGAACUUUCCAUUACUCCCCCUCCCCUCAUUCUCUGUGACAAUAUCAGUGCCACGUACUUAGCUGCCAAUCCUAUUUUGCAUGCCCGCACCAAACAUGUGGAAAUCGACUAUCACUUUGUCACGGAACGUGUUCUUCAAUGCUCUCUUUUUGUCCAGUUUACACCUUCUGAUGAUCAACUUGCUGAUUGCAUGACCAAGCCUCUCUCCACCCAACGUUUCAUCACUCUACGCUCCAAGCUCACUGUUCUCACUAGACCAAUGAGCUUGAGGGGGGAUGUUAAGCCUAAAGAUGUAAUUAGUUAGGAUAUUCUUUUCCCUCUAGUCUUGUAGCUCCACGUGUACAGUUGGUUAGGACCUCAUUGUAUAUAAUGCCUGCCCUGUUAUUGUAGAAGACAACAGAGAUAAAUAAUAUUAACAUUUUUCCUCUCAUCUCUCUCUCUGUUUCCCUCUGUUUUCAUCUCCUCUCUCAUCUGAACCAAAUGAUCCAUGUUAACCUUGGCUUGGUUUGAUUUGGCUCUAUCUUAGAGAGCUCAAGGAUCACGUCAACUCUGGUUUCUACUAUUCAGGUCCAUUCCCAUAUGAACUGGUUCAAAUUUGAGAAAAUGGUAACAGACCUUUAGUGAUGUUGGUUUGGAGCCAGUUGCCAAACCCGCCCUGAGCUUUACCACUAAUGUCAAGGGAGAAAGCCAUUUGAACAAAAACAAUAGCUUCAAGGGACUGAAUCGUGGAUGAAAUCUGAUCCACAUUUCUUCUCAUUUUGGAAACAAAUGAGAACUUAACUAAGAAGAUUCUACGGCCUCAUAGUGCUUUUCCUGAUCUAAGGUUGGUUCGUUUCCCAAACUGUGAGAUGCACGUGCCAGACUUCAGAACUCUCACGCUCAGGAGUGUAUCCACGUGGUGGACAUAAGAUGGUGGCUUAAGAUCUGGUGUCGGUGGCUUUACUUUACUAGGAGAGUAGUGUGUCUUCAUCUCAUUCACUGCCGGAGGGUGGCGUAAGCAGUGACGCUAAGGUGGGGCACAGUCAAUAUCAUUUGCAUUUGACCAUUAUAGUUUUCUCCCGGCUUUAAAGUAACCUUAUCGUGAUAAAGGAUUACUAGCACUAGUUCAGAUGAUAGUCAUGUUAAAUUCGGACCAUGUUUGUGUCACAUUAUCAGCAACCAUGUGUUUAUGGUUCAUGCUUUCUGCAACUAAAAUUGAUAUAUAACCAGGUGAACUUCAAUCUAAAUUCUGAAAGUACUCAUGUGAUAGAUGGUGCCCGUCUGCAGAGUCCAUCAAUUGAAAAAUGGAGUGAGUGUAUCUAUAAGAGGGAAGGCUUGGAAAAUGUUCAGUUUUCUGGGAAUUCAACAAGGAUCUAAAAUAGAUUGUUUUCUUUGCUGAUUUCAAUGGUUGAAAUUUGAGAAGAUUGUGUCCACAUAACACAACUAUUACUGGUCCUUCUGUUGCAAUUUAUCCUCUAAAGCUCUAGCAUGUCUUCCAAUUCCCACUUCCCUGUUACUCCAGGAAAGCUAUUUCUGUCAUUGUGAAGAAGAAAAGAGAAUGUACAUAUCGAUGCUUUUAAGUGACUGGAGCAUUUAUAUCAGGUGGUCUGCAGCCAUAUAUGCCACUUUGUGAAGAUUGGAACAGUCAAUCACUAGGCUAUAUAUUAGUGUGGCCCAGCCACUUUAAUCAAGGACAAGUCUUCAUACUUAAAGUCAAAUUCUGCCUUUAGUCUCAUUAUAAAUUUCUGUUUAAAUAUUAAGCAAACAUUUGUUUAAUGCGAUUAAGACAGUACUAACUCAAUACCUGUUCUAUUUUUGGAUGCAAAUGCUUGAUGGUUUCAUCAUUGGAUGGGAUAAAGGUGCAUUCAUGAUUAGGAAUACUAGUAGUUAUAUUUUAAUUCUCUUUUUUCUCAAUGAGACUUGUUGGCACAAUUUUGCUGUUGAGAAACCUACCUCUCCAUGGAAAAUAAGUUGUGAUUGAUAGUACUGGAUAUAUUCAAGAAAUCUAAAUAUAGAUAGCACAAAAUAUUAUCGACAUAAAUAGCAUUAACAGCGUACGUAUGUCUCAGUGCUCAUCAGCUAUAAGCAUGGGGCAAACACUUACUAUGAGCAACUUACGUCAAAAUUCCAGAAUAGGACAUAGAAGUGACAGAUAUAGAACAUUGCAUAUGAGUCACAAGAAAGGAAAUUACGGGUGCAUAGCAGCUCUUAUUUUACAUACUACUACUCAUACUGAUCAAAGUCACUCAGUUGGGAUGGGUGGGAGUAGGAGGUUUGUGGGGUGGCUUGUGCGGAGGAGUUGGCAGCUUCUUUCCAGGACCUGGUUGCUUCUCUGCUGGAGUUGAAGGAGGCUUAAUCUUCCGAGGUGGCUUGUAUGAGUCUUCAGCAUUCUCAGCUGGAGGGUGACCAGGGUUGUGACCAUAAUGUGGUGGCUUCUCUCCCUUAGGUGGUUUGCCAACUGGGGUUGGUGGCUUGUAUGAGUCUUCAGCAUUCUCAGCAGGAGGGUGACCAGGGUUGUGACCAUAAUGUGGUGGCUUCUCUCCCUUAGGUGGUUUGCCAACUGGGGUUGGUGGCUUGUGUUCUGGGAGUGGCUUCUCCCCCUUGGGAGGUUUUUCCAAUGGGGUUGGUUUGUGUUCAGGAGGUGGCUUCUCCACUGGAGGCUUGUGUUCAGGAGGUGGCUUCUCCACCGGAGGCUUGUGUUCAGGUGGUGGCUUCUCCACCGGAGGCUUAUGCUCUGGUGGUGGCUUCUCGAAUGGGGGAUGCUUAGGAUAAUCAGCAAGUGAGGGGGCGGUGAGAACCACCAGGCCAAGCAACACCACUAGCAAAUAUGUAGGAGACAUCUUUGGGUUUGGGCUCAGAUGGUGCAAAACUAGGAGAAUUGGCUAGCCUUUUAUAGCGGAUCGUACCCAAUAAUGAAAUGACACGUGUCAUUAUGACCCAUGUGUAAUGGGGUCGAUUUGGGUCCUACAGUGUUGAAAACUUCGACAUCCACUUUUGGCCUUUUGCUUUCUCUACAGCCGCCUUGCUUUUUCCCUCUUUCCUUUUGUUUUCCUCCUGCCCCAUUCUAUCAACUAAACACAAUUAUGUAGUUGUUUAAUUCUUAAAUGAGAUAUUAUCCGUCAAUCGUAUUAUAUUUUAUCAAGAGAGAACGGAGUGCAAUGUGGCUGUAAUUUUAUCGUUUAGUUUUAUCUCUUGGACCACUGCAUUUUUGUUAAGAGGUGCAAUAAUACACGUCUUUAUCUGCCAUUCAAUAUUUACAGUAAAGAGAGGGCACAAAACUCUUCACUUCGCACCAUAAUUAUUUUGUUUUCUGGACACCCCGGGGCCCUUUGGUUGGUUUGGGGGUCAGAAAGUGAACAUCAUAGGGGGUUUUUCCCUUAUGUGCAUUUGUAUCUGAUGGCUUUAACUCGCCUUGUUACUACAAAGAAACUGUCACAGAUAGGAACUUAUUCCAGGCUGAGUAUCUCCUCAUAGACCCUAUAAAAGAAGACAAGUCAUAAUGAACAUCUAACCUUUGUUCAAUUUGAUUCAAUGCCCCCAUUGUGUCCAUCUCACAAAUCUGAAUUAUUAUAUCCAUUGAAUACAUAAAUUAAUGAAGAAAAUAUGAAACCCAAGAUACAUCUCUGCACAACCUCAACCCUGGUUGCUAUGUUUCCCUUCUAUUCACAUGAUUUGAUGCUAAUUGCCAAACUUGCAACAAGCCCUGAGUUUGACACCUAGUAUCGAUGGGCGAAUUUAAAGUCUCCUCCAAACAUAUAUUCCACAGCUUGAAGCUCACAGAAGAUGUUACAGGCAGGGAAAAACCUUCAGAGUUCGCUACCAAAGAUAAUUAUUAAGGAGAUAUCACAAAGAGAAUUCCAAGGGGUCUGAAUCAAAGACAAAUUGGUCGUUCGUGGGGGUUCUUACUUUCUUUUGGGUAUAACUCACUGAGGGCACUGUCUUUGUUAUUUGCAUUUCACAUUUAGAGUUCUGUUCUGGAAACAUAUAAAAGGAGCAUCAUUUUGUUCUUGGGUAACCCAUAGUCGUGAGUGGGUCCAUUUGCAUGCUACUUAGUUGAAAAGUUGGACCAUUUGCUCCGACGCCUACCUCCCGGAUUCCAUGCUCGGAUAAAACAAGAAUAAAAAAAAUAUUUAUAAUUUACAAAUGGGGGAAAGAAAAAAAUGUCAACAACAAACCAGGAAAAAAGAGUAGUAAAAUUCAUGUCACAUGCUAGUGAGAGAAGGGGUUGUUACACUCACUCGAAGUUCUUUCCAAAAUAUCGCAUGGUAUUUUAUUUUAUGUGUCAGCGCAGUUGUGAAUGGAACGUGCAAAAGUCCAAAUUGGCGUUUUUCCUUUUCCCGUGUAGGAUGGCGACCUUUAAUAAAUAUUUAAAACAAAAAACGAAAAAAAGGAGGGAAAAGGGAUCAGAAAAGAUAAAACAAUGUGUACAAGAGCUCAAUUAGUUUGCAAAUUACUGUUUGGAUUUUGAUAGUAUUUUAUUUGUCCAUCUAUAUUUGAUGGAAAAGAGAAUUUAAGAUAUUUCUGAAACAAAAGCAUUAGUGUAAAACUAAAUUAAGGUAUAAUUAAGUUAGUUCAAUGCAUUAAUUUAAGAAACUUGAUCUAUCCAAAGUACAAAAUUAGAUGAAAUCCAUUUCAAUGGUUAAAAUGAUCAAAAUCAAACUUUUUCUAAGUAUUUUUUAAAAGCAUCAAUAUUAAAAGACAAUUUUAUAUUUAGUCGGAGUUUGGACAAAACCAAAAAGCACACAAAAUCCAAGCGACCAUCUCUAGCUUGGAUAGUCACUUGAUCCCACCUAGAGAUGUGCAUGAGUAAAAGGAUUUGAAAAUGGAAAUUGACUAAAUAUUUAGUUGAUCAAUUAAAUUUGCAAUGUCAUAUGCAAUCCUAAUAGCUAGUCAUCUAAUCAAUUAGGUAGUCAAUCAAGUGUUUGUAAUGACUAUUUUGUACAAAAAACCACAUGUAUAGUUAAAUAUAAUGCAUUUCAUUUAUAAAUCUUCUAAUUCUUGAAUAACGAUCCUAUCAUCCUUUGAAAAUUUUUAUUACACCUUUUUUACUUUUGUUCUAAAACUUACAUAUCACCCUUAAUUGUACCAUGAGAACCUAGCUAUUUUUUUUUUUUUUGUAAUUCAUCAAAGUUAGCUUUUGUAUUCAUUGUUGUAUUAUUUUUAGUAUAACUUAGAAAGCUAGUGUUUUCAAGUGAGUAAAAUUAACUUGUAAAUAUUGUAAAGAUUCAUUGAUAUGUAUCUUAAACUAAGUGUACAAAUUAAAACAUUUGCUAGUAGAUUUUCUCAAAAUUUAGAAUAGAGCUUGAGGCUAUUGAAAUAGGUGGGGUUACACCAAACCACAUCACAUCGUUGUUUGCACCUUUUUUCACUCUCUUUUACUUAGUUUCUCUAUAUUUGUUGUCUAGUAAUAUCCUAUAGGCUUGAUGGGUUAGGGAGCAUCCCUUUGUGAAAAAAUUUCAUUCAAUUCUUAGUUGUAUUACGCAUAUAUAAAAUGCCUCAUUGUUUUAAUGGUAUUCAGUCGUGGCAUCACAGAUAUGGGCAUCUAAAUUUUAAAAGUUUGAAACUUUUGUAAAGCAUGUUGAUAAAAUCCAUGAGAGUUGUGUACUUGGGAAGCAACAUCGAGGUGACUUUAUUUUUUUUUCCUUUUAUAAUGCCACACCUAAGUCCGGUUUCUAAAUGCUAAAGUGAAAGGGUAGGUAUGGACCAUUGAAAUGUGAUCACAACUUUUGGCCUUUUCCUUUCUCUGCAGCCAUGUUGUCUCUUUUUUCUUUUGCAUGAUUUUCUUACCAAAACAGAAUCAUAGACUUGUUUAGUCUCUAAGCUACUAUAUUAUAUCUCGGUGGACUUUUAAGAGUGCAACCGACAUAGAGCACAUGCAAGUGGGCAUAUGGGACAUGAAAUUUCUUCUUACAAAGAUUGCAUGAUUUUUAUAUUAGAGUUGUUCACGUGCAAUGUAUUUAGCUUGUUUUGCAGUUAAAUUAAUUGGAUAAGUAAACAUUGGCAUUUCUAAAUCGACUGUGAAGUGCUUCAUGUACGUGUAAAGUAUUAGAAAUUUCUUUCUUGGCAACUUGUUUUUUCCUUGCCAUCUACUGGUAGGUUUGACUAAAAUUAUAUUCCCUGUCAUGCUAAUUAAUUUUCAUGUGCAUGCUCAAAAGAAGAGUAUGACCUUAGUGCACCAAAAUCACUUUGAUUAAUUUGUGAUAGGUUUUUUUGCAUCAUUUAGAUAAUGUUUAGUUCUAAGAAAAAUUUAUAUAAAAAUGGUUUAUUUAUCUUACAUAUAUAUAUAUAUAUAUAUAUUUUUUUUUUUUUCAUUUUUUUUUCUUCUAUUUUAUUUAUUUAUUUUAUUUUCCUUAUGUUUUCCUCACAUUUUCCGGAACUAAACAUAGUCUUACGAAAUCAACAAUUGCCUUCAACUGAGUAGAUUCUGUUGUUUUAGCAAUGUUAGGCUGCUAACUUGUGGUGGUACGAACCAAAUGACCCAUGUUAAUCUUGGCUUGGUUUGAUUUGGCUCUAUCUCAGAGAGCUAAAGGAUCACGUCAACUCUGGUUUCUACUAUUCAGGUCCAUUCCCAGAUGAACUGGUUCAAAUUUGAGAAAAUGGUAACAGACCUUUAGUGAUGUUGGUUUGGAGCCAGUUGCCAAACCCGCCCUGAGCUUUACCACUAAUGUCAAGGGAGAAAGCCAUUUGAACAAAAACAAUAGCUUCAAGAGACUGAAUCGUGGAUGAAAUCUGAUCCACAUUUCUUCUCAUUUUGGGAAAAAAUGAGAACUUAACUACAAAGAUUCUACUGCCUCAUUCAUAGUGCUUUUCCUGAUCCAAGGUUGGUUCGUUUCCCAAAUUGUGAGGUGCACGUGCCACUCUCACGCUCAGGAGUGUAUCCACGUGGUGGACAUCAGAUGGUGGCUUAAUAUCUGGUGUCGGUGGCUUUACUUUACUAGGAGAGUAGUGUGUCUUCAUCUCAUUCACUGCCGGAGGGUGGCGUAAGCAGUGACGCUAAGGUGGGGCACAGUCAAUAUCAUUUGCAUUUGACCAUUAUAGUUUUCUCCCGGCUUGAAAGUAACCUUAUCGUGAUAAAGGAUUACUAGCACUAGUUCAGAUGACCGUCAUGUUAAUUCGGACCAUGUUUGUGUCACAUUAUCAGCAACCAUGUGUUUAUGGUUCAUGCUAUCUGCAACUAAACUUGAUAUAUAACCAGGUGAACUUCAAUCAAAAUUCUGGAAGUACUCUUGUGAUAGAUGGUGCCUGUCUGCAGAGUCCAUCAAUUGAAAAAUGGAGUGAGUGUAUCUAUAAGAGGGAAGGCUUGGCAAAUGUUCAGUUUUCUGGGAAUUCAACAAGGAUCUAAAAUAGAUUGUUUUCUUUGCCGACUUCAAUGGUUGAAAUUUGAGAAGAUUGUGUCCACAUAUCACAACUAUUACUGGUCCUUCUGUUGCAAUUUAUCCUGUAAGGCUCUAACAUGUCUUCCAAUUCCCACUUCCCUGUUACUCCAGGAAAGCUAUUUCUGUCAUUGUGAAGAAGAAAAGAGAAUGUACAUAUCGAUGCUUUUAAGUGACUGGAGCAUUCAUAUCAGGUGGUCUGCAGCCAUAUAUGCCACUUUGUGAAGGUUGGAACAGUCAAUCACUAGGCUAUAUAUUGGUGUGGCCCAGCCACUUCAAUCAAGGACAAGUCUUCAUACUUAAAGUCAAAUUCUGCCUUUAGUCUCAUUAUAAAUUGCUGUUUAAAUAUUAAGCAAACUUUUGUUUAAUGCGAUUAAGACAGUACUAACUCAAUACUUGUUCUAUUUUUGGAUGCAAAUGCUUGAUGGUUUCAUCAUUGGAUGGGAUAAAGGUGCAUUCAUGAUUAUGAAUACUUGUAGUUAUAUUUUCAUUCUCUUUUUUCUCAAUGAGACUUGUUGGCACAAUGUUGCUGUUCAGAAACCUACCUCUCCAUGGAAAAUAAGUUGCGAUUGAUAGUACUGGAUAUGUUCAAGAAAGCUAAAUAUAGAUAGCACAAAAUAUUAUCGAUAUAAAUAGCAUUAACAGCGUACGUAUGUCUCAAUGCUCAUCAGCUAUAAGCAUGGGACAAACACUUACUAUGAGCAACUUACGUCAAAAUUCCAGAAUAGGACAUAGAAGUGACAGAUCUAUAUAUAUAGAACACUGCAUAUGAGUCACAAGAAAGGAAAUUACGGGUGCAUAGCAGCUCUUAUUUUACAUACUACUACUCAUACUGAUCAAAGUCACUCAGUUGGGAUGGGUGGGAGUAGGAGGUUUGUGGGGUGGCUUGUGCGGAGGAGUUGGCAGCUUCUUUCCAGGACCUGGUUGCUUCUCUGCUGGAGUUGAAGGAGGCUUAAUCUUCCGAGGUGGCUUGUAUGAGUCUUCAGCAUUCUCAGCUGGAGGGUGACCAGGGUUGUGACCAUAAUGUGGUGGCUUCUCUCCCUUAGGUGGUUUGCCAACUGGGGUUGGUGGCUUGUAUGAGUCUUCAGCAUUCUCAGCAGGAGGGUGACCAGGGUUGUGACCAUAAUGUGGUGGCUUCUCUCCCUUAGGUGGUUUGCCAACUGGGGUUGGUGGCUUGUGUUCUGGGAGUGGCUUCUCCCCCUUGGGAGGUUUUUCCAAUGGGGUUGGUUUGUGUUCAGGAGGUGGCUUCUCCACUGGAGGCUUGUGUUCAGGAGGUGGCUUCUCCACCGGUGGCUUGUGUUCAGGAGGUGGCUUCUCCACCGGAGGCUUAUGCUCUGGUGGUGGCUUCUCCACCGGAGGCUUAUGCUCUGGUGGUGGCUUCUUGAAUGGGGGAUGCUGAGGGUAAUCAGCAAGUGAGGGGGCGGUGAGAACCACCAGGCCAAGCAACACCACUAGCAAAUAUGUAGGAGACAUCUUUGGGUUUGGGCUCAGAUGGUGCAAAACUAGGAGAAUUGGCUAGCCUUUUAUAGCGGAUCGUACUCAAUAAUGAAAUGACACGUGUCAUUAUGACCCAUGUGUAAUGGGGUCGAUUUGGGUCCUACAGUGUUGAAAACUUCGACAUCCAGUUUUGGCCUUUUGCUUUCUCUACAGCCGCCUUGCUUUUUCCCUCUUUCCUUUUGUUUUCCUCCUGCCCCAUUCUAUCAACUAAACACAAUUAUGUAGUUGUUUAAUUCUUAAAUGAGAUAUUAUCGGUCAAUCGUAUUAUAUUUUAUCAAGAGAGAACGGAGUGCAAUGCAGCUGUAAUUUUAUCGUUUACUUUUAUCUCUUGGACCACUGCAUUUUUGUUAAGAGGUGCAAUAAUACACGUCUUUAUCUGCCAUUCAAUGUUUACAGUAAAGAGAGGGCACAAAACUCUUCACUGCUCUGCAUGUGUCCCAAAAAUGCGAUUGGACAAAUUAUGAUUUGCAUGCUAAAAAGAGGCAAAUGAGGUUAAUUCGCACCAUAAUUAUUUGGUUUUCUGGACACCAUAAAAAGAUGUUAUACAGGCAGGGAAAAACCUUCAGAGUUAGCUACCAAAGAUAAUUAUCAAGCAGAUAUCACCAAGAGAAUUCCAUAGAGUCUGAAUCAAAGACAGAUUGCUCGCUCGUGGGGGUUCUUACUUUCUUUUGGGUAUAACUCACUGAGGUCACUGUCUUUUUUAUUUGCAUUUCACAGUUAGAGUUCUGCUCUGGAAGGUUUGUUCUGGAAACAUAUAAAAGGAGCAUCAUUUUGUUCUUGGGUAACCCAUAGUCGUGAGUGGGUCCAUUUGCAUGCUACUUAGUUGAAAAGUUGGACAAUUUGCUCCGACGCCUACCUCCUGGAUUCCAUGCUCGGUAAAACAAGAAUAAAAAAAAAUAUAUAAUUUACAAAUGGGGGAAAGAAAAAAUGUCGGAAAAAAUAGUAAAAUUCAUGUCACAUGCUAGUGAGAGAAGGGGUUGUUACACUCACUCGAAGUUCUUUUCAAAAUAUCGAAUGGUAUUUUACUUUAUGUGUCAGCGCAGUUGUGAAUGGAACGUGCAAAAGUCCAAAUUGGCGUUUUUAUUUUUCCCAUGUAGGAUGGUGACCUUUAAUAAAUAUUUAAAACAAAAGACGAAAAAAAAAAGGAGGGAAAAGGGAUCACAAAAGAUAAAAUAAUGUUUACAAAAGCUCAAUUAGUUUGCAAAUUACUGUUUGGAUUUUGAUAGUAUUUUAUUUGUCGUUCUAUAUUUGAUGUAAAAGAGAAUUUAAGAUAUUUCCGAAGCAAAAGCAUUAGUUUGCUCUGUGAUGUCCCACAUCGAAUAGGGGAGAAAGUUUCUGGCGCUAUAUAUGUAGAGGCUCCUCUUAACCAAGUAGAUGCGUUUUAAAACCAUGAGGGCCCCCUUAGGUCCAAAGCGGACAAUAUCUACAUGAUUGGGUGUAAGUCAUUACAAAUGGUAUCAGAGCCGAUCCCCGACCCCGGUGUGGGGGUUUGUUUGGCCCUGUAAGGGGUGUUUGUCUGUUUGACCCCACAAUCCCAUGGGACACAACGAGGACGUUGUGUCUGCAUGGGGGGGCGUUUGUGAUGUCCCACAUCGGAUAGGGGAGAAAGUUCCUAGUGCUAUAUAUGUAGAUGUUUCUCUUAACCAAGUAGAUGCAUUUUAAAAUUGUGAGGGCCUCUUUGGGCCCAAAGCGGACAAUAUCUACAUGGUUGAGUGUAAGUCAUUACAUGCUCCAUGUCAAUUUCAGCAUUUCUCAUAUGUUUCACACAUACACAGAAGAGCAUCGUUUUUUAAAGCAUGCAUUUAUGUUGGAUUAAUUUGGAUUUUGUGGGAACUGGGGCAAGGAUCACAUGGAAGAGAGGUUGACUUUUUUCAGUACUUCAAUGGUUGAAAUAUGUGAAGGCUUGAUUGAUACUAAAGCUUGAAAUUGCGACUCUGUCAUUUGUAAAAAAAUAUGACAGCUUCCAUGCUCUCGUUUGGUUGCAUUGUCCGGUCGAGAGGUGCAAAAAGCAUUCUCUCUCUUCUAAUAGUCUUUUCGUUUAAAUCAAGGGAUUUGCCUUCCCGGUCGAGGUCCAAUAGAGGGUAACGGUCACCUACUAAACAUUAAAUGCUCCAACAACUAGUGAACUGAUCGACCCCAGCUCGACUAGUUGAGGUUACUUUUUGGUUUUCUUGUCUCCCGAGGUUAGAAACCUAUAAAUAGAGAGCUUCACUUCAUUUAUGAGUAAGAGAACACCUAAAUUUAUUUGUUUACCUACUUGUUUUUGCCAUAAAAGCUCUCAUUUCUUUUCUUGGUGUAUUAAAUCUCCAUUUGCAUAUCCUUUAGUGCACCUUUGUGAUUCAUUCUAGCCUUGAGUUGUAUUUAAGCCUUUGUUGAGCUAGGUUGAGAGUUUCAUACUUGUUUAUUGAGUGUUAAAGCCUUCAAGUGAGUUAAAACUUGAAGAGAUUGUGUAAGAGCCCAUUGGAGUCGGAAUCCAAGUGUAAAGGUGAUUAAAAGCUUGGUUGAAGCUUCAAGUUAGUGGAACUCUCACUCGGUUAUGAGCUUGAGAAGAGUGGACAUAGACAAGGCAGUGUCGAACCACUAUAAAAUCUGAGUUUGAUUUCUCUAACCUUAUCUCUUUAUAUUUGCUUCUCUUGUGCUUAAAUUUUUUGUGUUUAAAAAGAAUUUUUAAAAACUCAAUUCACCCCCUUCUUGGGAGUUUUUCUCUUUUAAGAUCAGCUUUUAUUUUCUCAAUUGGUAUCAGAACUAUGCCUCUUGUUUAAGACUUAAUCGUCUAAGAGGAAAUGGCUAAUCCAUCAAGUUCAUCUCACAUUGAAAGUUUUGCAACCAAUAGACUUCUUUUUUUUUUUUUGCGGGAACUGAUUAUCCCUAUUGGAAAACUAAAAUGACUUGGUUUUUACAAUCAAUUGAUUUAGAUGUAUGAGAUGCCAUUGAAGAUGACCUAACUUUUCCUUCAAAACUAGUUGAUGGAGUCAUGGUUCCAAAACCUAAGCAAGAAUGGGAUGAGCGUGAUUGAAGAAAUUUUCAAUUAAAUGCUAAAGUCGUUUAUACUUUGCAAUGCUCUAUGGACAGAAAUGAAUAUAAUAGAAUAUGUCAAUGCAAAUCGGUUAAAGAAAUUUGGAGAUUGCUUGAAAUAACUCAUAAAGGAACAAAUCAAGUUAAAGAGUCAAAAAUCAAUUUACUUGUUCAUAGAUAUGAAUUGUUUUUUAUGAAAGAUAAUGAAACUAUUGUUAAGAUGAUCACUAGGUUCACCAACAUUGUUAAUGGUCUUAAAGCCUUGGGAAAGACCUACAAGGAAUCCGAAAACGUGAUGAAGAUCUUGAGGUCACUUCCAUCAAAGUGGCAUACCAAGGUCACCGCAAUUUAAGAAGCAAAAGACUUGAUCAAGCUACCUUUGGAGGAGUUCAUAGGGUCAUUGAUGACAUAUGAAAUCAAUUUGGCAAAGAAGUAACAAAAAGGUGAAGACAAAAAGAAGAAGAACAUAACUCUCAAAGCUACAACUAAGGAAGAAGAAGUUGAAGAAGAAAAACAAAUUGAAGAAGAUGAAGAUUUAGCCCUCAUCACAAGAAAGUUCAACAAAUUCAUGAGGGGUGAAAGGUUUAGAAGAAGAAGGUUCACUUCUAGAAGAGACUUUUCUAAAAAGGAAUCUUCAUCUAAUGGUGACAAAAAGAGAUGGGAAGAGAAAAGAGACUUGGUGUGUUUCAAGUGCAAGAAACCGGGACACAUUAAAUAUGAUUGUCCUCUCUACAAAAGUGAAGUCAAGAGGAAAAAGAAUAAGGCAAUGAUGGCCACUUAGAGUGAAAGUGAAGAUGAAUCAUCCGAAGAAGAAAAUGAGAAAGAAGUGGCAAACAUGUGUUUCAUGGCAAUAGAUGAACUUGAUGAGGUAAAAUCUAACCUUAGUGAUUAAGAUAUACAUGAUGCAUUUGAAGAAUUGUAUGAGGAUUUUUAAAAACUUAGUUUGAAAAAUAUUUCUCUUAAAAAGAAAGUUCAACAACUUGACAAAGAACUUAGAGAAGUAAAAGAAAAAUUUUCAAAUGUUAAAGUUUCUAAAACUCAUCUUGAAAAAGAAAAUGAGAUUCUAAGAAAGAAAAAUGAAUAGUUGAACUCCUCUCUUUCAAUCUUUUCUUCUAGACAAAAAUCUUUUGAAAUGAUUCUAACUAGCUAAAAAUGUGUUUUUGACAAACAAGGGUUAAGAUUUAAAUCUUCAAAAAAUCAAAAGUAUUUUAAAAACUAUUUUGUAAAGGAAUCCACAAGUGCAAGUCCUUCCACUACUUGCAACUUUUGUGGAAGAGAAUGGCACAUUAGUAGUACGCCCUUUAAGAAAUGGUUCUCAAAAGAAUUUAAAUGCAAAAACUAAAAAAGAUUUGGAUUGAGAAAUCCAAGGUCACUAACCCUCAAGGACCCAAAAAGAUAUAGGUACCUAAAUCAACUUGAGUUUUAUGUUGUAAGGUUCAAAGAAUGAUAAGUGGUUCUUAGAUAAUGGUUGCUCAAGACACAUGACCGGAGAUGAAUCCAAGUUUGCUUUUCUUAAAAAGAAAAAUGGAGGAUAUGUUACCUUUGGAGACAAUGCAAAAGAAAGGAUGAUUGGUCAAGGCAACAUUGGUAAUGGCACAUCCUCUCUCAUUGAAAGUGUUUUAUUAGUAGAUGGUUUCAAACAUAACCUUUUAAGCAUUAGUCAAUUUUGCGACAAAGGUUUUUAAGUGAUUUUUUAAGCAUCUCAUUGCAUCAUCAAGGAUAUUCAAAAUGAUAAAACCAUUUUCAUGGGCCAUAGAUGUGAUAAUGUUUAUGCUAUAAAUAUUUCAAAAUAUGAUGGCCAUGAUAGAUGUUUUUCAAGCAUGCAUGAUCAAAGUUGGUUGUGCCAUAGGAGAUUGAGACAUGCUAACAUAGACCUCAUUUCCCAACUCAACAAAGAUGAACUUGUUAGAGGCCUUCCCAAAAUAAUUUUUUAAAAAGAUAAAGUUUGUGAAGCUUGUCAAGUGGGAAAGUAAAUCAAAAACUCUUUUAAAAACAAAAACUUCAUUUCCACAUCUAGGCCACUUGAGUUGUUGCAUAUGGAUUUAUUUGGUCCCUCUAGGACACCAAGUCUUAGAGGAAAUUCUUAUGCAUAUGCUAUUGUGGACGACUUCUCUAGAUACACAUGAGUCUUGUUUUUUAGUCAAAAGAAUAAAGUUUUUUAUGAGUUUUCAAAGUUUUGCAAUAAGAUUCAAAAUGAAAAAGGUUUUUCAAUUACUUAUAUAAGAAGUGAUCAUGGGAGAGAAUUCGAAAAUAUUGAUUUUGAAGAGUAUUGCAAUGAGCAUGGAAUUGACCACAAUUUUUUGGCUCUUAGAACUCCUCAACAAAAUGGGGUAGUUGAAAGGAAAAAUAGAACUCUUCAAAAAAUGACAAGAACCAUACUAAAUGAAAACAACUUACCAAAAUAUUUUUAGGCCAAAACGGUUAACACUUCUUGUUAUGUUUUAAAUAGAGUAUUAUUGAGGCUCAUACUUAAGAAAACUCCCUAUGAGCUUUGGAAAAACAAAAAACCCAACAUUAGUUAUUCCAAAGUCUUUGGAUGCAAUAUUUUAUAAUAAACACCAAAGACAAUCUUGGAAAAUUUGAUGCAAAAUUGGAUGUUGGAAUUUUCCUUGGUUACUCAACUUCAAGUAAAGCUUUUCGAGUUUUAACAAAAGAACCAUGGUUGUAGAGGAGUCCAUCCAUGUUAUUUUUUAUGAAUCUCCAAGAAAGAGAGAGGAUUGAUGAUGAUUUAGGUUUGAAGACCUCUAUAGGAAGAUUGCAAAUCGAAGAUAGAAGACAACAAGAAGAAAAUGGAGAGAAUCCAAAGAAAGAAGGAUCACCAUUGGCACUACCCCCUCAUCAACAAGCGCAAGGUGAAUCAAGUCAAGAGCUUCCUAAAGAAUGGAAGUUUGUCAUCAAUCACCCACAAGAUCAAAUUAUAGGCAAUCCAUCUAGUGGGGUAAGAACUAGAUCCUCUCUUAGAAAUAUUUGCAAUAAUCUAGCUUUUAUCUCUCAAAUUGAGCCUAAAAAUAUAAAUGAUGUUUUAGAUGAUGAAAAUUGGAUAAUUGCAAUGCAAGAAGAGUUAAAUCCAUUUGAAAGAAGUGGAGUAUGGGAAUUAGUACCAAGACCUUCAAAUCAAAGUGUUAUUGGAACUAGAUGGAUCUUUAGAAAUAAAAUGGAUGAAAAUAGCAUAAUUGUUAGAAAUAAAGCAAGAUUGGUAGCCCAAGGUUUUAAUCAAGAAGAAAUGAUAGAUUAUGAAGAAACCUUUGCCCCCGUAGCUAGGUUGGAAGCCAUUAGGAUGCUACUUGCCUUUGCAUGUUUUAAAGACUUUGUUUUAUAUCAAAUGGAUGUGAAAAGUGCUUUUUUAAAUGGUUUUAUAAAUGAAGAAGUAUAUGUUGAACAACCACCCGGUUUUCAAAGUUUCAACUUUCCUAACCAUGUUUUUAAACUUAAAAAGACACUUUAUGGUUUGAAACAAGCACCUAGAUCAUGGUAUGAAAAAUUGAGUAAAUUUCUUUUGAAAAAAAUGUUUUAAAAUGGGAAAAAUUGACACAACUCUUUUUAUAAAAACCAAAGAAAAUGAUAUGCUCUUAGUUCAAAUAUAUAUUGAUGAUAUCAUUUUUGGUGCUACUAAUGUCUCUCUUUAUGAAGAAUUUUCUAAGUGCAUGCAUAGUGAGUUUGAAAUGAGCAUGAUAGGAGAACUCAACUUCUUCCUUGGACUUCAAAUCAAGCAACUAAAGGAAUGAACCUUCAUCAAUCAAGCAAAGUAUAUAAGAGAUCUUCUCAAAAGGUUCAACAUGGAAGAAGCCAAAACAAUGAAGACUCUAAUGAGCUCAUCCAUUAAGCUUGAUAAGGAUGAGAAAGGUAAAUCCAUUGACUCUAUUAUGUAUAGAGGCAUGAUAGGUUCUUUGCUCUAUUUGACCACUAGUAGACCUUACAUUAUGUAUAGUGUGUGUUUGUGUACUAGAUUUCAAUCUUGUCUUAAAAAAUCUCACUUAAGUGUCGUGAAAAGAAUCCUCAAAUAUUUGAAAGGGACAAUGGACAUAGGCUUAUGGUAUCCUAAGAGUGAUAACUUUGAAUUAAUUGGUUUUUUGGAUGCUGAUUUUGUCAGUUGUAGGGUUGAAAAAUAAAACACUAGUGGCACUUUUCAUUUCUUAAGACACUUACUUGUCUCAUGGCAUAAUAAGAAGCAAAAUUUGGUAGCUUUGUCAACAGCAGAAGCUAAAUACAUAGCAACUGGUUUAUGUUGUGCACAAAUCCUUUGGAUGAAAUAAACACUUAGUGAUUUUGAUUUAUCUUUUGAGCAUAUUCCUAUUAAAUGUGAUAAUAGUAGUGCCAUAAGUAUAUCAAAAAAUCUCGUGCAACACUCUAGGACUAAGCAUAUAGAGAUUAGACAUAAUUUUCUUAGAUAUCAUACACAAAAGGAUGAUAUAACACUUGAAUUUGUAAGCAUAAAAGACCAACUUGCCGAUAUCUUUACAAAACCUCUAAGAACAUUUUGUUGAUAUUAGAGGACAAUUAGGAGUGAUUUCUUUAUGAUCUAAUGUGAUGAAUUCUUGAUGAAUAUACUUUUUGAUUGCAUGAAUUUCAUGUCAUAUAUGCAUCAUAUAGAAAUAUACUUAGAUAAUGGUCAAAUUUCGACCAAAAAUCAAAAUUCCCAUGGCAUUAGGCAUAAAAAUUUUGGAAUUUCAACUGAAAAUGGUAGGAGGAGGAUCACAAAAUGAGAAAGUAUGCAAAAAUUGAAAAAUCAAAACGUUGACCAAGCGGUCAAUCGGACUAGACCGAUCGACUAGUUUGUCGAGAUUUAGGAUUUUUAAGAGACUCCAACGCUUCAAUUUUUGCACCGUUCUCCUCUAUUUCUUCACGGUUUCUCUGAUUUUGUCUUUUAGAGACUAAUUUGAGUGCGUUUUGGAUCAAUUGAAGCAUUUUGGAUUGGAUUUUAGGAAGAUUGAAAGUUAAGGUUUCGGAUUUGGGUCGCCUUCUCUUCCUCUCGCGUGUCACAAUCAGCUUUAGCAUUGUUCUCUUUCCAUUUUCACACACCUAGGGUUUCAGUUGUGAGCAUCUCUCUCUCUUUACCAACCACUACUCCCUUGCUUCUUCCAUAUGGCUCCUAGGCGAGAGUCCGCUACUUCUAGGGCACAAGGCAAGCACCCAACUGAGUCGUCUCAGUCAAAGGCACGUCGAAAAGUGAGAUUUGACAUUGCCUUGUUCAGUUCCAUGGAGGACUACCAACUAUACAAGCAACACUUUGCUUAGAGACGAGUAGUUCCCAAGAGAAAUAUUAAUUUUCCUCAACUUCAGCAUUUCGAAUUUAAGGGUCUAUUUACUAGGAUGGUUGGUUGUCUAUUGUCACAAUUUCGGAGCCGGUUUUCCUGACCUUAGUGCGAGUUUUUUACUCGAGGGCGACUUAUGGCAUGGGUGGCAUGAUCAUUUCUACUGUUGGAGGAGUUGAGAUCUGUCUGGACCCAGAGAGCAUCUGCCAUAUUUUCGAUAUUGCUCUGGUUGGACUCAAAGUAUACAAGUCCAAAAUGUGGCCCAUUGUGCCAGGAUUUGAGCUUAGAGAGGUCAUUCAGAGGAUUUGUGAACUUCCAGACGCCCAGGAGAUGGGCAAACCAUUGCCACACAGUUUGACGGUCAUCAACAGGGUGCUACACCAUAUAUUGUGCUCUAUCUUUCUACCACGAAGUGGACAUUGAGAUGAGGUCUCUUAUUAUGAGGCAUUCCUUAUUGACUCCAUUCUAACGGAGAGACGAAUUCAUCUACUAUGUCAUCAUUCACUAAGCCUCCUCACAGUGACAUACCACCUCAUCAGGCACCUCUUGCUCCUGACCAUGCUCCAUUGAUGGAUUUAUUUACUCAUAUUAGCUCUCUAGGCACUCGCAUGAAGGAGUUUGUUGUAGUUAGUGAUACAUGGUUCUACUCCAUAGAGGAUCGCAUGGAUCAGUAUCAGACUGGCUUCACGUCACAGUUUGAGUAUCUCCAAUAGAGGAUUGAGCAUAUUGAGGAUCACUUGAGCAUGAGAAGAUGAUGGCUUUUCUAUGCUCUGUGUUUCCACCUCCACCUCGUCAACCUUGAUUUCUUAGAGACCCAUUGUUUUCAUUUUGUAAUGUUGCCAAAAGGGGGAGAUAUUUAGGAUCUAGGACUCUAUAGGAGACUUACAUGCAUAUCAUUUUCAUAUCAUUGUUUGGAUCGUACAUAUUGGAUAGUGAUACUUUUUACUUAUAUAUGAUAUGCCUAUAUGUUUCAUGUCUUACAUUGUUUCUUAUUGCAAAUUAUCUCUAACAUGUCUUGAUUAUCUUUUUUUUAACUUCAUAAAUUUUGAUUGUUAACCCAUGAUUGGUUUGAGGGGAAGAUUCUUCUUCUCCUAGAUAACCAAGGUUUGUCAUCAUAAAAAAAUUGGAGAUUGUUAGCCCAAGGGUUCUCCUAAUCAUGUUUUGAUGAUAACAAACCAUGCUUAAGUUACUAAUUGGUUUGAAUUAUAAAGAAUUUCAAGUGUUAAUUUGAAAAUUCAUCAAAGAACCUAAUGGAUGCAAGAUCAAGAUUUUUGGAAGACCUUUAAUCAUAAGAAACAUAUGUAAGAUGAAUGCAUGGGUGCACUUAAGAUUUGCAUAUCAUUUCAUGCAUAUUUGGAAAACACGGUUUAUGCUUUAAAGUUACAUUUCCAUCAAAAUUUGAGAUCCAUCAAAUGAACCUUAGGAAAAAUGUUUUAAAAUUGGCAUAUAAUUUUACCUAAAGACCUUGCCUAAGUGUUAGAAGCAAAAGGACAAAAAAAAUAUAGGUUUUCUGGUCAAAAAUGGUGAACCAGUCAAGGCAUUGUCUAAAUCAGCUCAAUCGGCCAAGGUACCGGUCGAUCGGUUUCCCUUUCCCUGUCGAGAUCUAGUCAAGAGGUACAAAAAUCACAAUCUCUGUCUCUUUCUCUCUUUGUCUAUCUUCCAGUAGUCUUUCCUUCCCGGUCGAGGGAUUUGCCUUCCCGAUUGAGGUCCGAUUGAGAGUAAUAGUCACUUGCCAAAUAUUAAAUGCUCCAACAGUUAGUGAACUGGUCGACCCCCACCUUGCCCAGUUGAGGUUACUUUUUGGUUUUCUUGGCUCCCGAUGUUAGAAACCUAUAAAUAGAGAGUUCCACUUCAUUUAUGAGCAAGAGAACACUUGCAUUUAUUUGUUUACCUACUUGUUCUUGCCUUAAAAGCUCUCAUUUCUUUUCUUGGUGCAUUAAAUCUCCAUUUUGAUAUCCUUUAGUGCACCUUUGUGAUUCAUCUUAGCCUUGAGUUGUAUUUGAGCCCUUUUUUUAGCUAGGUUGAGAGUUUCAUACUUGUUAAUUGAGUGUUAAAGCCUUCAAGUGAGUUGAAACUUGUAGAGAUUAUGUGAGAGUCGAUUGGAGCCGAAAUCCAAGUGUAAAGGUGAUUAGAAGCUUGGUUGAAGCUUCAAGUUAGUGGAAUCCUCACUCAAUUAGGAGCUUGAGGAGAGUGGACGUAGCCAAGGAAGUGUCGAACCACUAUAAAAUUUGAGUUUGAUUUCUCUAACAUUGUCUCUUUAUAUUUGUUUAUCUUGUGCUUAAAUUUAUUGUGUUUAAAAAGAAUUUUUAAAUACCCAAUUCACCCCCCUCUUGGGUGUUUUUCUCUUUUAAAAUUAGCCUUUAUUUUCUCACAAACUAUUGUAGUAUAGUGGUUUUUAGGUGUCAUCCAUUAGGAUGAAUUGUUCUCGGUAAUUAAGGCGUGAAUGAGAGGAGAAUUAAUGAUUGUGAUUAAGUAAAAUUGAUUUGAAAAUUCAUGGUGAAAAAUCAAUUUAACAAUGGUUUCUAAUUGAGAAAAACAAUGAAAUGUGAAAUAAAAUAAAAUUAAUAGGAAAUGAAAUUCUCGAAGUUAGAAUUUUCUAAAAAACAAAUUCCAUGGUGAAUGGAUGUUGAGAUCUAAUUUUCAUCAAGUUAGAUUGAAAACCGAAAUUUUCAUAUAAACUGAUUUUUUAUUUAGUUUUAGGUCUAGAUUUAAUUUCCCUUAAAAUUAGGUUAUUUAAUCCAAGAAAUCAAUUCAAAUCAUAUAUUCAAUUCAUCUUAAAUUAUCUUCCAAUUAUUCACACAAUGCAACUAUUCAAUCUCAUCAAAUCUAGCUUUUAAGAAUUUAAUGAAUCUACCUAGUUUGCAUUGUAAUAGUCAUCCAUGACAAUUUGAAGAGAAAAAUAAUUCAAUUAAUCAAUCACUUGGAUCAAAUUACCUUUGCAAUUAAAGUUCAUUUCUCUAAUUCACCACAGAUUUUGUCUCUAGAUCCUCCUUUCUCAAAGAAAAAUGAGAUUUAGCCACACAUGAUUGGAGAUUUGGUCUCAUAAGGCAUGUUUAGCUAGUGAUAAAAUGAGAGAAAAUAAAGAAAAAUAGAGAAUUCGAUUAAGAAAGAAAAUCUAAAAAAUUCUACAAUUAGAAAUGUCCAAAAAGCUUUUUCAUGAGAAAAUCAAGUUUCUAUUUAUAGGCCAAGGUCAAGUGGACACUUGACAUCAUCUAAGAGGUCUUCCGGAAGCUUCUUCAUCAAGAAAUCUGGAGUUUAAUAAUAAAAUGGUCAUUUCACAAGAGCUCAAACAAUUUCGCAUGAUUAUGUGAAAUAAAAAAUGCAACAACAGCAAUUUACAUCUUCUUGGAGCAUUUCGCAUGACUGUGUGAAAUUUUCACAUGAUCAUGUGGAAUCGACUUGACAACUCUCAUUUAGCCUACAACAUAAUUCCACCUUUUGGUCCAUUUUUCAUAGUCAUGCGAAAUGGAAAUAUUUGAUUUUUAAGUUUUCUUUUGUCAUUUCUUUCAUUUCCUUCUCUUGAUUCCACUUCAACUACCUCCGAAUCCUGGUCCAAACCAAUUGCAUUACUUCUUUCAUUAUGCAUUUGGAUCAUCAUCAACAUUAUUUGUUCUCUUCAAUUUGAUUCAUCUCUUUUGUCACCAAUUUAUCAAAAUCAUACCUUGAAAUGACUCCAAAACUUCAUAAAACUUGUUAGUAACUCUUGCAAGGGCAACAACAUAUUAAUUAAGUGUUUUAGGCAUAGUUACUACUCAAAAGAUGCGAAACUCAUGAUAAUUAUUAUAUAAAAUAUGCUCUUUUUGAGUAGUAAUCAACUUUCUUGCAUAAGCAGACCUUUUAGGGUGGAGUACUAAAGACCAAUAUGCUUGUCCUUGUUGUAAUAAAGAAACUUGCUCUUAUUGAUUGCACCAUGGGAGAAAAUUUUGCUACAUGAGUUAUCAUCAAUUUCUUCCCACCAAUCAUAGAUUUAGACGUGACAAGAGGCCUCUUAAUGGCAAGGAGGAACUGACACUCACACUUAUACAAUUAUCGGGCAUUGAUGUGUUGCAACAAUUAGAAUAACUUACACCAAUUAUGUUGGGGAAGUCACAAAAGGCAAACAUGAAAACUAAAAGGAAAAAAGAAAAAUGUUACAUAUCACCACAACUGGAAAGAAAAAAGUAUUUACUUUCAUUUGCCAUAUUGGAAAGCACUUAUUUUACAUCAUAAUAAUUUAGACAUAAUGCAUAUUGAGAAAAAUGUGUGACAAUAUAAUUGAGACAUUGUUCAGUAUUGACGAAGAAACAAGGACAACCUAAAUAGUCAUCUCGAUUUACAAGCUCUAACUAUUAGAAAUGAGAUUCACCCAAUAGAAAGCAGGACCAAAUUUAUUUUGCUUGCAACAUGCUACUCACUCACCCCAAAUGAGAUUAAGGAAUUUUGCAAGUUUUUGAAAUCAAUAAAGGUCCCCAAUGGCUAUUCUUUCAAUAUCUCUCGUUAUGUGCAACUCAAUGAAAGGAAGAUAUAUGAGCUCAAAUUGUAUGAUUGUCAUGUCCUAAUGCAACAACUUCUCUCACUUGUAGUUCGUGGAGUUCUACAUAAGAAUGUUUGUGGAGUUAUCAUAGAAUUGCGUAAUUUUUUCAAGCAAUUGUGCUCAAAGGUGUUAGAAACAAAUCACUUACACCAACUUGAGAACAAUAUUAUUGUCAUACUAUGUAAAAUGGAGCAAAUAUUUCUUCCAUCAUUCUUUGAUAUUAUGGUGCAUUUACUUGUGCAUCUAGUAAGGCAAAGGUUGCAAGACUUGUGCAAUAUUGUUGGAUGUACCUAAUUGAACGAUAUUGUUAUAAUUUCAUAUGAAUCAUUUAAUUUUAUUUUAUAUUAUGUUCAGUUCAUUAACAUGUACAUUGGUCUACAUAUGGAUGAUGAUAGGUACCUAAGCACUUUAAAGUCAUAUGUGCGUAAUAGAACUUUUCUAGAAGGUUCUAUUGUAGAAAGGUACCUUGCAAAAGAAUGUACAACAUUUUAUUCUAGGUACUUGAAUGAUGUGGAAAUAAAGUAUAAUCACAAUGAUAGAAACUUUGUUGGUUUCAACACUAGAGGAGAUGAAAGGGGUUAUCUUUAAACAUAUUGGACAUGCAUUGGGAAAGCCCAUAUUUCAUUAACUUAGUUCAAAAGAGUGGUCACAAGCACAUUUAUAUGUGUUGACAAAUUGCGAAGAUGUCAUACCAUUCAUUGAGUAAAAAAUUUAUUUGAAUUUUAAUUAAAGCUCUAGUUUAUAUCCUUAAUCAAUGUUUUUUAAAUUCACAAGGAGCACAAGCAAACCAUCAAGGCUAGACCACAUAUACGUGUUUGAGACGUAGAUUUAAUUCAUAACAAGGAAUUUAUCAAGUGGUUUGAAAGACAUGUAAGUAUAUUCCUUAUUAUAAGGGAUUUAUUUCACAUUAUGUUUAUAUUGAAUCCAAACCUAUUAUUGAAUUGUAGGUUGAACAAUUACAUAAUGAAGGUCAUAUAUCUGAACACCUUCUCACAUUAUCAUGUGUUCCAAAUUCAUUAGUUACAUGCUUCAAAUGAUAUAUUGUCAAUGGAUUUAGAUCCCACAUUAAAGAACGUGAUAAAAAAGUUUUUAAAAAAAGACUCAGAAUAAUGGAAUUGUUGUAGUUGCAAAAACGUCAAGCUUUACAAGUGCAUGUGAUAUGAGUCCAAUUAUUAGUGAUGCUCUCUACUAUGGUGUUCUAACUAAAGUUGUUGAGUUACAUUAUCUUGGUGAAAAUAAGGUUGUUUUAUUCGAGUUUGAUUGGUGGGAUGUUACAAAUAUUGGAAAAUUGAUAAAAGAUGAUGAGUACAAUUACACAUUUGUUAACUUUGCAUGAAUUCUAACCACGAACGAACGAUUUGUACUUGCAUCUCCAGCAAAGUAAGUGUUCUAUGUGAAGAAUGCGAAUGAAUCAGAUUGGCAUACUAUCAUGGAGAUGCAACCUCAAGACCUCUAUAAGAUGAACGGGAUAGGAUCCAAUGGUGAUUUUGAACCAUUUCAACAAAGUGAACUACAUGAUCACUAAUAUAUCUCAGAUUUAGUUGAUGAAGAUAUAAUCAAGUGGAACAAAAGUGAUGUUUUAGGACUAAUCAUCCUAAAAAAUAUUGUAGUUUCUUAAAAAAAAAAUGAAAAUGAAGAAGAUAAUUGAACCUUUGUCAUACUUUAAAAAGCAACUAUGCAUUGUUCAUUUUGUAUGUUUUGGUUUUCUUCAUUUAAUUUCCUGAUUUUUGUGAUUCAAUGUCAUAUUAUUGAUCUUGAAAUAUUUUUCUAAUUUUUCAUUCUACGAUGGUUUCAACAAGGAUGACAUCAAGUCAAAAAAGGAAAUGUGGUCCCACACACAAUAUUGCAUUACAGGGAUUAAGGUCAGGGAAGAAGGUAAAAGUUGCAUUUAAUGAGUACAAUCAAUUGGUUAAACAGAAAAAUGGAAAACACUUAUCGAGCUACAUAGGGACACUUGUAUCUAACCAACACAAUGUACCUCUCCAAGCUAGUGAUUGGAAAAAUGUUCCAAAUGAUGCAAAAGAGAAAGUAUGGCCUUUGUUUUGGUAUGUUGUAUUUCUCACUAUAUGAUGUCAUUUCACUGUUAUUCUAUUUUGUGACUAACGUUUGAAUCAUAUGUAAGAAAAAUUUGAAGUAGAUAAAGACUGAAAAGAUUACAUGUUGGGUAUAGCCUCAAAUAAAUAUAGAAGCUAUAAAAAUAUGAUGAAUGCAAAAUACUAUGACCCUUGGCAUAAGGAUGCAUGAGGAGAGGUUAAUACAUAAAUCACCAUUUGUCUCUGAUGUUGAUUGGAAGUGGCUUGUCUCUGAUGCAUAAACCAAAUCCCCCACUGAAUGUUUGAUAUUUGAUAGCAGGAAAAACACACCCGCAGCUAUACACCUCCAUCAUUCAGAUAAUUAUAGUGGGGGAGAUGAUUCAUGGUUGCCCUUAUACCCUUUAUUUGCACCAUCUAUUGAGAUUCUUUAUCAUGGCCAGGUUUUACUGCAGCAAUAAGAUAUGGUGGCAACAAUUUUAUCUAUAGGUGCGGUUCCAGACCGCCUCCAUAGGUGCGGUUCCUGACUGCCUCCAUAGGUGCCUCUUCUUGUAAUGUUUGUUCUGGGAAUUACACUUGAAAGCCUUAUCGUGAUAAGGGAUUACAAACACUAGUUCAGAGGACAGCCAUGUUAAACUUCCACUAUGUUUGUGUCACAUUAUCAGCAGCCUAGUGUUUAUUGGUCAUGCUAUCUGCAACUAAUAUAACCCGGUGAACUUCAAUCUAAAUUCUGAAAGUACUCAUGUGACAGAUGGUGCCUUUCAGCAGAUAUCAUCAAUUUAAAAGUAGUGUGUGUGCCUAUAGGUGGGAAGGCCUUGGCAAAUGUUCAGUAUUCCGGUAAUUCAAGAAGGAUAUAUCUAAAAUAGAUUUUCUUCUUGCCCAUUUCAAUAGUUAAAAUUUGAGAAGAUUGUGUCCACAUCACACAAAUAUUAUUGGUCCUUCUGUUGCAAUUUACCUCUGAACAUGUCUUCCAAUUCCCACGGUCCUGUUACUCCAGGAAAACUAUUUCGGUCAUAUUGAAAAAAAAAAUAUUAAAGAAGGUACACAUGCUUUUAAGUGGACUGGGGCAUUCAUAUCAGGUGGUCUGUAUCCACAUAUGCCACUUCGUGAAAGGUGGAACAGCCUAAUCACUAGGCUAUUUAGUGUGGCCCAGCCACGUUAAUCAAGCACAAGUCUUCAUACUUAAAGUCAAAUGGUGUCUUUAGUCUCAUUACACAUCGCUAUUUGAAGAUUAACUCAUCACUAGUGUAAUGCGAUUAAGACAGUCCUAACUCAAUAUUUGUUCUAGUUUUGGAUGCAAAUGCUUGCUGGUUUCAUCAUUGGAUGGGAUAAAGGUGCAAUCAGGACUAUGAAUACGUGCAGUAAUACUUCAUUCUCUUUUUUCUCAAUGAGACUUCUUGGCACAAUUUUGCUGCUCAGCAACCUACCUUUCCAUGGAAAAUCAGUUGUGACUGAUAGUAAUGGAUAUAUUCUAGAAAGCUAAACAUAGAUAGCAUUCAAUAUUAUCGAUAUAACAUUAACAGCGUAUGUCUCAAUGCUCAUCAGCUACAAGCAAUGGACAAACACUUUGAGUAACUCACAGCAGUCAAAAUUCCUAAACAGGACAGACGUGACAGAUCUAUAUAUAGAACACUGCAUAUGAGUCACAGGAAAAGAUAAUACGGGUACAUAGAAGCUCUUAUUUUACAUAUUACUCAUACUGAUCAAAGUCGCUCAGUUGGGAUGGAUGGGAGAAGGAGGUUUGAGGGGUGGCUUGUGCGGGGAAGUUGGCAGCUUCUUUCCGGGAGCUGGUUGCUUCUUUGCUGGAGUUGAAGGAGGCUUAAUCUUCCGAGGUGGCUUGUAUGAGUCUUCAGCAUUCUCAGCAGGAGGGUGACCAGGGUUGUGACCAUAAUGUGGUGGCUUCUCUCCCUUAGGUGGUUUGCCAACUGGGGUUGGUGGCUUGUUUUCUGGGAGUGGCUUCUCUCCCUUGGGUGGUUUGCCAACUGGGGUUGGUGGCUUGUGUUCUGGGAGUGGCUUCUCCCCCUUGGGAGGUUUUUCGAAUGGGGUGGGUUUGUGUCCUGGUGGUGGCUUCUCUCCCUUGGGAGGUUUACCAAUUGGGGUCGGUGGCUUGUGUUCUGGGAGGGGCUUCUCUCCCUGGGGAGGUUUAGUGGGUGGCUUGUGUUCUGGAGGUGGCUUCUCCACCGGAGGCUUAUGCUCUGGUGGUGGCUUCUCGAAGGGGGGAUGCUCAGGGUAAUCACCAAGUGAGGGGGUGGUGAGAACCACCAUGCCAAGCAACAACACUAGCAAGUAUGUAGUAGACAUCUUUGGGUUUGGACUCAGACAGUGCAAAACUACGAGAAAUCGCUAGCCCUUUAUAGCGGCUCGGACCUAAUACUGACAUAAUAUAAAAUAAAUAUUAUAUUUUAUCAAGAGAGAACAGAGUGUAAUUUUAUCAUUAAUACCGAUCGAGGCCAAAGAAAGAAGACCCAUAAUCCAUUUCCCACAAGCAUACACAAUGCAGCUGUAAUUUUAUCAUUUACUUUUAUCCCUUGGACCACUGCAUUUUUGUUGAGAGACACAAUAACACAUUUUUAUCUGUCAUUCAACAUUUACAGUAAAGAGAGGGCACAAAACGCAAUUAGAUAAAUUAUGUUUUGCCUGCUAAAAAGAGGCAAAUAACUUUAUUUGCAACAUAAUUAUUUUGGUUUCUAGUGACCCCGGGGCCUUUCGGUUGGUUUGGGAUCGGAAAAUGAACAUCAUAGGGGGGGUUGUGCCCUUAUGGGCAUAUAUAUCUGAUAGCUUCAACUGGCCUUGUUCCUAGAAAGAAAUUGCCAAAGAUAUAAACUUAUUCCAGGCUGAAAGUAGAUGAGAGUCAUAAUGAACAUCAACCUUUGUUCAGUUUGAUUCAAUGCCCCCAUAGUGUUCAUUUCACAGAUCUGAAUGAUUAUAUCCGUUGAAUACAUAAAUUAAUGAAGACAAAUAUGAAACCCAAGAUACAUCUCUGCAUAACAACCCCAACCCUGGUUGCUAUGUUUCCCUUCUUCUAUUCACAUGAGGAUACUGGUUAUAAUUGUCAAACUUGCAACAAGCCCUUUGACACCUAACGUCAAUGGACGAAUUAAAAGUCUCCUUCAAACGUCUAUUUCACAGCAUGAAGCUUAUAAAGGAUGCUGACAACCUUCAGAGUUAGCGACAAAAGAUAAUUAUCAAGGAGAGAUAGUUCCAUGAGAAUUCCAAGGAGUCUGAAUCAAAGACAAAUUGCUCACUCAAGGGUUCUUAUUUUCUUUUAGGUACAAAUCUCUUGAGUGUUGUUAAAGAAACACGUCACUGUCAUUUUGAUUUGCAUUUAACAUUUCACUUUUGUUCUGGAAGGUUUGUUCCGGAAACAUAUCAAAUGAGCAUCAUUUUCUUCUUCGGUGACACAUGGUCGCGAGUACGUGGGUCCAUUUUCAUGCCACUUAGUUGAAAAGUUGGAAAGAAAAAACAUGCCAACAAGAAGAUAGUGAGAGAAGGGGCACUUCAAGCCUUUAACAUGAACAAACAGUAAAUAAAAGAUGUUUCUCCACUCAUAAAAGUGUGUUAGAUAGCAAUAUAACGAAUCACAUCCAAAAUCUUUACUAGGCUCAAACAUAAAGAAGACUCAUUUUUAAGAAAAGAUAAAAAUGGCAUUGUCUGAUAGUAUCCAAUACACGAGAUGGCACUUAAUUUGUACAAGAUCUGUCAAUGCUGACGCACAUUUUCUGAUUAAAAAAAAACUGAUCAGUCAAAAGCAAUGAAGAGAAGUGAUGACAAUGAAUGAUGCUUCCAAUAUUUUCACCCCUUAUAGUGUUCUUCAUGAUUCAGAUAUAUAAUUGGAAAUAGAACAACCCUAUGCCAUACAUUCGUCUAAGUAUGGUGUCUAAUUUUUUGUGUCAGCGGUUGCGAAUGGAGCGUGCAAAAGUCCAAAUUGGCGUCUCUCCAUUUCCACAUAGGAAGGUGACCUUUAUUGACAAAUACCCAAUAUUUGUAGACAUUCCUUAAAUAUCAUAACUUCUUGUUGAUUUGAAAAUCAUUUUUCAACUACCAUGUUUUAAUAAAUAUUUUUUAAAAUGUAUUUUUAUCAAAGUCCACCAUGAUGGAUAAUAUUCACCAUGCAAUAAUUAAUAAAGUACAAACUAAGCGAAAUGAAAAGCAUUUUCUUUGCUUUGAGUUGAUUUUGGUUGCAUUGAGUUGAUUUUGGUUUCAUGGUUUUUUCAACUCUUAUUUUGAUUGGAAGAUGUCAAGAAAAGAAAACAUAAAGAAAAAUUAAAAGGGAAAAAAGAAGAAAAAUAAAAAAAAAUAGAUUUAAAAGUUAAUAAAUUAUUUUUUAUAUUUAUUUUAAUUCAUUUCACUUAUUUUUCUUUUACUAUAUAAAAUUUAAAUAAUUUAAAUUUUAUAAUUAAUUUAAUUACAUUUCAUUUUCUUCUAUAUUUAAAUAUUGGAAAAAUAUUUUACUUAAUAUUUUUUUCUUUAAUUUCUUUGGCAUUUUGGGAACCAAACUUAGCCUUUAAAAUAAAAAACAAAAAAAAAAUGAAAAUAAGGAGGGAAAAGUGAGAAAAGAUAAAAACAAUAUGUAAAGGAUUUGAAAAGUAUUAGUUUGUAAUUACUAUUUGGAUUUCAAUAGUAUUUUAUUUGUCUUUCUAUAUUUCAUGUAAGAGAGAAUUUAAGAUAUUCCCCAAGGCAAAGCAUUAGUUACCUGCAAUCAGUGGUGAUAAGGCUCCAAGCCAAUUUUGGGCCCCAUAUCUUAAGACAGUACAAUUUCCAUUUCAACAUUUCUGAUUUCUCAGAUGUUUCACAUACCACAGAAGAACAUUGUUUGUGAAAAUAUGCAUUUAUGUUGGAUUUUGUAUGCUGUGGGGACUGGGGCAAGGAUCAUAUGGAAGAGUGGUUGACUUUUUCUGUACUUUAACGGUUGAAAUAGGAUAAGCACGGGCAUUUGUGAGGCUUAAUUGAUUUUGAAGCCUGAAAUUGCGUUUCUGUCAUUUUGUCAAAAAAAUGGCAGAUUCCAUACUCAUAUGUUUGGCCUGUGGCCAUGUACAGAUGCCAUUUAGUGACCAGUUUGUAACUGUCAAUCGUUGCGUUUUGACUCUGCCUCAACAACAUCUGCCAUUGACGGGUUUUCAUACUUGCAAAUCAAAUAGUCUUUCGUCCCAUCAGGAAUUUCGGUUUAAAUAUUAUUAAGCAUACGUUUGGCUGACAAUCAUUAUCCAGUUCAUGAUUUGGUUUCUUACCCUUAAUCAAUGGUUUCUAAGUGAAUAUAUGUAGAAGGAAAUCCGAAGUGUAGACAGUAGUAUCGAUAACUCUCAAUAUUCUCUAUAUAAUAGAAUAAACAGCGUCAUAGUGAUCGUCGCCUACAAGCAAGGUACAAAUACCAAAACGAGUGACUCACAUAGACAUCUCCCAACAAGAUGUAGUAGUGACUGACACAUGGACACAAUUAACUCGUAGAAAAGGAUAAGACCAUUGCACAGCAGCUCUUAUUUUACAUACUACUUAUGCUAACCAAAGUCAAUUAGUUGGGAUGGGUGGGAGAUGGAGGUUUGUGCGGUGGCUUGUGGGGCGGAGUUGAUGGCUUCUUUCCAGGAGCUUCUGGCUUUUUCAUCGGAGCUGAAGGAGGCUCAAUCUUAUGAGGCGGCUUGUAUGAGUCUUCUUUACUCUCGACAGGAGGGUGGCCAGGGUUGUGAUCAUAAUGUGGUGGCUUCUCUCCCUUAGGUGGCUUGCCAACUGGGGUUGGUGGCUUGUGUUCAGGAAGUGGUUUCUCUCCCAUGGGAGGUUUAGCAAUUGGGGUUGGUGGCUUGUGUUCUGGGAGUGGCUUCUCUCCCUUGGGAGGUUUAGUAGGUGACUUGUGUUCUGGAGGUGGCUUCUCCACCGGAGGCUUGUGCUCCGGUGGUGGCUUCUUGGUUGGAGGGGGCUUGGGGUAAUCAGCAAGAGAUGGGGUGGUGAGAACCACCAGUCCAAGGAACAACACUAGCAAGUAUGUGGGAGACAUUUUUGAGUUUGGGCUGAUCAGAUGAUGCAAAACUAAAGCAUUACGUGACCUUUUAUAGCAUGUAGCUCCCAAUACCCACUAAGUAUUGUGGGGUCCAUUUGUGCCCUACGGGGUUGAAAACUUAGACAAUUGGGCAAGGACCCACCUGACUAUGGAGGACUAGUGAGGUGUGAUCAUAGCUUUAGGAUUUUUCUUCCUCUGCAGCCGUCGUGCCGUUGGCAUGAUUUUCUUAAUCUUAAAUAAAGGCAUAGUUAUAGAGUUGUUUAAUCUCUAAAUGGGAUUUUAUAUAUAUCUUCAGAUAGCCAUUAAUAUAUUUGAUGAAGAAAGAAAGACAAGUGCAUACAACAUGUAUACGACUAGCUUUCAUGGAGUUCAUUUAUGAUCAGUUUUCCUGUACAUGUAAACCAGGAUCAUAUAUAUGUUUCUGUUCCACAACUAUUUUGGAAUCUUGUUUAUCAGUUUUUAUCAUUAUAAUGUCACAUAGGCUGCCAACUUGGGCGCUAAAAGAACCAGUUGGGCUAGUUCGUUUCAGAAUUUCAAUGUGGAUUCAGGAAUUGUUUUGUAAGAUAUGCGAAAUAGUAGAGGGAUGAAUAGUGUUUCAUUAAUAAAAGUGUCCUGUAAAUUAGAAGGUGUCAUAGAAACUAUAAUCAAUAAAUAACUUUUUUUCCCCACGGGUGGUGUUUCUUGUGGGGAUCAGUGACUGGUUUAGGUUCACCCAAAAUGAGUUCAGACUAAAAUUGGUUUGAGUCAAUGCCGUGUCUCUUUUUUCCAGAAAUCAACUAUUUUAUGCAUUGAAUAAAUCAUACAAAGAAAAUAUGAACGCCCGCAAAACCUAAACCCUGGUUGCUAACUUUCUAUGUUUCAGUUCUAUUCACGCAAGAAUAUUAGUUUAAGUUUGGGAAAAAUGGCAACUUACCUAGUGAUUACUUGGUUUUGGUUUGCGACUAUUUACGCAACCAACCAUGAGUUUGACUUUAACGUCAUGGGUUGAAGCCUCCUACAGGAAGGGAGAAAGCUCCACAGCUAGCUCCAAAAGAGAAUUAUCACAUUGAUAGCUCCAGAGAUUCCCAAGGGGACUGAAUCAAAGACAAGUUCCUCACUUUUUCUUCUUUUGAGGCCAAAUAUGAACCAAGGAUCACACAACCUCAUUCAACUUCAUAAGUUUGAUUUCAUGCAGUUGAACACUGGGUGAAGGCCAUGACAAGAAUUGAUUCAAAAAUUCUAUCACUCUUUUAAGUAAUGGAAGAUUAUUAUCUCUGAUUGGCAUCACAACAGCACAUGCUCCUAGAUCUUUCUAGACACUCCAUGCAAUGAAAGCACAAUGGAUCUUGUAACGAUAGAAACUAAGCCAUGCUACAGUACUAGAUGAUGAGGUAAAACUAGUAGACACGGGUGGCAGCCUAUAUGGGAGGGACACAAGUCUAAUUGAUUUGCAUUUCAGCAUUAUAGAUAGGUAUGUUUUGGAAGAUUUGUUCUGGAAAUACCGCACCAAGUAGGAUUCUUUUUCUCUUUAGUGGGUCCACUUGCAUGCCAAUUAACGAGUUGAAAAGUAUGAGCACCUACCUCGUGCUCGUGGAACCGAAGGUCAGUGAAGUGGGGCUCCUUUUGGCCUCGUGUAAACUUGAUUCAGAAGUGAAGUUAAUAGUCUUCCAUUCAGAUGGAUACAUGGGAAUUUUUCUCUUUUAUUUAUUUAUUUAUUUUUUUUUUGUGUGUGUAUGUCAAAGGAUAAUGAAUGAAGCGCGUUAGCUUGUUUUCUGACUGGAACCGCAGAUGUCCAAAUUGGAGUUCCUUCAUUUCUUACUUAGGAUUGUUACAUGUAUAAACAAGGUAUAAGAAAUAUGCCAACGUGUCUUGAGGAGUUAUUGAUUAGAAAUAACAAGUCACCCGACUGUAGAGUUCCAAGAUUUGAAUCUUCAGACCCUAUAGCAGCCUCUGGGGUACGUGGCAUCCUAUAGCAUAUUAAUGAAGGCUUUUUCGAUUUAGACUUCACAAUACCAAUUAAUAUGUAUGCACAAAAUGGAGAUGACCCCAAAAAAAACAGAAUCGCCAUAGUUUAUGAGGUUAAGGUGAUUCUCCACUUAAUAUCUACAUUAGCUAAUUAUGUAAAUCAAAUGAACUUCUAUUUUUCCUUUUUUUUUUUGGUUUAUGUCAAAUAGUAGCCCAUAAUUAACCCAACCAUUAGCCUGUUUGAAUUGAUUUCACAUGCACAAUGUUGUAGUAGUUCAUAUUUUGAAUUUUAUUUUUACAAAGGUAGUUAAGGAAAAUGAAGUAUAAUAAUUAUAAAAGCAGACUAUAUACACUACAAUAAUUGUUAGAAUGGUAUCUCAAAUUCUAAUUUAAAAUAUUAUUUUUUGUAAAAGAAAUAUUAUAUAGAAUAUUUCCUAAUUUUAUAAAUGAUUAUAAUUAGAUCUUUAUAAAAUAAGGAAAGUUGGUAAGAAUAUCUUUAUAAAUAUUUUAGGUCAUGAGAGAAAGAAAUGGGAUAAAAAUGUGAUGAAGAGGUGAAAUAAGAGAGUUGAUUAGGAUAUAGAUGUGAAGAAGAAAGGGAUUCAAUAUAUAUAUAUCUUUCAAUUACCACAUUAAAACCCUGUGAACCUUUUAUAUGGUUUACUUUAUUUUUAUAUUCCUCCUUUAAUAUAUUUACAUUAAUGCUUCCAUUGGCACAACAAUAACGAAUUACAAAUACAAGCAACAAGUCCCAUGUUUUAUUACCAAAAGCAGGUAAAAUCCACCUAAUAUAUUACAAUAUAUUCAUCCAAUAUUUUAGACCAAUUCUUCACCAUAAAUAUCAUAAUGUGGCUUUUGUUCUUUCUUAAAUUUAAAUUGAAUUGUCUUAUAUCAAUUUGUUUGUGAUUUUUUCAUUAACUUCACUUUCAUUUGGUUAUCUUUGGUUUUUGAAAAGUAUUAAGGAAUUAAUUAACAAAAUAAUGUUAAGAAAAAUAAUUUUCUCUCUUUUGAUUUUGAUUUUGUAGUAGAAAAAUAUAAUUAAAAUUAUUUAAAAAGUAUGUAAUUUUAAAUUAUUUAAUAUUUAGAUAAAAAAAAUAAGUCUAAUGAGUUUAAAAUAACAUAUAAAAAUAAUUUAUUUAUUUUAAAUUUAUUUUUUAUUUUCCAUUAUGUUCUCUUUCUCUUUUACUUUUUCAUAUUUUUUCUUACGAAGAAUCAAACACAACCUCAUAUUAUAUGUCAAGUGUUUGUCUAUAUUUGAGCAAUGUUAGAUACGGCCAUGGAUUCAUCAAACUAAACUGAUUUUAAUAGAUACUUCACAAAUUGAUUUAUACACUAAAUCAUUGGAUAGCAAUGAUGCAUUGGAAUUAAACGUAGGAUGAAGCUCGAAGAACACUGUUUGUGUAACAACAUAUUUAUGAAAUUAUGCAAAGGAUGAGCUUCGGGGUAGUAGUACAAGGUCAUUAAUGGAGAGCCGUGUUAAACCUUGAUUGUGAUUGGAUUCCGUUAUCAGCAACAGCAACCUUGUUUGUAACCUUGAAAGUCAUUCUGUCCACAUCGAAACUCCAAUUUGACGUUUGUAAUUACCAUUCCUGGAGUGUUCCUUGAUUGAAAUUUAAAUAAUAAUUGCGGCCCACAAGGAAUAUUUUCGAUUCUGUGGGAAUUUGACAAGGUUUGUUAGAGAAGACUGGUGACAUGUUGACUUCAAUGGUUCAAAUAGGAGACGUAUGUGGAUUUGGGGGGUUUAAUUGAAACUGAGUCCCUAUGGCUUUUUAAUAUUUGCAUUGAGCAGUCUCCAUGUGACUUCCUAAUUCCCACCAACCCUCCUGUCCAUGCUGUGAAACUAAAUUGUAAUUUAUCAGCCUUUGUCAAUGGUUUCUAAAUUAAAGAUAUAGACCAUGCAUGUACUUUAAUAAAAGCAAAUCUAAAGUGUAGAUAGCAGCAAUGGUGACACCCAAUAUUCUCCAUAAAAUAGAAUUAGAAUAAGCAGUGUUACAUUGUUCAUGAUCACCUACAAGCAUACAAGAACUUCCAUGAAUAACUCAUAGCAAUUGCCAACAGGGCGUCGUAGAGACUCAUACAUAGAACACUAUCCACCCAGAGGAAAGGACAAGACCAGUGCGCUGCAGCUCUUAUUUUUCACAUGUAUACCACCACUCGUAAUAACCAAAUUCACUCAGUUGGGAUAGGUGGGAGAUGGUGGUUUGUGGGGUGGCUUGUGGGGAGGAGUUGGAGGAGGCUUUAUUUUCUGAGGCGGCUUGUAUGAGUGUGCAGGAGGAUGCCCGGGAGUGUGACCAUAAUGUGGUGGCUUCUCUCCCGUAGGUGGUUUGCCAAAUGGGCUUGGUGGCUUCUCUCCCUUAGGAGGUUUACCAAUUGGGGUUGGUGGCUUGUGUUCUGGGAGUGGUUUCUCUCCCUUGGUAGGUUUGCCAAUUGGGGUUGGCGGCUUAUGUUCUGGGAGUGGCUUCUCUCCCUUGGGAGGUUUGCUAAUUGGGGUUGGCGGCUUAUGUUCUGGGGGCGGCUUCUCUCCCUUGGGAGGUUUGCCAAUUGGAGUUGGCGGCUUAUGUUCUGGGAGUGGCUUUUCUCCCUUGGGAGGCUUGCCAAUUGGGGUUGGCGGCUUAUGUUCUGGGGGUGGCUUCUCUCCUUUAGGAGGUUUGCCAAUUGGAGUCGGCGGCUUAUGUUCUGGAAGUGGCUUUUUUCCCUUGGGAGGUUUGCCAAUUGGGGUUGGCGGCUUAUGUUCUGGGGGUGGCUUCUCUCCCUUGGGAGGUUUGCCAAUUGGAGUCGGCGGCUUAUGUUCUGGGAGUGGCUUCUCUCCCUUGGGAGGUUUUGUUGGUGGCUUGUGUUCUGGAGAUGGCUUCUCCCCUGGAGGCUUGUGCUCCGGAGGUGGCUUCUGAAAUGGCGGGGGCUUGGGGUAAUGAGCAAGAGAUGGAGUACUGGUGAGAACCACCAUUCCAAGCAACAAUACUAGCAAGCAUGUGGGAGAC
rnacentral:lncRNA from 1 species